rnacentral:lncRNA from 1 species
AAUCAAUUAGUUAAGGAUACAUGACAAUUACAAGUUGCUACAAAUAUUUGUGAACUGACAGAAAAUUUGCCAGGCCAGUAGUAUUGCUACGACUAUAUGAUGAUAAUUCUACCUACAGCAACCCAGCUAGAUAUGGAUUUGCUUCGAAUGAAAUGAAAUGGGUCUAGGGGUGAUAAGUUGGACAUCAAGCUCACAAAGCAACUCAAAUCGGACAUCACUACUGUCUAGUUUCGGAAAAAGGAAAAAGGUCAACAGCAGCACGAUAAGUUGCUAAUCUCAAGUUACUGCAAUUGCAGAUCCCCACAUCCUCACAAACUUAAAACUAUAGCAUCUUCAGGACACAUGAAAAAACAAUGUGUGAAAGAGAGAGAGAGAGAAAAUGGGGGGCCCAAAAAGGUAUUUUGUCUCAAAGACAGGCCUAUGUUGUAGACUGUAGAGGGCAUGGACAUGGCAGCUGCCAGCCAUAGUUCUUCAGAACAUAUAAAUUUAUAGACAUCUAUAAGGUGGCAGAACCAACCAGGGGCAGGGCAUAGCAGGUAAGGCAGUUGACCUUACAAUAAAACUACAAAAAGAUUAAUAUAUUAAUAAUAUAAGGGCUAAAACUGCAAGAAGCGAGCGGGCAGACUUGCUUUUGUCCUCGAGUUAAUACGCUCAGUUUAGUUGGUGUAAUUUGCAAUAAGUGUAAAGAGAGCCAAAGGAAAGCAUGGCACCAUCAAUAAUCGGCCUAGCUCAAAAGAUAUGGUAGUAACUAAGUCCCCAACCAAUCAUGCAAGGAAACCUAGUGUAGCAACUGUAUAAUUUGCAACCAAACCAGGCAAUGCUGCCAAACCUUAUCCAAUGAACAGUUUGAUAGCGGCAAUGAGAGUCGAAAGGGGAUGUCGAGUGUAACCAUACUUGCUGCCAUAGCGAUAGUGAGCAUUCGAAGCAUCGACGUGAAGCUGCGAUGAGCCAGCCCCGCCGAGAGACAGGCCAUGAGUUUUACCCCCCGCCGUGAGGGAGUCAAGGGGCGCGGUCUCGCGGGUCGUCGUUGUCACGGUGGACAACUGGGGCUGCGACGGAUGCGCAGGCGAGGCGGUCUUGGAUUCCACAGGCUUUCUUGAACGGUUGCGGCCACGGUGCAUGUGGCGCUCGCAGUACUUGGAGUCGGGGUGCGCCUCCUUGGAGCACCGCCACUUCUUGCCGUCGGUGCGGCGGCACCGCCACGGCUCCGGGUCCAGCUUCUUCCCGUAGUAGGCAUAGUAACUCACUGCAGGAACCACAGAUGGGGGCACAUUAAAUCAAUCCACGCAACCAUCGCCAUCCAUUCAAUAAUAUUGAAAAGAAGGUGUACUGAAGCUAGAUCAAAAACAAAUAAACAUUUGACCAACCCGAUGCAAAGAUGCUUUGCUUUGUUUAAAAGUUUGAAUAAAGAAUCCCACCGCUUGUGCAAACGGAAAAGAAAACACCAAAGAUCCAUAUAAACAGACAAAUGCUAGUAUAUGCUUAAGCACCCAUAAAUCGGCACACUAUAUGAUACCAGACCAAUCCCAAUAAGCCGGCAAAAGAUCUAUGUAUUCUCUCCCGAAUGAAAAGGGUGAAAAGAAAAUCCAAAAGACACCAUUUGUUUUUGCCCCUAUCCCAGCAAGCACGCAUCCAUUUCAGCGAGAUUCCUGAUAUGAUAGAAGGAGACGAGCAUAAUAUGCUAGUAAGAGCAGAACAGAGCAGAGCAGAAGAAGCGAGGGUGAGCUCACGGGACGGGUGGUGGUGGUGGUAGAAGGGCGACGUGGCGGCGGGGCCGGCGAAGGAGAAGGCGGCGGCGGCGGAGUGGGGGCUAGGGCGGACGGGGAGGAGGAGAUCGGGCGGGACGGGGACGCCGGCCAUGAGGUACUUGUAUAUGAGCGCCUGCUGCUCCAGCUCCGCCCACUGCGCGGCGGUGAAGACCGCCGCCCCACGCUGCGGCGGCGGGUACCCUCCACCACCCACUGCCCAUCCCCAUCCCCCAUCCCCCGCCGCCGCCCCCGCCGAGGACGCCGAGCUCAGCAUCGAUGGCCUGGCCCCCACCGCUUCGCUCCACCCCCAGUCCCCCACCUCACCCUUUCCUUCCUCCUUUAGGCCGACCAGCACCAAGAACGAACGUACAGACAAGAGGCGUGGGAAACGGACGGCGGAGGAGGAGGCGGGAGGGGAGGUCAGGUGGGGGUUGGAGGGUUCUUGGUGGCGGCCAUUAAUGGAGGAGGGGGAAGAUGGGAGGAGUCGGUGGAGGUGGUGGGGGAUCUGCAGAUAGGAGGGAGUCGCCGCUUUGGUCUCGCUUGGAUUUGCUUUGCUUGCGAUUGCGAUGCGAUGGUGUUCACCCGCUCCGCUGUCUGCCGCUCUGUCUUGUACUGCCCUGGGGGCUGCCCUGCCCCCCUCCUGCCCUUCCAGGGGCACACUCGGGUUUUCACCUCUCUCUCUCUCUCUUUUUUUUUUACUUCCUCCCUCGUUUUCACUGUAUGCAUACAAAGCUGCUCGCUUUUCUGCAAUUGUUACAUGUUGGGGUUUGAUGGUUGCUUGAUUGCCCUUUUGCAAGGAGGUAUGAGUAUUCGUAGAGGUCGGGAUGGUUAACCGCAAAAUCCUUGUAUAAUUUGUACGAGUAGUGUGUGAUUGUUAUGGUGAUGGCGAGCGUGACGUCGGUUGGAAGGUGAGAAGAAAAGAAGAAGGAUAAGAAGGAUUAAGAUUUAGAUCGCAGAAGAAAUGGGAUCCAAUAAGAAGUUGUUGUUGAGCUUAAAGAAUGGCUUGAAGGCAGGCCAAACCAAUAGGGUGCUGAGGCACCACCGGUCGUAGUCCCAGUAGGCUGGUGGUGGGAAGGGAUUGGGCAAAGACGGAGGAUACCGAAAAGGUUAGGAACGACGGAGUGGAGGAGGGGAUAACAGGAGGUGGUUUGAGCUGUGUGUCUAGGCUUGAAUUGUUGGACGUUGGUUGCCAACGUGACGUCUUGUCACUAGAAGGAUUGAAUGGUAAGGACUAAGGAAGGAAGAAGAAAUGAAACAAAAGGAAGAAUGAAAUGGAAAAGAGGAGGUGAAGUAUCCGCGUCCUUCGCUAGAAGUAGGUCACGGCGCAAACCACGAGUGGCACUCAAUCAACCUAUUCAUUAUUAAUAUGCUACCAUGUAUAUGUAUAACUUAUUUUAAUUGGGUUGAUUUCUGGUGAGCAUAGUAUAAAAGUUGUAGGUGUAUGGAAAAAAAAAGAGAAAAAGAUCUUAUGUCUCUCGAGAGUAUGCUUAACAUUUUUUUUAGGUUUUGCGAGUCGUCAAUUCCUAAUGCGUGGAAACUAACAGUUCGCUUAGUUGUGUUAUUAUAUCGCUUCACGUUCUUGUCUAGUUGCUUAGAGCAACCCUAGUGUAUCUAUUUUCGCCACCUUCCAAAGUACUUACGAACUCAUCAAGUCAUGGUUAGGGGGAAAAAAGUGCCAUAGCUUUUUCAAGCACUGAAGUCAGCACGUCUAGAACGUGCACGGGCACAGAGCGUGUGCGCACCAGAAACGUCUGGUGUGCUUCCCAAACCGUCAGCAGGAGAGAUAUCACCAACACCAACCGGCGGCACCACCAAACAUCCAUCACCCAUGGCAACCAAGAGCCAUCACAACCACAGAGUCACGAGGCACAGCCGCACAGGCAAAGCCAAGCCAGGCGAGAGGCCCCAACAAAAGUUUGUACACUAGAGAGCAAGAGCCCCAGUGACCAGUGUACGUCCGUGCACAGUAUGCGUAGCGCAGGAAAAAGCAUACCCCGUACACACAGCAACUGUUAUAGUGUCGUGUACAGACGUAGAAUAAAGGCCAAAUGUACUGCCGCGUCAACAACAAAAACCUCAGAGCCAUGCCCCUAAAUCCCACGCUUUUACUUGUCGCCCGUACACGGUUGAGUGGGCGCUGCGCUACAGCGGCCCAAGAUUUCACUGACCCCAGUAAAUCUUUGUACUGCCGCGUGAACAAAGGAGGAUAGAAUUAUGGAAUGGAUGAAGGUGAGGGCUGGAGAAAGGAGACGCAGAGCAUUCAAGAUCCUGAAUCCGGUACGCCCGCUAUUACCAGCACAGCACUGCCUUUGUCACAAUUUUAAUAUCUGACUGACUGAUCCUAGCUAAAAAAGAUGACUGAAUACCUGUGGUUUGGAUGAACCUACCAGAUCCUAGAAAGAAAUUGCUCUCCCUCUCUCUCUAGAGUCUAUUCUGGUUUCUCUCUCCUCUCACUAUGUUAGAAAGAUUGAUAUGGCAGUCUGCAGGCAGGGUUGCCCCUCCCUUCCCUCUCUCUACUAGAAAACCUAGAUAGGGCAGGGGGUGGUGUGCCUAGGAUGAUGAGGAGGAGAUAAAGAAAAAAACUGAAAGCAUGCAGCAUAGUUGCUGCCCCAAGUUGCAGCAACAGCUGAGGCAGGCAGAGGCACUAUAAAUGGGGGGCAAAAGGACAAGCCGAGGCUGGAGUGAAUUUACCUCUUACAAAAUGUGGGCGUGGGGGGGCACACUGAGAUCUUACAUCACCAGCUGCACGUACAUCAUCCCUUUCCUCGCCGCAUGCAUACCAGCAGCAUAUGCAUCCAUGGCUUGGCUUGGCUUGCUUUGGGACCAUCUGGUCAAAGCCAGGCAAUGCCAUGGGAGAGGAGAGAGACCAAGAGCCCAGCACCACCAGCAACUGAUUGACCUUCUUCAGCUCCAAACAAACCCUUGUGGCCAGCAACAAUCAUCAGAUAAACUUGCAGGUUGAUUCCAGCAAUAAUCAGCAGAUGAACUUGUGUCAUGGAUUGACUGACAGCAUCAGGACUCUGGCUGCCUCACACCUGUGAAAAGAAAAUCCCAAUGCAAUUUCCAGCUGCAUGCUGUAGACACCAUUGUUGCAUUUUUUAACAAGGAAACAGGGUUUGUCAGGUGCAUGUUAGCGGGUCAAGGAACACGAAGACAAUGCAGUAUGAAAACAAAAGGACGGAAAAACUGUCGUGAAAAUGUUAGUACAAUGGCAUGCCACUUCAAAGCUAAAGCUCAGAAUGGAGGGCAAAAAAAGAAAUGAAGAACAUCAAUCAUGCAGGAAAUUGAACAACAUUGAACAGGAACUGAAGCUACUUUUCGAUUUAAGAGAACCGGAUGAUACAACUCACUCUAUACAGAGGCGUACACAAACCUAACCUGGUUGCUCCUAGACAAUCAGGAAGGCCAAAAUGUGUCAACACAACUCUUCACUUUUUUUCUCCCAAAAAAAUGAGGCAUGUAUGAAUAUGACAUCUCUACAUCUGCAGCGCUGCAAAAAAAUUUGUAGCAAAGACCGAAGACAGUUGCUGGCCCAGCCAUUAUGAAUAUGGGCAGAAGAACCAUCUUCAGAUCAGUAAGUCGUAUCGCACUAUUCAAACGAACUGCGGCGUUCCCGAUAUGCAGGCACUGUGUAAUCCUCACUCACAUAAUAAGAGUAGAUGAGCGUGGCGUUGGCUUGGUUGCCGUCCGUCAACCAUUAAAAAAGAGAUAGCUAUGCAUGUCAGAAAAUGAUCUUCUUCAAAAUCAGAAGGACGAUCAUGAUGAAGAUCAGAAUGACAAGGACAGUGGCACACAUCACCAUGCCCCCUUUCUUCUGCGUCCUCUCAGCCUGCAGAACAGACGGACCAAGAUAUUAGACUGCAAGCUUCAGAUACUGAUGCUGCCAACUAUUUUUCUUUAUUUCAAGAAAUACUAUGAUCAUAAGGUUCUGCAAGUGAAGCACAGAUGACCACCAUGGAACCUCUAAAAUAAUGCAUAUAACUAUUAUGAAUGCAGAGAGAGAAAGAGAGAUCAUAAAGGCACGGGACAGUGCCUGCGAUGAGCAGUAAACUGAAGGGCUGGUUACAAAUUUACUGCCCCUGUUCACAGUAAACGUGUCCUCUUUUACAGUGAGAGAAAUAAAGCACAAGGUGCUGUUUUUUAAUCAAAAUUCAUAAGUUUCAGUUAUGUUAACACUGCAAAAAUAUUUGUUAUGAUGAAUCUAGAAAAACAAUCAGGGUAUUUAUAGAUAAUAUUGGCCAAAAAAAUAAGUUGAAUAUUUGAAUACAAGCUUCCCAUGAUGACCAAUUUUUACGGCUACCCAAAGACGUAUAACAAAAAAAAGUAAAUUUCCAAACACCUAUCAUGCUACUCCAUAAGCAUCAUAUGUUAAUACAAUCAUUGUGCAGCUUGAAGUCCUGGAAUAUGUGAUGUAGCAUUAGGUAGUUCAUCUUUACAAAGGGUCAAUUAUACAGAUCUUUUUUUCGAAAACAUAAUUCUACAGAAAUCUACAGAGGGAAAAUAACACUUCUACUAGUGAGAGUAAAGGUGGUUUGAGGAUGAGACCUUUUGCAAUUGUUUGUAGCCCUCCUCAACAGAAGCUGCAACAUUCUGUAUGUUGUAGUCUAUCCGGUCAAUGAUAGUUCCCUGUUCAAGGAAGAAAUCAAGAGUCUGGCCCCAGCUAGUAAUCAACACCAAUCAUUGACAAUGAAUCAGGAUUUCAUAUACCUGAUCAAUCACAAGAACUGAAAGAUCCUUCAUGAUCUGUGCAAGCUCGUUGACUGAUUCGACAACCUUCAGACAACAAGCAGACAAUAGCAAACAGACUUCAGGAACAUGUGCUGUCAAAAGGAGAAUAUAUAUAGUAUAUAAUUGAUUAGUGGAACAAUAGAAGAAAUAGAAAACUCACCUGUUCGAUUUCUCUUUCCCUUUCUCUGGUGAAUGCUUCGCUUUUCUUAAGUUUUGACAUCUGAACCUCAGUGAAACCCUGGUAAUAAAACCCUAGUAUGAAUUACAUCAACAACUAAUGUAAAGAACUGCUUGACUUCUCAUCAUCUAUUAGUCUGAAUCCCAACAAGUAUUUUUAGCAUAUCAAACUCCAAUCCAGCCCAAUCUACUAUGCAUGAAUAAUAAAACAUCCCAAAAAAGAAAGAAAAAAUAACUGAUAAAAAUAAAAGGAUAGAUUAUGCCAAGAAAUUUCCUAAAGUGUCUUUCUUUCAAGUGAUCCGAAAGCAGAGUUUUAGUUAUACGAAGCAACCAUCUUGCUGGACUACAUUCUGGAAGAAUUAAUGCAGGGGCAUGGUGUUAUGUUUCAUUGGACUAGUGCAGUUUGCCAGAAGCAACUGAGAUACAUAUAUCAUAUGCUACAUAUAUAUUAUUAGUCAAGCCCAUCUCUUGCAGUAGACCUCAAAUAUGAUACCACAACUUCUAAACUUUAAAUGCAAAAGUAACAUGUUUUUCCUUGUAUACACAUCUAGUUGGAGAGUCAAAUGAGUUGAAGUGGAGUUAAAACAUGAAGAAACGAAUUCAGUUGAAAUUUCUUAUUUCUGAACAGGGAAAGCAGCUGCACCUACUACAGUUGAAAUGAAACCUAAUCAACCAUACCCCUCUUAAUCAGUCCAGAAGUUCUGAAGUAAAUGGAUAGUGGAUAUUCUAGGACCUGCAUGUCAAACAUGGUCCUAGCUCGGUGCUUACCUAUUUACUAGGAUAUUCAGCCAUUGCAAUUCCCUUUUAUGUUAUCCAAAGCAUAUAGGUUUGCAGCACAAAAAUAAGUUCUCCAGACAGGUAUCCAGAUACACUCAGUGCCAAAAAAAAGGCUUCAGGAAAGCAGCAUAGAGAGCUAUCAAUUUGGCCAUUUGUAGCUCCAAUAAAUUGAUAUCAGCAACUCAGCAUCCAGAGACAGCCUUAAAAGCAAGCUCCAAUGCGAUAGAAUAUGCCAACUAUGCAACCCUCUAAUUGAGUUCUCUCCAUAAGAAAGAAUCCUAACGCAUACCCUCACCCAGUUUAAACAGAGAUUCUUGACUAGAUCUGAUCUAUGAACCUGUAUGACUAACCCAAAUAAACAAAUCACCAUUGCACAUUAGGCAUAACUAUGUCAUUGUUCUUUUCUCCUUUUAUCACCACCUUCAGUUUAUUUAUGGAUAUAAAAUGAAGCAUAUCAAUUAUCGGAAAAUCUUUAUUUCACUAUUACAGAAGUCACAAGAAGUCGCAGAGAGUGAGCAAUGAUAAAUAAAGAAUGAAAGAAUUAAUCCGAAUGUAUUAGAUUCUACUUAAGUUGCUAUAGGUAUUCCUCAUGUUAAUAUUUAAUAUGCAGUUAUGAACAGAAUUACCAAAAUCAAGCGUGUAGCAUGUAAAAAUAAAACAUACCACAUCCUCAAACUCAUCAUCUUCAAAUGUAGACUUCGUCCCAUUUAUACUCAUUUCCAAGUCAACACCAUCCUGACCCUGUACCAUUCAUCAACGAAGCAUCUUAAUCAGGAUUCCCUAAGCAGCAUAUUAGCUCAUAAUGAAUCUGACCACAACAGGAGGGAACCUCUUUUUGUUGGCGAAGCUGCUUUAGAUAAGAUGACUGCUUUUUACGGAACUCCAUUGAGAGGUUUUGCAGGUCUGUAGCAAGAGAGCGCUGCACAUGACAGUCAAAAGGUAUUUUGUCCAUCAAACAAAAUAACAACAGAUUUUCACACUUUAACUUGCAAUAACUGCCAACGAUAAAUAAGGUUCUGUCAUCACCUGGACAUUCUUUCGGACGUUUGAAUCCUCCGAUGAAUCUUUCAUGGACAGCUUCUGCAGCCUCUUCUCUGACCUCUUCAGCAAGUCAGUUAUCUCAUGUGUGAGAACCUCGAUUGCUCGCUGGUCGUCUCUGCCAUCGCCAAAUGAUGGCAUCAAGGCUUUAGCGUGUGCCUUAGCCAACUCUCCCAUUUUCAUCUUUGCCCGCUGCAUGUUUGCAGAUAUCUCUUCGGAAACAUCCACCCAGGCUGGGGGCAACCCGACCGUCACAGCACCUCUACUGCAACACAGACACCAAAUGUCAGUGCCACAUAAUUCAUCUCAUCACCAGUGAUGCAUCAACCCCAAGUAGCUAAGCUUUGCAACCCACCAUUCCAGCUAACUUCCUAAGCCACUGAUCAACAUGCUAUAAGUCUUCCAUUUGCUCGAUCUAGUGAUGCAAAUCCCCAUUUCCCAGUAAAGCAAAUCGCCCCUAUGCUACACAGGUCGUUUGCCUCGUAAUUAGCUAAUAUGGAAAAGCUUGACUAGAUCAGAGAAGCUAAUGGGCGAGUCUAGUGAUCUGCAGUCCAACCAAUUCCCUUGAAUCACCGGCCAAUUAGCCUACUCCAGUUGUUGGCAAGGUCACCUGGCACUCGAUCUAGCUGAGCAAUCAGAGACCAGACGAGAUGCGAGAGGGUGUUGGGGGAUUGUGGCACCUGGAACCGGAGGGGUCGUCGGUGCUGAGGGGCGCGUAGGGGCGGUCGGAGCGCAGCAGCGAGGCCAUCUCGAUCACCGGCCCGCCGCCGCCUCCUCCCCCGCCCCCGCCGGACGACGACGGCGCCCCGACCGGCGAGCGGACGUGGCGCAGCGCGUCGCGGUACUUGCGGUAGAGCGGCGUCCGGUUCCGCGUCGCCAUGGCGGCGGGCGCGAGGCCGAGGCCGAGGCCGAGCUGGAGCUCGGGCGCGUGAGAUCUCGACGGCGAAGGCGGAGGUGGGAGGAGGAAUUGGAGUUGGUGCGGGACGCGAGAGACGAGACGCCGUUGGGGGGAGUUGGGACUUCACCACCAAGGAAGGAGAGGACGCGAGUCGGGCCGGGCCUUUGGGCCCUAUUGACUGGGCCAAGAUGGGCUAUCAUGGAAUGUUCCUUGUGAUCUCAUCAAAGAAAAGCUUAUUCCACUGUGUGUGUGACAGAGAGAAGGGUUCUGAUUUCAUAAAUGUUAGUACAUCUCAAAAAAAAUAUUCCAAACUGUUUGAUUUUAGUGUUGAGCUUCUUUCUGUCCAAAUUGGCAACAUUUUCAGUUUGCCGUGUCUCUUGGCUCUUCAAUUGCUCUACCUUUGCAUGGUAAGUGCAUCUGUAUACACUGAUGCCUUGGUACUUACAACGCAAAGUUUGGGCAGCACAAAGUGUCAACAUAUCACAACAGUAAAGAAGAUAAAACUGAAUUUCUUUCAAGUUUUCACCGAUCCCUGAAGUACAACCAAUACACACAAUUCUCUUCUAUAUUAAUAGAAAAUGGCGCAGUCUGUGAUCGUUCGUUCAAAAAAAAAUACACACAAUAACUUAUAUCACUCAUAUUAUAUAUGAUCAUCUUUAUUACUCGUACGAGGAUCACCUAAUAUAUGCAAUUCACUCAUCUGAAGAUCACCUUAUGCAACUCAUUCAUCUGAUGAUCAAUCCUAAAGCAGUGCCUCUCGAUCGAGAGGAAGGUGCGCAGAAUUCUCGCACAUGACAGGAAAAUUCGAUCUCAUACGAGGUUCCUACUCAAUAGCAGCUCCAGAAAUGAAAGCACCAGGGACAGGGAGGCAGAACUAGAACGCGAAGGGAGCAAGAAGAAGACACCGUUGCGAUUGAAUCAUGUCAGUACAAGGUGAUGCCGAAGGACUGGCUGACGAGGAUGGCGAGCCCCAUGGAAAUCGCCAACAGCGACGCCGCCCACGUGAGCUUCUCCGUGAUCCGAGGGAUCCUGUCCUUGAGCGCCUCCGUGCAGGAGCCGAUGAAGACGGUGUAGCUCCCCAUGGAGACCACGGUCCCGACGAGGAACAUGCCGAGGAAUGCGGCGCCGGCGACGCGCGAGGGGAGGGCCAGCGCCGGCAGCACCAUCAUGAGCGCGUCCGGCUGCAGGCCGUGGACGAUCCCGGUGGCGAACGUCGCGAAGUUGAUCUUCUUCUUCCCGCCCGGCAGGGUCUCGCCCACGGUGUGGUGGUGGUGGUGGCGGUGGUCCACCACGCCGCCGACGUCGCACUCGCCGCCGUCCAGCGCGACGCACGGUGUGGGCACCUCGCUGGCCUCCCGGAUCCCGAGCGCGCCGAUGACGAGCAGCGUGAGCGCGACGACGCGGGUGCUCCAGGUGCGGAUGAUCUCGAUGUGGAGGCGGUCCUUGAGGCCGAGGAAGAGCAGGCCGAAGAUCACCUGGCCGGCGUCGUGGCCGCAGCCCCAGAGCGCGCCCACCACGGCGCUCUCCACCCUGGAACGGCCGAUGGAGAGCGGCGCCAGCGCGGCGAGGUGGUCCGGGCCGGAGAGCGUGUGCAGGCACCCGGCGAGGAACCCCGUCCACGCGCUGCCGAGGAGCUCGGACUUGAAGAGGGUGGUGCCGGCUUUGGCGGUGGGGUGGUAGUGCGCCAACGCCGGAGGCGCCCAGGAUGGCUGGACCAGCGUCAGGAUGAUCGCCGAGAGCAGAGUGACAGCUGCAGCAGAAGUCACCUGUUAGAAUGCAGAAAGGAAAACUGUGAGCAAACAUAGCACAUACUACAGGGAACUCUGCACACGAAUGCGCUGCGACACAACAUUUUCGGCAUUUCAGCAGGCAAGGAAGGCUGUCAGAGGAUCUGCUACUCCUUUCGUUGACAUUUGAGAUGCUCAAUGGUACACAUUACCAAUUCAACAAUGUUGCCACACAUUUUUCAUUGUUCGAAAAAUCAACUUCUAAGAGUGUUCUUCUUUUGAUAAAUAUAAUAAUUCUAUAAAAAAAAUAUUGCUGCGCUGUUUGCUCCAUGACCUUGUGAGUUCUUCGUGUUCAACUCCUUGGACCUUGGAUUGUGAUGACUGGCGAUACAAACGCAUACGGAAUCCCAGAACAUUACAGAACUGAUGUGGUACUCACUGUUCGUACUCGAGUGGCACGAAGAAAAUAAACACAACGGGUUCUGUUUCUACCAUUCCUACGGCGCGAGAUGGAUUACUAAGCAUGAUGCAUGGUGACGGAGGAAUCAACACGUGCGCCGGUGCCCGUGCUUGCGCAGAGCCGACCAGACAAGCGCUCACCUUCUGGAAGAAGCGGCGGCGCGUGUUGGACGCGGCAUCACCCUCACCAUCCGCCGCAGUUGUGGGAGCAGUGCCGGCGCCGCCGGAGGCGGCGGGGGCCGGAGGAGGCGUCGGGCGGUGCCGGGAGAGGAGCGACGCGAGGGGCGGCCUGAUGAGCGAGGGCCCGAGCCCUCCUCCGUUGCAUGGAGGGAACGCGACGAAGGGUGGCCUGUGUGUCCGGGGCUUGGUGACGCCGUCGGCGGCCGCGACGGGCGCGCGGCGGAGGAGCGGCGAGGAAGAGAUAAGCCUCUCCAUGGCGCUCCGCUGCGGCUUGGCUCGACGAGGAUUUGAUUUGUUUGGGGGUCGGGCCGGGAGAGAGAGGCCCGUGCUAAGGCCGCGCGGAGGCGAUCGCGCCCGUCCAUCUUUUGCUUUCGGAUUCGUGCACUCUGGGCCUGUACAUUCCAACAUGGGCUGUGCUUGGUUUACAGACCAAAAUGGACCCAUGAGGCCCACAAUGGCAGCGCUGAGUUGGGUUGGGCUGUUGCUGGGUUGCCACUGAGACGGGUGGGUGAUGAAGCCCAUUAUCGGUCUGUUCCUGUUUUUUGCUAUGAUGGCGGGAGGCAGGCGCACCGUCCCUUUCCUCUUCAGAAAACUCGCCGUUGGAAAUGGAAAAGGAAAACAAAAUGCUAUGCUUGCUGGGAACGGAAAAUGGAAGAAAAAAACGUUGCACAAUAGAAUUAUUGCGUAAAUUCGUAAUGUCACUGACAACAAGCACGCGCGGGCUCUCCCGUUAGACGAAUUCUUUGUCGUGCACAAACUCUACGUGGAUGGAGUCUUACGGCUCCGGAAUCACGUCGUUUUCAGCUCAGCGUCGUCGCGUAGACUCGCUCAACGUAGUCGCAUGGCAUCGGCGAUUUGGGAACCUGGAGGUGGAAGACAAGACAAGAGAAUAUGCCUCCACCUGGUCAGUGGCUCUUUUGAAUCCAACCAUGAUGCUCGUCGCCGCGUCAUUGAUUGUCAGCGUACAGUGACAGAGGUAGGAUAAAAUUACAGGUGGGGCGAGUUCUAGCGUGAAAGGAGAACAAAAUACAAAUUUGUACCGUUGCACCAAUCCAACAGUGUAAAAAAAAACUGCAAUCAUUCGAUCAAGAUCAAUUUUGUAGACAAAAGAUAAGCACUAUCAAGAAAUGCGCACUUCAUGUGUGUUUCGAACGCAAAUAAUUAGUUUCGCCUAGAAGACAAUCCCAAUUCCAACCAAGUAAAGUAAGGGCGUCAUGUGUAGAUUAUGCUAGUAAUUUGCAUGUGGGAAAAGAGCUGCUGAUUCUAAUCAAUCGUUGGAACACAUAGGACACCACACCGCUGCUCGCCUGGGCAGAACGGACCGAUCCUGCUCCGUGCGCCCAUCCGCCGCUACUGCUCGCGAGCCGCACUCCCGGAUGCCAUGCCGCGCCGCCGCUAAGAUCGAAUCGGCGAGAAUAGCGCUGGGCGGCGUACACAAGCAAUUGGCCACUGGACUGGGCAUCUGGCCACAUUACGCCCGGCCACGCAUCCUCCGUGUCUCACUCUCCUCUUCAUCUCGGUCUCAUCUGCAGCCAUGGCUUUGAUGCAGAGGAAGAGGGGGCGAGGGGCGACGAGGAAGAUGGAGGUGGGGGUGUGAGGCAAGAUGCUGGUAGCUGGGGCAGCUGCCCCACCCCGCCUCAACGUGGCUCCACCUCUGUUAGUGUACAUGAUGCUCGCUAAAUCUGAAAAAACCCAGAGGUUAUUUGGAUUCCUCGGAAACCCCCACAUGAGGCUUCUUAUUCACUCCUCCAUGUGCAUCAUGGAAUUUUUUUUUUGACUCACUGACCAAGUCCAAAAAGUCCAAAAUUAUAAGGUAAUAUAUAGGUGGCCAACCAACGUUAUUUAUUUACGAGCAAUCAGAAUAUAAAAAAAUUCUGACCGGUUCUUUUUUAAGGGAAAAAAAGGCAGCAAAAGAGAAAAAUGUGGUAAGAUUAAAAGCCACACAACGACUUUGUUUUCAUCCUUUUUCCCCCGCACAAAUGGAGCUAUCCUUUCACCAUUAUUAAAGAAAAGGAAGUCCAACUAGAACCAUUGAUCGUGCUUGUGAAAGACGGCCAGUUAGUGCUCAUCGACGAGGAAAUGUUUGCAUCGACUUUGUUGAUCCAUCUAACGAGCCACAGUCCUUUAAAUGCGCUCAAAGUGUGGCAAAAUGCAAGACAUGUGCUUUUAUAUAAAUCUCCAUUUCGUACCGUGUUUUAAAAAAGGAACAGGAGAGAGAGAGAGAGAGAGAGGCCACGUACGUGCGUCCAUGCAGGGCUCUGCAGCCGCGACAUGGAAUCAUGGAUCCAUCAUUCCAUCACUCGCUGCCUCACGGCGCGCGAGACGUGCGAGCCUCUCUGCGGGUCUGCUGGGAAAUGGGAGCUGGAGCUUUGAAUCGAUCGGAAUCCGCACCACCAGCAUGCCACCCAUGCGAUCUUGUGACACUCAGUGCAAAAAUAUUGCUAAAUCCCAAUGUUGUACUCUCCCUCCGGUCUCAAACAUAUGACGUGCAGAAGAACGAACAUAAAAUAAACUGACUAGCUUGUCCUAAACAGAAGUAUCUUUAAAAACAGAUGGAAUAUAAAAAAGAUAGCAUUGUUCGUGAUCAGAUAAUUCAAGGGGUGUAGCUAGACCAAACCCACACCUAGGACCACUUAAUGGAGAGAUAAUUUGCUAGUUGGAUUGGACCUCUAAUGGACCUGUUUGCUUCAGCUUAUAAGCCGGCUGAAAAGCUGAAAUGGCUGAUUUGUUAUGAGAGGAAAACACUAUUUAGUGACUGAUAAGCUGGCUGAAUAAGCUGAAACGAACAAGCUGAAUAACUACACGAUCAAGCAUCGCAAAAAGAAUUCAGCAUGGGCAUACUGGCACUAGGCGUUCCUUCGCCACUGGAUGAUUCUAUGCGUGGCUAAUACAUCAUGUGCCUCAUGUGCCACCAACAGUUGCAGAUGCAGCGAAUCACAAAACUAUCACUUAACCUGAAGAUUAGAGCUUGAUUCCCACGUGUAGGUGAUUUUCUUGAGACCAUUUCCACGAGCACGCCGGAUUGGCAGUGCACGCAGCGCGCUGCACGCCCCGAGAGAUCGUCCUGCCUACCGACACCAACCAACAACACUCUCACGUCGACACGAAUCCAAACCAUCCAUGCAUUAAUUAAUCAAUUAGCCCUAACUGCAGCGAAGGAGACGGUCGACCGGGUCUGCUCGUUCGGCUGGCUGCUGCUGCUGCUCAGCAGCUGGCUGCAGCGAGCUCUCUGCCGCAGCACGCAGCAGCUGGCAGCCACUUGGCUUUGGCUUGGCCCCGUAGCUUUCAAACGGCUCCCCCCACGUCCGGAGAGGGCCGGGGCGCCUGCAUCUCUUCCCGCCACUCCGUCGCGAAUUUUUUCGUGACGUGCCCCUGUGGAACACGCUAAUUAACCACGUGGCCCUUUAACUCGCUGCUUUUUUUUAACACGAUGCUUUGCCUAUUUUCUUUUUGCUGAUUUGACUAAUCAAGCCACCCCGGAUGGCACGUUGUUUACUUGUUUUAGUUGGGACAAGGUUGAUGUUGGACCAUCUUUGUCUCUUGCUAAAAUUUCAUGCUUAAUAGAACGAAUAAUAGCACUGGAUCAUAGUCUUUUCUCCUUAGUAACAGUAAGUCUCAAGAUUUUACCCUAUAAUAAGUCUCAUGCCAUCUUUUUUUCCACUUGUUUCAACAUCUACAUCCGAGUUUGAUUUUUGUAUCAAGUUGAAUUGCUCGACGAAGCCAAAGAGAUACUCCCUAUAUCCAUAAAUUUUAAGCAUUUUUUGCCUAUGCACCUAGAUAGUUACUUACCCAGUAUCCUUACAUUUAUAUUAUAAAAAAGGUAAACAACGGAUAAUUAGAUUCCGACACGUAUGGAGCAACUGUUGGAACCGAUACAAGUAGAAUUUGCCAUGUUUGACGAAGUGCAAAUACACCCCUGGAACUUUGUGAAUACUUCAAUCCUGCUGAGUUCAGCACAGUAGUCGAUUGGAGUCAAACGCAAGGUCCAAACAAGAAAACGGAGAAAAGAGAUAAAAGAUACGAAAACAAAAGGAUUAAUUAAUGAUGCGGUAGCAACUUUCACCUCAAACUCCUCUGGCCUCCCCCCUCCCCACUCACAGAGGNNNNNNNNNNNNNNNNNNNNNNNNNNNNNNNNNNNNNNNNNNNNNNNNNNNNNNNNNNNNNNNNNNNNNNNNNNNNNNNNNNNNNNNNNNNNNNNNNNNNCAUUUCCCACACCACUACACUGGUCUGUGGUACCCAUAACUUUAGCAAAAAAGUCCCAAUGGUCGAGUUUCUCAGAGCCACUCCCCCCCCCCCCCCCCCCCCACCCGCCUCGGGAGGACCCUCCCCUCCUCCGCCUCUCGCCGGACUCCGGCCGCCGCGCGGCGCGGCCGCAAUUCCCGGGUCCCGCGGCCUCGCCUCCCGGGGUAUGGAUGCUUGACGAGUCCAGGGGCGCUACCACGACUUGAGUUGGGGGAGUGGCGCGGAAGAUGCUGAGCUCGUCGGUGUCGAGGCGGGACGCGGCGAGGAGCGGCGAGCUCCCGCGGCCUCCUGCGGCGGGUAUGGCGCGGAGCGGGGAGCUGCCGAAGGGCGCGUCCGCGGGGCCGGCGCCGGCCGCGGCCGCGGUGAGGCACGAGGGGUGGCUGGUGCGGCACGGGCGGAGGAAGAUCGGGAGGUCCUUCUUCCACAUGCGCUACUUCGUCCUCGACAACAAGCUGCUCGCCUACUACAAGAAGAAGCCCAGGGACAGCAUGGUAUGUAUGUCUUGCGUCGUAUGUACGCUCUGAAUUCUGCUGUUGGGGGUCGUUAGAACCGCUCUGAAUUCUGCUGUUGUGGAAAUCUGCUCUGAGCUCCUCCUCUGUUGCAAAAUUUGCCUGCGGUUCUAGUCACUAGAGUUACCUGCUGAAGGUCUGAUUGCUGUCGGAGUUCCUUUGCUUGUGAUUCAUAGGCUUUGGGAUUUUCCCUCUCGCUGUUUUUGAAUUUUGAGGAGGGGUUGACCAGAUUGAGAUGCAUGGAACUGGGUCUGGAGUCUGGAGCAGUGGGCAUAAUUGUUUUCUAGUGUAGGAAUCAUUCCAGCUGAUGCCAAUUGCGAACCAUGGAGUUGAGGGGCCAACCAAUGUUGGAAUUGUUGACCAUUUUGGAUAAUUAGAUGCUUUAAUGAUCAUUAGACUCCGGGAGGUGCUGAAUAAUGGCACACUUGUAAAUAGUAGAGUUUUGGUCCUCAGCUAAUCAUGCAUCAUGCAAGCAACUUGUUUGGCCUGCCUAGACUUCUUUAGUGUACCAAUCAUUCAAUAUAAUGAUUAGCUGUAAAGCUAUUCCUUCCACAAAUGCAACGCAUAUUCUGUGAUUAAGAAUAUAACCGCUAAUUGAAUAAAAGUUUCCUUUCUAACAAGUUUGUUUCCGUAUUCAUGCUGAUUCUUUGCCUUAAUGAAUCAAUCCAUUCCAGUUUCAUAGUAGAGCAUGGUUUGAUGGUUAAACUAGGUAUACUCACUGACAGCAUGAUGUAAUUGUUUUCGACUUUCUACUGAAUUUGUGAGUUUUGCAGGUUCCGCUCAAGUCAAUUCUUAUUGAUGGAAAUUGCAGAGUGGAGGAUAGAGGGCUUAAAACACAUCAUGGUCAAGUAAGAUUUCUCUCCCCCUUGCAAAAUAUCUUUCGAAAAGCUAAAGUUUAUAUGUUUAGGAGGGCAGUUUUCUGAUUUAGACAAAUAAGCUGCAAUGGCUGUAGCCUGUAUUGCUAGGAUUCGUUCUGUAGCUUAUUCAUAAAUGUGAUCCACACCCUCUAAACUUUUUCUGUCAUUUACUCACUUGAAAUUUUGAGGUAGUUUUCUUAAUCGUCUUCUCAUUAUUACUCCUGUUUAACUUUUGCAGAUGAUUUAUUUCCUAUGCAUUUACAACAAGAAACAAAAGGAGAAUCAAAUCACGGUUUGUUAUAAUGCUGAACUCUGCAGCACUUUCAGAACUAUCUGACUAUAUUUAAUAUGAGUAAUUUUAAAAAUUGGAUUUGUUGAUGUCCUUUUAUGAGCACUCGUUCUUUCCUAUGCCAAGCUUCUUGCGGUGGACUGAUUAGAGCGUUGAACUCCAGGAGUUAUUGAAACUCCCAUUCCGACCCCGGUUCGAAGCAUGCCACCUUCCUAGUACCAAGCCGGGGGGGGGGGGAUUUUUGCCUAUGGUCGAGUUUUUUCUAAUUAUUUUUGUACUAUUAGCUGUAAGAAUUUAUCCCUUAACUACGAAACCGACUAAUGUCCACAUCUGCUUCAUUUUUUGAAAGUUGAGGGUACUAGGUAUAAAGUUUUUGAAAGACUUGUGCAGCUUGCACUUUUUCAUCCUUUUGCAGACUGCCGGAUUCUCUUGUUUGAACCUCUUUUUCUUUGUGGCAAUGUAUAUUUAUAUCACUGAUAUGAAUACUAUGCCAAUGCUGCACUUUUCUUCAACCAGAUGGGUGCAUAUGAUAUUGAAGAUGCCCUAACCUGGAAGAGGAAGCUGGAGUUUCUGAUUGAUCAGGUACAUUAAGUCUGACUUGCUUUAUCUAAAGUUCUUAAAAAUAAUUAUGUAUGUGUGUAUGGCAUUUCUUAACACGAACAAGGAUUAUAUAUUAUGAUUGUCUUAUUCAGCAUUUUCCUGUUUAGUGGUCAUGGUGUGCAAGUGAAUAUGGCUUGUAGUAUUCAAAAACAGAAUCUAGACAGUUCUGCUAUUUGCCUGUUAUGUUCGAAAAAAAAGUCUUCAACAGCCAAUUUUCAGGAAUUUCCAAUGCCCUAAGUAUAUAAAUCAGGAAUCUGGUUGGUCACUUACCAUAACUUCAGAUGAACUAGAUGUCAAAUUGUGUCAAACAGCAAAAUAUUCUGCACAUGCCACAUGCCAUUAUGAUAAAUAUCGGUGAUCUUUAUUGUGCAGCAACAGGAUAGUAUGACAGCUAAAAACCGUAAAGCUUUUGCUUCAUUGGACUUCGACAUAGAUCUUGGAGGACCAUUUUCGUUCUCUGAUCAUGACAGUGGGCAAGUAUUUUUUUUUUUUCCCCCCCACCCCCCCCCCCCCCCCCCCCGCCCCCCCCAAUAGUUGCAUAUAAGUCCUUUCUUUUUGUUAAUUGGAGAUUCAUUCUACUGCAGUCCUGAAGAUGAAGAAGAGCCCCGGCCCACCUUGCUUCGCAGGACAACUAUAGGGAAUGGUAUGGAGUUCUAUAACAUUGUUAUUCUAUUAAUCUAGACUUUAUUUAAUACUUUAUAUUAAUCUAUGGCUAUGCUGCAGCUGCAGAACCUAAUUUGUCUUUUCUUUUGCUAGGCCCUCCUGAUUCUGUACUUGACUGGACCAAAGAGCCUGAUAUUGGGCUGUCAAAUCAGAGUGACACCAAUCAGGCUUACUCCAGGAAGAACUGGAGGCUUCUUAGAUGCCAGAAUGGCAAGUUUCCUUUACAUAAAUUAUUGACCCUUCCUUAAGAGGAUACUUUGAGUUCAAGUCAAAUGGUGUUACACUGGGACUAAGUAUCCUGUUUUUUUUCAUUGAUAGGAUUGCGCAUCUUUGAAGAACUUGUGGAGGUUGAAUACCUUGUAUGUACCUCCUCUUACCUCUAGACUGCUGGACAGUGAACGAAACUCCUGCUAUUUCUGACAGACUGACAAUACUUGUCUCUUCUUAUUCAUUUUCAGGCAAGAAGCUGUAGUCGAGCAAUGAGGGCUGUCGGCGUGGUGGAAGCCUCAUGCGAGGCCAUUUUUGGGCUUGUAAUGGGUAUGGAUGUAACACGAUAUGAGUAAGUGUUUCUUGCUUUAUUUCCUUGUCAUUCAUAGAUGGAUGUUGACCCAUAUCCUGUAUUCUCCUAUGCAGAUGGGAUUGUAGUUUCCAAUAUGGGAGUUUAGUUGAAGAGGUCGAUGGCCAUACUGCAAUAUUGUACCAUCGUUUACAACUUAACUGGUGUUCAAUGUAAGUACAUUUUCCUCGUGUUGCUUGUCAGUUAUCAAUUGUUGCUUCUUUCUAACAACUCGCACGAUUAUUACAUUCCCCAUCCUCUUGAAAUAACAAUGAAUGAACGAUACUGUCCUCUCGAUAACUAUCUGAGCACAUACUUUCGUAUAUUUAAAUUUGAGUUCAGAAUUAUGGGAACCAGAUAUAUAUUGUAGUAUCAUUUAGAUUAGCAUUGCCUGCACCCAAUAGCAACUCCAACAUUGUUUGAUUUGCCUGGAUGGCUGAAUGUGCCUGUACAAUUCACAGUUCAGUAUAUUUUGCAGUAUCUGGUAUAUCUCGCAAAAUCGUACAAUGGCAGUGUAUAUCCUGGUCUAAGACUCUUGUGUUACUCCCAAAAGUAUAAGUUUAUGCUGUACCAUGCAAAAGCAACUUUCUAGAGUAGCUCUGGAAUGCUGGCACUUGAAAUGCAUACUUUGGUACCUCUAGUCAGGGAUGGAAACUUGCUACUGCCACAUGCAGCACCAUGAGGAAUUUGUUCCAAAAGAUUGAUUAUACUGCAGACUGCACUAUCUCAGAUUUUGAUCCUCAUGCUUCCAUCUUAUGUGAACAUGGUCAUGCAGGGUUGUCUGGCCCCGAGAUCUUUGUUAUGUACGAUAUUGGCGUCGCAACGAUGAUGGAAGCUAUGGUAUUCUUUUAAAACAAUUUUUUUCUUGGUUACUCAUCUAUCAAGAGUGAUCUUUCUGAUCCUUGGUACUUAAACUUGCAGUCGUGCUGUUUCGAUCUACUGAACAUCAGAACUGUGGCCCCCAACCAGGAUUUGUGAGAGCUAUUAUCGAAAGUAAUUCACCUUCUGCUUUUGUCAGGAAUCCUACCCUUGUUAUUUUUAAAAAGUUUGCCACCUUUCUUCCAUUUUCCUUAACUUCCUACUAGUUCAGGUGGAGGUUUCAAGAUUUCUCCUCUCAAAAGCCUCAAUGGGAGACCGCGCACUCAAGUUCAACACCUUAUGCAAAUUGAUCUUAGUGGAUGGGGCGUGAACUAUUUUCCAUCAUUCCAAUACCACUCUUUGUUGCAGAUGCUGAACUGUGUUGCUGGUACAAAUUACACACAACUAUUUACCUGCAAUUACAUGAUUUCUUGAUUAUCUAUCAAUAAUAGAGGUGCAAAUAAAGCUUGGUGAAGGCUCUAAAAUGCCCCUUUGCCUGAUGGUCUGUGGUUGUUGAGGAUUUGACAUUGCAUUUAUUUUCAGGAUUGCGUGAAUAUUUUUCCCAAACGGAUGAAGUUCAUACGGUUCCAAGGAUUCCGGUGAUGCAUGCCAUGGUUAAUACAAUCUCAAUGAAAAAGGACCAGAAGCUUCAAGAACCUGACACGAAGACCAAACAAACUGAUAAAAUCUUAGAUAUGGUAGAUGAAGAGUCGGAAGAUGAUGAUGACUAUCAAGUUCCUGACGCUGACUUGGAGGUGAUCACUCAUCCAGUUUCUAUAGUUUGCCAAAGGUUUUGCUGUUGGUCACUUCACAAUAAAAUUUCAUUGCAAUUCAUGUACAGGAAGAACCUACCAAAUCUGACAGUGAUGCUAAGAGCUCAGGUUUGUUUCUUUUCUAACUCCAUUCUUGUAGUUUGAUAACUUUGUAAGUUGCUAAGUGAUUAUCCAUGUUUUAAUCUGACAAAUUUUCCAUUAUAUUUGGUGAUCCUUCAGAUCCAAUAGAUUUGUCUUGGUUUUCGGGCAUUAUUCGUCAGGAUGCAAAUGAGAAAAGUCGUAACUGUUGGACAGUACCUGAUAACAAGGUCUUUAAAGUUCGUAGCAAGAACUUUCCACAUGACAAAUCAAAGGUCCAGGCGUUCAAGUGGCACAAUCAGUUUUCUUUUUGAAGCAUAGCAGGCAAUCAGGGACUUAGUAUUCUGUCAUUUGACUUACAGGUACCUGCAGGGAAGUACCUUAUGGAGCUCGUAGCGAUUGACUGGUUUAAGGACACCAAGCGAAUGGACCAUGUUGCUAGGCGGAAAGGAUGUGCAGCUCAGGUCAGAAAGUCUGUCAUAGUUGCUUAAUUGCAUUUUCGUAUCUCAGUGACUUUUUCUGUAAUUUACUGUUACUUGAUUACACGGCACCUGAGCACAUGUUUCUAACCUGCAAAGCAGAACUUGGAGUAAUAGAAUACCAUUGCAUUGGAGGACUGUUGGUUCGACCAACAUUGUGCUUUUAAAUAUAUAGAUAUAGCUGUUCCCUAUUUUUGGCAAACCUUGUGGUAGCAAUUCUCUUUUCUUUCAUGAUGUUUUGGGAUUGCGGAUCAAGUCCUGCUUUGGGAUAGGCUAGGUUGCUGGUCUGGUCAGACUUCUUUGUGCCAUGAGUAGGUCAACUUUUCUUAGGGUCGUGGGAUGUGGGCUGUCCAACAUCUAGCAAGUAAUCGUGUUAGCUUUGUGCACCCCAUGUUCAUUCUUGUGGUUCGCCCUCAUCUGCCGCGUAGUGUUGUUUGUUCUGUGUUCCUGCUGUGUCAAUUUCUAUAAGUGUUUUGCUGUGUAAACCCUCUCCUUGAUGAAAUACUGCAUUGAAAAGAUUCCCUUUCCUUUUCAAAUAAUGUUUAAUCUAGCUGUACCUUGCAUAGUAGCAAGUACAUGACAUGUGUCAAUAUCUCUAUCGUACUUGUCACAAAAAAAAAAAACUAACAUGUGAAGAGUUAGUAUGUGAUACAAUGUGCUCAUAUAAGCAGUUGGAUGAACUCUGGACCACUACAGGAACAGUUGUUGGGCUAUGGAUUAAGACUAGGUAUAUUUUAGACUUUUAUGCUUUAGGUCAUAAAUUCAGAAUGAUAGUAUGACAAUAUCUUAUGGUUAUUUGACUGAGGUUGGCACAUCUUGAGUUCAAAUUGUCUUCAUUUUAAUAUGAACAUAUAUGCCAGCUUGUGUAAUGUGUACUGAAUACAGGUCCAACCCUUAAUUUAGUGUUUCUGUUACAUGAUAAUUUCAACUGAACGUUUUUUAGUGUAGGUUGCUGCUGAGAAGGGAAUGUUCACUUUUCUCGUGAACAUACAAGUAAGCUCGUGUUCUAACACUCCCCCCUGUUCAUUUAUUUCUGUCCUGCUUGUGCCUUUUCCUCACAGAAAGGCAACCACAUAAAAUACAUGAAAUUCACUGAUCAGCAAUCUGCAUGUGUUCUUAUAAAUGCCUAUUUUGUAUUGCUUCAUAAACCAAAGUUCAUAAACAUUACAAAUAAGAGCAGGUGCAGUGUGCUACAGUAAACAUUUACUUAUGAUAGGCAUGCUUUGCAUGGUAGUAAAUUUAUCGCCUUGUCCACAUGAUAGUUUCACAACUAAAUAAGAAAACGAUAAACUUAUGGCAUUCUCCUAAUGCCUCCUGUUGUUCCUAUUGAUGAUUUUUCUUCUGCACUUAGGUUAUGCUGGUUAAGUCACUAUUCUCUUGCAGAUUCCUGGAUCAAGUCAUUACAGCUUGGUCCUUUAUUUUGUCUCAAGCUCCUUGAAGAAAGGAUCAUUGUUGCAGCGCUUUGCAGAUGGUGAUGAUGAUUUUCGGAACAGCAGAUUGAAGCUUAUUCCAUCUGUUCCGAAGGUUUGUUCAAGUGCAAAGUCAUUGCAAGUGUUCAUUGGAAGCUUGUUCUCAUUUUAGCAUGUUUGAACUCUUCAGGGGUCUUGGAUAGUGCGGCAGAGCGUUGGAAGCACGCCUUGCUUACUGGGGAAGGCUGUUGACUGCAGCUAUUUGCGUGGUCCUGAGUACUUAGAAGUAAGUCUAUACAUUAGUAAACAUAUAGUUGCAAUUCAACUUCUUUAUUUGAUGAACAGCAAAUCUACAUCGUGAACCUACAAUGAAUAGGUUCUUACAUCGUGACAAUUCUGCAGGUGGAUGUAGAUAUUGGUUCAUCAGCAGUAGCCAACGGGGUCCUGGGCUUGGUGUUUGGUGUUGUUACCACCUUGGUAGUUGACAUGGCGUUUCUUAUCCAGGUAAAUGAACCCCCUUAGACCAUCUUUGCUUCCUUCAGGUUCCAGCAUCCAAUCCUAAUUGCUUCUCUGCCUUGCGUUGCACCUGCAGGCAAACACAUACGACGAGCUCCCGGAGCAGCUUCUAGGCGCCGCGCGGCUGUCACACAUCGAACCCUCCGCAGCAGUGAACCCUGAGCUUGAUAACAUUUCCUGAAUGGGAUGACUCAAGCUGUGCAGAUUCUUUCAUUCUUUCCCCCAUUACGCUCUCCAUUUGUUCAGCCACUGCAGCAUUUCGCAGUUUGAUAUUGGAGGUGCAUACUGGAGACAGACCCUGCAGCAGUCUACAAGUUCAUGUGCCUCGCCUUCAUACAGUUUUGUCUUUUCUUUUUUAUUCUUCUUUACUGGUGUAGUUUCUUUACAGUUAAUGUGAUGCAGUAGAUAUACCAAAGACUAUACAGCAUGGUUUGGAAACCAAUUCAUGUACAUGUUGCAGCCCUGUCAUCAUAUACAUGCAGCAGUGUUAGCUCGAUUAUUCAUCGCCUUUUUCUCUCCUUGAGAGGAACGAGCAUGCAGCAGUGUUGCAGUAUAUUGGCUGAACAAUAUACACCUGGCCUGGCCGAUGAUAUAUUUUUUUGGUGUAUGUUGCUUUGUACCAUAGCACUGUCAGAGUAUCAGUACAUUUGCUGCUACACUCAGUGAACUUCGAUUCAUUGCAUGUUUGGCGAUUGAAACUGCCACUGGUACAAUUCGUAAUACCAGGCCUGCCACGGGCACUCUUGGUCGUAUCCAAAUCUAAAUAUAUAUUAUCCAAUGCUCACGCUCUCUAUUCUCACCUAUAUCUAAUGGAUAAUUAAUUUUAUACUGAAUAUUAUGUAUACUAGUAAAUAUGCCCGUGCGUUGCAACGAGAACAAACACCAAAUCAGUAGUAAGUUAAACAAAUCGUGAGCUCAGGUGUAAAGUACAAGUACUCCCUUCGUUUCAAAUUGUAGGUCGUUAUAGCUUUUCUAAGUAUAUAGGACUCGUUUGGCAGUGCUGUAGCUGUGGUUGAAAUGACUCUGGCCGUGGCUUCUUUGGUGGAGCACAGUACAUCAUUCCUACAUAUAUAACCACUUAACACCAAAUUUGUUACCUCGGGAACCACCUAUCCAGCAACAACUGUUUGUGACACAUGAACUCACUACUGGUAGCAUCACACUGCAGGUAAAAAUAAAGAUCUAGGGGGAAACAUGAAAAAACAUGGCAACUUGAUUGGUAGAAAAUACAGUCACAAACCAGAUAUGACAGCAGCCUGAAAUCUAAAUGACAGAUAGCAUAGAAUGCAUGCUAGAAACAUCACCAGGCAACUUAAUUGGCAGCACAGCAUUGCCUUCUGUUCAUUGAAAGCAACAGUUGUUCUAUCUAAUCUGAAAAGUGGGAAUAAGUUAUUCCAAAGAUAGUUCCUCUAUUAAAGCAUGUUACUUCUGACUGAUCCCUUUAACAUUUAAUAUUUUUGCUUAUGCUCUUUUUUCUCAACUAUGACUUUCUCUCAUAGCUAUGCUUCAAAAUUGUAGUAGGAAAUAUGCUACACCUUAUUGUGGAAGCCUGUAUAGUCAGAAACUUAUUUUUCUCUGGUUCAUAUAUCACUUUCACCUUGUCAUAGCUGGAAACAACUUUGUUUUUGUCUAUAGAAGGCAAUGCAGCGGACAUUGAUUUUGUAACAGCUAUAAUUGCGUCUCCACAGGUCACCACUUUGCACACCGCUGAUCUAGAUGCAAUCACUUGUUCUACCUUACACUGCUGCUCUUAUGCAUCAAGCAUAGAUAAAUUGCUGAACUCAAGUGAACUUUGCAAAUGCAGAAAAUAUCGGUAUCAGAAUUUGCUUAACACAAAAAAAGCAGUUAAAACAAGAAAUAGGUAGUUAAUCUUUUGUUCAGGCAAUACAACAAGCAACUGGUGUGCAUCAGAGCUGAAGUAGAAGGAAGGGCAUGGACCUAUGAGCUUCUCCAUGGUAGGCUCAUCCUGAUACCCUUAGUUCACCCGAUAAAUUUCGUUGUCCCAGGAUAAACUUGACGAAUCAACUUUCUCAUCACCAAAUCAAGCACCUACAAUGACCAAAUCGAAACAAAACAAACCAAAAUGGAAUACAUAUUCACAAAAUUGAACUGCAGAUCAACCAAAUCAAUCUAUGGAUGCAUAAAAUUGAGGGGGCUGCGAUAACCUGGAAGGGAGGGCUCUGGGAGAUGAGGAUGCCGGAAGGUGCGGCCCAUGGAUGUGAGGAGAUGCUACAGUCGCGCCGCAUCUUGCCCUUGCGCUGCCAUCUCCCUUACUGGGAGCACUGAGAAGAGCAUCAUAGAGGACGCACGCGAGGGAGAGAUGGUAGGGCAGCGCUGCGAUGGGAGGAGAGGCGGCAGUCCACCGCUAGCGUCUCUGCUCCACCGCUACCUCCAGAGCUUGCUCCCUCCACCAGCCCCCACUGCUUCCGCUCCCGACGCCGCAGUCCGCCGGCCCCACCACCGCCUCACGUCCCAUGGCCCCAACACCGCACGGCGGCCCGCACCUUCGUCCCGCGCCGUUGUUGCCAUAUGCCCCAGGCCGGCCGGCCUCGUCCACGCUGCCGGUCCCCUCGAGUCUGCUCCUCAGCGCACGCCGUCGGCCCGUGCCCCAGCGUUGCUGCCCACAAGCCUCGUAUUCGUUCUCCGCCCCCUCCCGCACUGCCAAGCGCCCGACCGACCUCAUCGCCGAGGCCGCGCGGGGCAGCGGCGGGGCGUCCCGCUCCGGCCGCUGCCCGCGCCCAAUCCCCUCCGUCGCCUCUUAAGAAAGGAGAAGCUUUUUCUCAUUUAACCCCCUCUCUUCCCUUCUUUUUCCACCUGAGCUCCCCUCUCUUCAAAAUUGGACUGCGGGUUGAUUACUGAAAACUUGAGGGGGGUUUUCGCAAAAUGAUCACGACGGUUGAAGGAUUGAAAGAAACAUCCUCUCUCUUUAAUAUUAUUAGGUAUAGAUUCAAUGAAUAAAUUGCACCCUCUCCUUCCUAUUUCGAAUGGAUAAUUAAUUUUCUGGUGGAUGUGAAUUUGAAAAUAACAGUCCUACGUAAUAUGUGUGAAGCAUUUUUUUAAUUCAAAAUCUCCGAUAAAAACCAUCUCAAUUCCUCUUAACCCAAUCGACGGUGCAGAUCCGGUGGGUUCUACCAGCAGCUGGUUAAACCUCACAACUAUAAAGCCCAUUAGACCUAAUUAAAAAAUUCAGAUCAACAUUUAACUAAACCAUUCAACAUUUCAACAAAUCAGAUUCAACAUUUUGUAAAAGUCAGAUCAACAUCUAAAAAUAUCAGGUUCAAGAUUUUUAAAAAUAGAAAUCAACAUUUUGUAACAAAAUACAUCAUUCAACAUUUUUCACUAUCUAUUUCAACAUUUGAACAACAAGGUUCAACAUUAUUCAAAUAAGGAUCAACAAUUUUUUUUCUUGUCUUCUUCCUGCGCCUACAAGCGGACGGCAGACUCGACCCCGCGCCCGAGGGGCGGCGUCGCACGCGGCCGACGUCGCGCCGCGCGCGGGGCCGCGCCCGCGUGGCCGGCAGCAGCGCGCGUGGCCGGCGGUGCUCGCGGCCAGCACCCGCGCGUGGACGGCGGCGCCCGGGGCCGCGUGGCCGGCGGGGAGCCGGGGCAGCACGGGGGCGCGUGGGGGCGUCGGGUCUCCGGCCAGCCCAGUGCGGCGGCGCCGGGGAAGGAGGCGGCGGCGCCGGGUGGACAAGCUAGGGUUGGGGAGACACAUCCGACGGAUGAUAUUGCGUGCACGAAUCUCAAACAAUGGAAGCCGGAAGCUAUACAGGUUUCCCGUCUUGUUCUUUGCUUCACACUUUGCACUUUGUUUCACCAACUGGGCUUCAUUAUUCCCCAGAUCCGGUCCAUCAAAGCCCAUGUCAGGUCCAUCUCAACCCAAACACCACCGGGCGGGCCUCUAAACCCACCCCUCGCCGUCGUCACGAAGCUUUUAAUAAGUUCGCAUUCAUUCCACCACUGCAUCCACUGACUCCCAGCCCGCUAGGGGUUUUACCACCAUGGCCGCCGCCGCCGCCGCCGCCCGGAGGCUCCUCUCCCGCCGCGCCUCCUCCUCCCCCCUCUCCGCGCUCCUCCGCCGCGGGCCGUCGGCGGCCGCCACGGAGCAGUCGCUGCUGCGCCCGGCCGUCGUCGCGGCGGCCUCCCGCCUCGGGUUCCCUCGCGGGAUGGCGCGGCGGCCGGGCGGGGACGGGUACUCCCCGAUGCGGUCGGGUGGCGGGGGCGGAGACCGCGCGCCCACGGAGAUGGCGCCGCUUUUCCCCGGCUGCGACUACGAGCACUGGCUCAUCGUGAUGGACAAGCCCGGAGGGGAGGGCGCCAACAAGCAGCAGAUGAUCGACUGCUACAUCCAGACCCUCGCCAAGGUCCUCGGGAGGUACGGCGUGCUCUUCUCACCCGCCGGGCCACCGCAGUUCCCUCACUUUGGAAGUUGAAAUAGAGGAGUGAGUGAGUUUUGGAAAGUAAUCUGACGUUUUUUCUCUGAUGCAGCGAGGAGGAGGCGAAGAGGAAGAUUUACAACGUCUCGUGCGAGCGCUACUUCGGGUUCGGCUGCGAGAUCGACGAGGAGACGUCCAACAAGCUCGAGGGUUCGUUCGAUCUAUGCCCUAUGAUUGGUUCAUUAGUUUCCUGCCCUUUUGCUGAACUUGACCUGGCACAUAUCUGAUGCUUUGCUGUUUAUGAUGUGUGCUACAGGGCUUCCUGGAGUUCUCUUCGUGCUCCCGGAUUCGUAUGUUGAUCCUGAGUACAAGGACUAUGGAGGUAUCUUUCUUCUCUUGCAUGGCUGAUAUGGUUAUUUGUGGCGUCACUGUAUGAUUGCCUAUAUCUUAGGAUGGUAUUGGUGGGUGCUCUGUGGUAGAUUUGGUUGUUGUAAAUAUCAUAUCUCAUCAUGGAAGCAUGAUGAAGCCUGCACUUUUUUCUUCUUUCAAUGGCUACGGAGUACUGACUGUCUGUUAGCGGUACCUGAAUGAGAAGGAACAUUGUGAAUGUCAUUGGGGCAUUGUUCCAUUUCAGUGCUGCCCUGUCAGGCCCAAUCCUAUGCCAAUGGUGUUCUAGUCCAUCUUGGCAAAGCUGUGAAGCCUUACAGGCAAUGCCCAGCUUUGAAUGCUAAUGGACUAAUACCAAUUGUCUCCCUAACGGUUCUGCACCUCAAUGAAAUGGGGCUCAGAUCAGUAGGGAUGAGACAUUACCAACACAUUAUUGCCCAGCUUCUACGUACUUUUACUUCAGCAGUGGAACCAGAUACUAGUUUUAACCACACUGGUCUUCUAGUCCAUCUUGGCAAAGCGUGGAGCCUAUUUGGCAAUGUCUUGCUUUGAAUGCUAAUGGACUAAUAACAAUGGUCUCUCUAACGGUUCUGCACCUCAAUAAAAUGGGGUACAGAUCAGUAGGGAUGAAACAUUUGUUUUUCAUUUUCACCAAGUCUUUUAUCAUUUUUAGGCUUUUAUCUGUUUGCCUUUGGUAGUUCAACCAAUGACCUUUUUUAACCAUGCUGGUCUUCCAGUCCAUCUUGACAAAGCAUGGAGCUUAGUCAGCAAUUUCUUGCUUUGAAUGCUAAUGGACUAACAACAAGUGUCUCUCUAACGGUUCUGCACCUUAAUGAAAUUGGGCACAGAUCAGUAGGGAUGAAACAACGCUAUGAACAAUGAAAAGACAAUGUUACUUAGGUUUGUCAAGAGUAGGUCUGAAACAUGUCUUUGUUGUUUGAUUUUGUUUAGUCCAUCUUGGCAAAGCAAGAGAGUCAUUUUUGGCAAUGUCUUGUUUUGAAUGCUAAUGGACUGAAAGCAAUUCUCUCUUUCUGUUCUGCUCUCCAUAGCAAUGGAGUUAUGGAUCAGUGGAGAUGUAGCAUUAACGCAUUCAUGUUUCACACUGGCUGCUAGUACUUUGCUUCCUGUGAUUUAUCCUAGUCGAGUUGUUACUCUUGGAAAAAUGUAUUAACGUCCUCUUAUAUUUCUUAUGUCGCAGCUGAGCUCUUUGUUAACGGGGAGAUUGUUCAGAGGCCCCCGGAGAGGCAGAGGAGGGUAGAACCGGUGCCACAGAGAACAGCAGAUAGGCCUAGGUACAAUGACCGGACCCGCUACGCCCGGAGGAGGGAGAACCAGCGAUGAGCCGGUCGAAGACCAGAAUAACAAGCCAGGGGUGGUUUCAGCUCACAAAAUUAAAGGAUAAUACCGCAUCUACCUGCCCUAAUGGACAAUCUUCCAGUUGCAUGUUCACUUUAUUAUGCAGUCUAGAGUGUUUUGUUUCUGGGAGCUCAACUUGGAUGUAUUGUGCUCUGUAAUUACUAUAACUUGAGAUUGAAAGUAACCUGGCUUGGGAUUGCAUUGAUACUGGCACACUUUUACAACCUUUUGCGCAGCACAUGUAAAUCGGUUUCAUGAUUGAUAGUUUUAAACUGCUAAUUUGAUAGAUGGACUAUGGAAUCCUAUAAUUUCAUUAGUUUUUUUUGCCCUUAUGUUGAUCUGUUCUCCUUUUCUGCCCUUGAAAAUCAGUGUUCUGAUAUGGCAUGAUGCUGCCAUCACUUGUUUUCACACGGUGCCAAAAUUACUCAGUGCUGGGAAGCCUCGGCUUCAGCUGAUUGCAUGUACAGCUCGACGAUCCUCUCCUGGGAGAAGUCGGUGAAGUACCCCUCGCCAACGGCGAGUCCCUGCUCGGCGGCGAGCUGCCGCACCCUCUCCUGCACCUGAUCCGCGCCGACCCUCGCUGGGUCCAGCAGGUUGCAGGCGACCUCUGUGACGCCCUCGCCGUGCGCGAGCCCCAUGGCCUGCACCGACCUCAGCCCGCCGCCGCGCUCGCUGACCGCCCGCGCGAUCAGCCUCGCCGCCGCGACGUCGGCCGUGUGCACGGGCACGUUGUAGUUGUCCACCCAGGCCGUCGCGCCGAUGGCCACCACGCCCUUGGACCUCGUCGGCGUCGUUGGGCCGGCGUCCGGGGCGACGGGCAGCGAUGACGUGUCCGGCGAGCCGCGCCAUUGCUCGCCGGGGGAGUUGGGCGUGAAGUAGCCGAGCUGCCUCCUGAUGGACGCUAGUGUUCUGCCCUCCCUGUGAGCUGCUCCGUACAGAUAUGUUGGCACUGCAGGCAUCGCAUUGAGCACAAUGAGCACUAACCAUGCCAUUCUAUGAUUGUUUCAGUAAAACCACACAAAUAUAAAGAUGUUUGAACCGGGGAAAGUCCAGAUCUUUUAACAACAUAUUUUCAUGAAAACACCAUUUGAACAAGGAAAAGUGGAUUUUGGCCGAAACAUUUGGAACAGUUGCAAGAUUUUCCACAAUUGUAGCAUAUAUAAAAAGAUAAUUUUUUGUUGAAUUUCUUGUUAACAAUAGUCAUCCAUGAAAACUUUACCAAUGUGCUAAUCACAAUUUGGGUGAUUGGGACUUGGGAGAAACACAAGAACCUUGAAGCUUGUCUCCGAUGUCAGCGGCCACCGCCCUGGUGAGCGCGGCAACGUCGUCGAGGCGGGCCCCGGCCAAGGGAUGGAAGGCGAUGUGGUCGACGACGCCGAGCCGCGGGUGCGCGCCGGCGUGGGCGCCGAAGUCCACGGCCUCCAGCGCCGCCGCGACCACGCCGAACGCCGCGCGAUGCAGCGGCGGCGGGGCCGGGUCGCCGCCGCCGGUGAGUGGGGCGACGAGCGUGUAGCCGACUCGGUUGUAGGCGUCGUCGGCGAACGCGUUGACGAGCACGGCCGCCGGGCUUUGCGCCGCCGCGGCGCGCUCGAUGGCGCGCAGCGCCGGCGCGUUGCGGGCCUCGGAGAUGUAGAGCUUGCAGCACGCCAGGGCCGGCCUCAGCAUCGUUGCAGCGCCCUCCCUCCUCCUCCUCUUCUCCUGCGUCGAGACACCACCACCAUUUUUCUGGGGGAAUUCGAGACGAUAGCAACAAUUUUGUUGGUGAUGAGAUGAUGGCAGCAUCUGGUUGAUCAGGCUGUGGACAGGAUCAAAAGCAAACCUUUCUGUAUGGAGAAGAGAAAAGGCGUUCAGGAUGUCAACUACUCAACGCAGUGUUUGCACGGACUAUACUAAUUAUUGCUAGUGCUGGAGGAAAGAAAAUGAAGACCCGUUUGGUUGUCAGGACUAAAAUUUAGUUCCGUCACGUCGAAUGUUUAGAUACUAAUUAGAAAUAUUAAAUAUAGACUAUUUACAUAAUCAAUUGCACACGUGGAGGCUAAUUCGUGAGACGAAUCUAUUAAGCCUAACUAGUCCAUGAUUUGACAGUGUGAUGCUACAGUAAAUAUGUGCUAAUCAUGAAUUAAUUAGACUUAGUGAAUUAGCCUCCAUCUGUGUAAUUAAUUUUAUAAUUAACUCAUGUUUAAUCCUUCUAAUUAGCCUCUAAAAAUUCGAUGUGACAUGAACUUAGUUUAACUCAAGGAUCACAAAACCACACAUGGAGUCUCUCUCCACACAUAAAGUCUCUCAAGGAUCACAAAACCACACAUGGAGUCUAAUUCGCGAGACGAAUCAAUUAAACCUACGAAUCUAAUCUAUUAAACUAAUUAAUUUGAUUAGCACCUAUUUACUGUCAAAAUUUUGCCAGGCACUGCAGUAGCUCAUCUUAUAUCUCAUAGAAACAGAAACCUCAACAGGAGACAUGAGCUUGGUGGGUACCGUGUGUUUUACAUAUAUAGUCACCCUGAUCCACAAAAUUGUACAAGAGACCCUGCACGUCUUGCUAGCAUUACGCACAUCGGACAGGGCGGUCUGGUAUUAUUCCAGCUACAAAAUCUCAAACAACGAUCUAUGUGUUGCGAUUGGAAUUCUAAGCAACCAACUAUAUCUUUGCCCCCAUGAAUUUCAGCCUUUCAGGCAGCAGCCUAUUCUACCUCCGACGUAAGAUCAGCUAAGGCGCUAAUGAAGUGUGGAUGGCAACUAAAAUUCGCUAUCCUGAUGCACUGGCUGCCUUUGCAUCCUUCUCGUCUUCGCCUUGCUCUUCCUUGGCAAAUUCCUCGAUCAGCUCCCGCUGUUUCGGCGUCAAAUUCCUGCAGGGAGUGUUAUGUCAGACUCACCUGUUGGAGACUAGGAGCACAUUGCAAGAGAGUAGUAUUUCGUUUUGAGGGGGAACUUACACAGGGAUGUUGACAUUGAAAUGGACGUAUUGAUCACCGUAGUAUGAUGAGUUUCUUGUCUUGAUACCUGCAGGAUACAUAGUAUUUAGGUUUAUAUUAACACGCUAGUUUCAAAAAGCAAUGGCACUAUUACAUUGUCUCAAAGGCAAAUUGGCAGUUCACUAAAAUGCCAGUUAAAUUUUCAAUUCUUACUACACAUAAGUUAAAAAGAUUUGACACUAGUGAGAUGAUAGUCCAGAAUUUAUUUAUUUAUUCAUUGUUUAGUUACUUUGCCACAAGAAAAAAAGCAUCAAAUUACUGUGUUACAACUGUCACUAGAUAAUACACUGAGAAAACAGAAUAAACAAUGUACACAAUUUACCUUUUCCUCUCAGAACUACCUUCUGACCAGGUUGAGUACCAGGCUUGACCUGUGAUAAGAUAGUGCGGCCAAUGAUGAUUUCACCGCUUAGUAAACAUAAAAAGGGAAUAGACCAUGAAAGUCAAUAGAUCUGAACAUACCUUUAGAACAACAUCUCCACUGAGAGUUGGGACUUGAACUGUCCCUCCCAAUAUUGCCUAUGUAGUAUAUAAGAGUAAUCAAAAUCAAUAUGCUAUUAAAAUAUACUAAGAGAACAGUUGUGCAAGAAUAUUUAUGUAUAUAGGCAUAUAGCCUAGCCUAUACCCGACUGAUUGAGUUAGUAGUAGACAGCUGUUUAAUAUAGAAGAUGCACGCAAGGUUCUAUGUCCCUUGUUGGUGCUAACACAAGGACUCCAUCAAGAGCCAGUCUGACCAAAAUUAGGAGAUAUUGUUCUCUGUCCGACUGAGAGUUAACAAAUAUUUUCUAUUUUUCUGUUUUUGGUAGGAGUACAUAAACAAGCUGAGAUACUGCCUUCAAUGAACACAAUCUAUAUAUAGUAAAUUGUUACACAAUCUUAGCACUGUGGAAAGAGGGCUAGCACCAUAUGAACAUUUAAUCAUAUCCGUAGGGUGCACAUGAACAAAUUGUAGGAACAUGCAAUAAAUUACCUGAGUCACAUUCAGGACAGCAUCAACAUGAAUAUCACCUCUCUCUCUUCGAAAUACAGGAUCCUCAUGAACCUGGAGAAAAAAAAGCCUUGGAAGGUUAACUAUCUUCAUUCUUUCAUCAUCAACAGAGCUACUAAAUUGUAACUUGAUCGGCACUGAAGAGACUGACCUUGAGGGUCACAUAAAGAUCACCCGGACGGCCAUCUGGAUCUGCUCCACCUGAUCUCAUCACCUUUAUAGUAUCCUCGUCGUCCGAACCUACAACAACAGAAUAACAUUUACAUCUUGCAACACAGAACAAGAGCAUCCUAACACCACUGUAACAUUACAAUGAAUGACAAUAACUUGAAACCCACCAGGCAGUAUAUCAAGGCGAACUGAUUUCGUUCCGGUCACAACCUUGUUUCCUUUGCAUGUCUUGCAGAAAUCCUAGAACAACAUAAAAGCAUAACCACCAGGUUAAUCAGAAUUCAUAAGAUAAACUGUAUAAAGAAAGACCAUAGUGCACAGGGUAACUCAACUACCUCUCCUCUUUUAAGUAGAUAACAUGAUAGAACUAGCUUUAGGUGCAGUCAGGAAAUACAUCAUUUAUUACUAGUAGAAUAACUGAUGGUGAGGUUGAAAGUAAUUCAGGCUUCAGAAUCAUCAGCCUCAUUGAAAUAUAUAUGCUGAAGUUGUACUAUAAUGAUUCAUAGGAGGCCUGAUACCAUAACUGUACUACACUGAAUUUUUUUGCAGUUGCAGUUGGUAUCUAUCAUUAAAAAGGAAAAAUCCUACCUUCACAGUCUUCCCAGAACCACCACAUUUUGUGCAUGUUGAUUGCAUCCUGAAGGGUCCAGUUUGCAUGAACAUCUGUUAACAAUACAUAAAUAAGCGCACUAGUUGAAUUGAAUGGAUAAAAAUAUAAGCUUGCUGGAGGAAGAACUAACAAAUCCUGUUCCCCUGCAAGUUACACAUGUUUCAGGUUUGGUUCCAGGAGGCACACCAGCUCCACCUGGAAAAAGAAGUGGUCAGAAAAAAACAGAUUUCAGAAGGCAUAUACCAUACAACCAUAAAAAAGGUAGUCAUGAGAUAAAAUUGCAUCUACGUACUGCAGGUUUCACAUAUUACAGAAGUUUGGAAGUUGAUCGUUUUGGUGCACCCUUGAACUGCUUCCAUAAAUGUCAAUUCAAGCUCAACCUGUAAAAUGGGAUUAAUGGAACUGCAAUUCACAGAGUACAAUUGGAUGUGCAAUGAAAAUGAGUAUAGAAAUUACCUUAACAUCACGUCCUCCAAAUUCCCUAUCCCUGAAAAUGUUCCUAAAGAACUUCAUACCAAACAAAAAAAAAGAAUUAGUUUUCACAGAUUUAAAAGAGGAAUAAAGUACAUGUACCAACGAAAGUCAUCCGUUCUGAAGCUAUGAAACAAAGUAAUGGAGACAAGAAAUAAAAGUAUAAUAACCAAGUAGCCAACACAGAAGUAUGUGCUAAAUAACUAAAUGAAAGAAACUAAUAGUUAUUUCCCAAAUAAAAGUCGUAUAUAAAUCAAAUCAUCCAGUAUUGAUGCCAGAUAAGUUAUGGUAGAAUAAAAUUUAGCAUGCAUAAGAUAAGAAGACAAAAUCACAAUGCCUGGUGAACACAAAUUUUGUGCUUAGACCAAAGAAGUUCAUGAAAUAAUAUCGCAAAAUGAAAUAAGCUUCAACAGAAGACAGUUUUCUUCUGUACAUUCAAUGACAUAUUAUAAUAAGUUGAAAGGAAGCAAAGCAACAACUGAAACAUGAAAGCUAGCUAUGAUGAAUAAGUUUAUAAAGGGAUGGCAUACAUCAUUCAUUCCACCGCCGCCGCCACCACCACCACCACUAAAAAUAUCCUCAAAUGGAUUUCCAAAACCACCCUCAAACGGGUUGCCAGUUCCGCCUCCAGCAGCAGAAGCUUUCUCAUAUUGAUCAGCACCAACCUGUAGGCAAGGAGAGGUCAAUUCUGAUUUCGUGCUUGAGACUGCAGGUAACCUUACUCUAAAAGGUUGCUACGGUGACUCUUUGUACAGCGCAGAUAAUAGAACAAUAAGUUAUAAACAUUUGACUGCUAACAAAUCAUCAAAAUAUUUGUGAUAAGAACGAGAAGUAGAAAUGAAAACAUAUAUCAUCAAAGACAAUUUGAACCAUUACCUGAUCAUAGAAUGAUCUUUUUUGCUCAUCCUUCAAAGUCUACAUUGAAGAUGAAUAGGUAUUCAUCAGAAUCCACAGAAGUCGCAACCCUUUAAGUUAGGUAAAAAAACAUACCACAGUAAACGGACAUCAAGUACCUCAUAAGCUCGUUGAACCUCUUGAAACUUCCGUUCCGCAUCCGCAUCACCUUUAUUCGUGUCUGGAUGAAGCUUCUUUGCAAGCUUUUGGGAGAAAAGAGACAGAAAAAAAGCAGGCAUGGUAAGGUCAGUUGCAGAAUGGAGAAUAUAAUAACAGCAUGCAUUAUCCUUAGAACACCAUAGACACGCGGUCAAUCGACAUAACAAAAAUGCUGACCAGAGACCAACAAAAUUGUUGCUAAAUUGGGUGAAUGCUGCUGUGCUAUCUAAACACGACAGUGCUAAUGUCAAACAUUUUUCACACAUUAAGAUUUUUGUACUUGGAACCAUGAACAUCUACCAAAUAUCCUUGCAAAUUAAUUUACACCCUGAGCAUGCAGUAUCUAUAUCCAUCAAUGAUCACAGACAGUUCUCUCAAAAUGUCAGGUUCAACAGGCAUCGAGAUCAUACCCCAUAAUAGGCCUUUUUUAUCUCGGCCUGGCUCGCAUUCUUGCUGACACCGAGCACAUCGUAGUAGUCCCUUGCAGCCACCGGCCUGGUCCCUGCACCAUCACUCCACCGUCAGCCCCACUCCCGAGUAGCCGAGAUCACUAAUCCUCCGAAAUAUAACGAGAGAAACAGCAAAGCUUCCCCUAUCAUUCGCCACUCACCGUGGAAGAACCUGUGGGCAGAGCUCGGCGACGAGAAGGGGGAACUCCGAGAGGGCGCCGCGCGAGCCGCAUCGCUCCAUAUCCCUGCAGGGGGGCGGGAGCAGCUGAGAUCACGGGGCGGCGAAGCCAGGCCCGAGGAAUCGGGAGAAUCCGAGAGACCUAGUGGGAGGGGGGAAGCGAGGCUCACCUCUGUGCGCGCGGGGGAAGUAGGAGGCGGUGGCGGCGGCGGAGGAGGAGGAGGACGCGGAGGAGAGGGAGCGUCGGGCGAGCAGGAGCGCGAGGCGUGCGCCGGCGGGGAGCCGCAUGGCGGUGGCGGUGGUGGCGGCGGCGGCGGGUGGACGUCGUCGCGUGGCCUCGCCGGCGCCGCGCGUGUGCGUGCGGGUUAAGGAGAGGGGAGGGAGAGACUGCGAGCACCGAACGUUCUGGAAGGCGCUCCGCUGCUUCUCGGGGAGGGUCUCGAGAUGGGCCGUUGGGCCUCCUGUGAUGGCCACCAAAUCAAUGAUCAAAGAAGCCCGGCUUUGAUCAUGUUGCUGCUUCCGCUACACGGGCCCCCAGCUUGAAUGUUGGCCUGCAACAACUCAGCCCGGCUUUGCGAAGAAACUCACAAAAGAAAGCCUGGCAACUUUUUUUUUUUGGCAAGGCAGCAAGGCCUGAUUCUAUGCGGUCCCGAGGUCCUCCGUCCGUCCAUGCUCACGGCCCAAGUGUUGUGUGGCACCAGCGAAUCUUCGCAAAGUGUUUGCAUAUUGUCCUCCGUGAAACGACUUCUCAAUUUCGUUCCAAAUCAUAGGUCGUUUUUUAAGCUCCGAUUGCAUUGCAAAAAAUUCAAAGGAGUUUACAGCAUUGAAGUGGAAGUCACUCUUUCACAGAAGCUUGGCACGCAGGUCAGCCUGAAAUUCUUAACUCAAUUAGCAUUAAUAGGCUGACACCACACACAUUACAUUCCAGCUAAUUCUAGAUAGACAACACAUUGGUCAUAGCUAGCAUUACUUGAUUUCUUAGGUCAUGUCAGUUCAUUUGCAGCCAUCCAGUGGCACCAGCCACAUCUUCAGUUUCUCACUGAGAUGAACCUCCAAGCCUUCCAUCAGCUUCCAGUCAGAGAGAGCCUCUCUGGUCUUAAUGCCGCCACUUCCAGCAAGGCGAUCGAUGCCGGUGCAGAUGGUCCAAUUCUUGAGCAUCGCGAGCAUGGGAUGCCAGACCAGCUGCAAGCCCCGCCACCAGCUGCCAGACUGAAAGCAAAAAUUGUUUGUAAGUUUCCAUAAGCUCCACAUCGCGGCAGAGCUGAACAUAUUCAGAACACCAUGUUUCUUCUCACAUAACCACCAUGUAGCUACAGACUCGAAAUUAGAGGAAGCCAGGCAAGUUAAAUACUUCAGCUACUAUAGUCCACAUCUGUUUAGCUACCACACAGGCGAAGAACAGAUGAUGAGUAGAUUCUUGUUCACAACAAAAAAGACAAUUAAGAUCAUCGAUUUUUUCCCCUUCUUGAGACAUUAUCUCGAGUCAGUAACUUAUUAUAGGUUAUUUUGGUAUUUUUAUAUUUAUAGUUUUUAUUAUGCAUCUAGAUAUACACUACAUAGAGGUGCAUAGCAAAAAUUAUGAACCUAAAAUGCAAAAACGACCGGAUUCGGACGGAAGGUCUGUCGUGCAGCAUGUUCAUGCGCGUGGAUGAUGCCGUACGUUGUGAUCGUCCCUUGGUUGUCUUUGUUAAUUUUUACUAUUUUAUCCUUUCCCUUACUUUGAUAGAUGAAAAAUUUAAUUUCUUUACAAAAGGUGGAUGCGUCAGGCCAGGGCGCACGCUGCUGCAUGUGUAUGCGCAUGGAUACGGUCUUUCAAUUGAUAACUCCACACAUAUAACAAUACGAUACGGCUACAUUUCUUUACCUUUAAUGGUGCAUAUAUAUUGUCCUCCAUAAAAAAUAUGAAUCUAAUGGCAAAUGCUACGGCAGAAGUAAUAUGGUUACAAUCCUUGCUAGCAGAACUUGGCGUGUAUCUUCAAGAACCGCCAGUUCUAUGGUGUGAUAACUUGGGUGCUAAGUACUUAUCAGCUAAUCCUAUUUUUCAUGCAAGAGCCAAGCAUAUUGAGAUAGACUUUCACUUUGUUUGUGAACGUGUAACUAAUAAGUAGCUGCAGGUUCAGUUCAUACCAAUAGGAGACCAAUUGGCGGAUGGAUUUACAAAAGCGCUUCCUGUUUGCAAGCUGGAGAAUUUCAGGAACAAUCUGAAUCUUCAGGUUAGCAGAAGUUUCGAUUGAGAGGGGCUGUUAGAAGUAGAUAAUAUUCCAUGUAAUCCGAGUUCAGGUUUGUUGGGCUCGGUAGCUUAGUUGUUAAGCUAUUCAGGAGUUGUAGAUAUGGUUCGGUUGGUUUAGAGGUUUAGAGAUAGAAUAGAACUCAAAUGUAUCCUAUAGAAUUACGACUGAACCUAAUCUACAACUGUUUGCAGAUGUAAUCUCUUGGAGGCUGUUUUUGCACCUCAUAUAUUAACAUGCACCAUGGCAAUGCCAGGUUAGCAACCACGUUCCUUCUAUCUUACAGAACGCCCACGUGAGCUCGUCGAAGUCCAGCAAAGACAAGCCGGGAAGGGCAACACCGUCACGGACAGUAGCCAGAGGGUAGCAGAGGCAGCAGAUUAACUUUUUUUUUUGAACGGAAAGGGCACGAGAGUGUGCCUAUUUCAUUGAUAUAGAGGAGAAACAACCGACGGAGCGGUCAAGUAAAUAAAAGAAAAAGAGAAAGGAAAAGGAAAGGGGAAAAGGGAAAACAAAAAUGGCGCAGAGGCAUCGUAGCGGUGUGAUUACGGUAGCAGGGCCGCUAGGUCUCUCGCUCCCGCUGCUAUCCACAUAUUAACUGAGGAUUUUAUUUUUGCCAUUAGUUGCGUUGUCGAUGAACCCUUGUGGCGGAAGAUGCGGGAGUUUCGUUCGUUCCAUAACUCCCACAUAAUGAGUAGGGUUAGGCUUCUGUACGCUUUACGUGGGGUCCCUGGUGUUGAUGUGAUGCCGAGCCACCAAUCAAUGGCCCUUGUACUGUGUGUCCAUUGCUCCGGUUGCAGGUUUCCUUGUGAUAGCCAUUGGGCUAUGAGCUUCCAGAUUUGUUUUGUGUAUCUGCAUUCAGCUAGGAGGUGAUGCGCCAUCUCCAUCGUGCAGCGGCAUAGGGUGCAAGUAGGAGUAUGGUCCCAGCCCCGCUUUGCUAAUCUGUCCGAAGUCCAAACCCUGUUUUGGAGGAUCAGCCAGGCAAAGACUUUGCAUUUUGCCGGUGCCCAAGCUUGCCACACUGUUGCCAGAUCUGGCGUUUUGAUGCUACCUAGAAGUUGGGCCUUGUAUGCUGAAGCUGAGGUGUAUUGACCGCUCUGGGUGAAAUUCCAUGUAAUUACGUCCUCCUGGUCCGGGUUUAGCUGGUAUUGUUGGAUUAGAGGCCAUAAGGUUACGAAUUCGCUGAGUAGAGAGUUUGUGAAGCCUGUUCUGUGCUGUAAAUCUCUAAUCCAGCUGUUAUGGUGGAAAGCCUCCCGUACUGUUUUCUUUUUCCUUUUGGUUUUCGCGUAGAGAUGUGGAGCGAUGUCCUUUGGUCGUCUCCCUGCGACCCACGCAUCUUGCCAGAAUCGUGUGUUGACCCCGUUGCCGAGUGUGAUCGUCGUACAUGUCGCGAAAAGGAGUCUAUCUUUGUCGUCACAGGGUGUUUCGGUUCCAACCCACGUCUUAUCUGGGGAAGCCCAUGCAUGCCAUAACCAUCUAAGGCGUAGGGCUCUUGCGAAUUUAUGGAGGUCAAGGAUUCCGACGCCGCCAUGUUUUUUCGGUAGAGUUGUCCUUGUCUAGUUGAUUUUGCAUUUGCCUCUAGUAAGUUCUUUGUCUCCCGCCCAUAGGAAGCGUUUUCUGAUUUUGUCAAUGUCCUCUAGUACUUCCUUGGGCGUUCUGAGGGCCGUCAGCGUGUAGAUGGGUUGUGAGGAUAGGACAGACUUGGUGAGGCAUAGUCUGCCGGCUUGCGUGAGAUUUCUGCCCUUCCAUUUUGAGAGUUUGCUCGCCACCUUGUCGAUCAGAGGCUGGAAAUCAAUGCGACGUAGGCGUUCUACCGUUAGAGGGAGGCCCAGGUAUUUUAUUGGGAAGUUCCUCCUCGCGACCGGGAGGUCAUUGAGCAGAUCCUGGAAGAUAUCGUGGGAGCAGCUGAUCGGUGUGACACUCGUUUUUUGGAUGUUCGUUCUGAGCCCCGUCGCUUCCCCGAAAUUUUGAAGGAGAUUCUUCAAGUUUGUGAUGUCACGUGUGGAAGAGGCAGCAGAUUAACAUUGUUGCGGCAAUGUCGGGAACAUUAGGGAAGCAAAGUUCUCUGGUAUCGCUGCACUAUCCUAUGCUCACGAGGAGCAACUACACAACCUGGGCGAUCAAGAUGAAGGUAUUCAUGCGUGCACAAGGUGUUUGGGGGCGUUUGGGAUGUUGUUGAGCCUACUGACCUGAAAGAGAAGGUUGACCCUAUGAUGGAUUAGACCGUGCUUGCUGCCAUCUAUCAAGGUAUCCCGGAGGAGACUUUGCUGGCAGUGUCUAAGAAGGAAACAUCAAAGGAGGCAUGGGAGUGCAUCAAGACAAUGUACCAAGGUGCUCAACGCGUAAAGGAUGCUCGUGUCCAAACCCUCAGAGAAGAGCUGGAUGGAUUGCGGAUGAAAAGUACUGAUUCAGUUGAUGACUUUGCGAUGAAAGUAAACUCGAUCGUGCUGCGAUGAAAGUAAACUCGAUCGUCAGCACGAUUCGUGGAUGGGGUGACAAAAUUGAGGACCCGUAUUUGGUAAAGAAAAUUCUUAGAGCUGCUACAAACAAGUUUUUGCAGAUUGUCGCUUCUAUCGUGCAAUUUGGUGACUUGAAGACAAUGACCGUUGAAGAAGUUUUUGGGAGAUUACGAGCGUACGAGGAAAGACCGCGUUGCGGUGAUAAUGAUGAUGAUGAUGCUGAGCAUGUGUUGCUCACCAAAGUCCAGUGGAAGGCUAUGGAAGAGAAGGAUGGUGAUGAGCAUUUGUUGCUAAUAAACUUAUUAGAAUCAUUUGCAUGCAUGCAUGGUUUCCGGCUUGUGUAUCUGGUUAUAAACUUAUUAGAAUCAUUUGCUGCUUGCAUUUGAAAAUUAUUUGCAAUUGUCACCACCAAGUCAUUGCCGGAUAUCGGCCAUAAAUGUGUUGUAUAAUAAAUGAGUAGCUGCUCAACCGAUGAGCUGCAUUACUUUCUCUAUAUGAUGCAUGCAUAUACACCCAGGCCAAGCAGCUAAGCUAGUGCUGCAGCUAGAGAACAAAACCUGACCAAUCAGCGCCGUCGUCAUAGCUAGCCAUGACGGCGGACGGUGACGGCAAGACGCGGUGGCCGCCGUGGUGACCGUGCUCAUCAUCACCGUCAUCGUCGUCCCUAUCAAGGUGGUGCUCCGCCCCGAAUCGCUGAGCCUCUCGGUCGUCGGAGGCGUCGUGUCCUCGACUCCGCAGCCGGCAGCCAAUAUCGUGCACUUGGGCGUCAAGCUCCGGGCCGAGAACCCUAGCGGCCGCGCCCGGAUGUACUUCUUCAACAUCACCGCCUACCUCUUGGACAACAAGACGGUGGCGGCGGCGACGGCCGACCCGGAGGAAGACUGCCGCAUCCUGUUCACGCCGGACGACGUCGCCGUGGCGCAGCAGAUGGCGGUGGUCUCCGUAUCGGAUGUGCAGGGAAAGGAUGACCCUGCUGUCAUGGACCACUUCCACUUCGACAUGCUGUACACGAAGCGCCAAGUCAUCAGUGACGUGGCGAUGAGGGUGGAGGGCCGCCUGGUCACGGAGGUGAGGUCUGGGAUCAACAGGACGAGUCAACUGGUCACCUACUUAUGUUGGCCGCUCGUCGUCGGCGGGAGCUAGCUUGGUCGGCGGCGACGAGGUCUCCGGAGCGGGAAGGACGUGCCUUGCAAGGAGAAUCUCGGGAGUCAAUCCGGUGAAUGAUUCUCAAGGUCGCGUUUAUUCAAGGAACUAAAUUGUGCAUUCAAAGUGUAGUAGAGAACUAGAUAUUGGACCUGGCAGCGGCCUGCUUGACGAAUAAAAUUGUGCUUCAUUUGUUGUGUUUCAAAUUGGUAGAACUAGAUUGGAUCUGGCGGCAGCCUGCUUGAUGAUUCGCAAGUAUGUUUUGUAUUUCCCUGUAUAUUCACCCUAGCUUGAUCUCUGUCGGUGUAUGAUGGGCAUUUAUGAACAGAUUACGUACUAUUGCUUCAAAGACUAAAACUGUAUUAGACACUACUUGCGGUAAAAGAGACGCACUUUGGAUUGUGACACGGUCUUUGGAAUAUGACUGUGACCACUAAUUUUCACUGCGGAAAACUGACAAUGAUCAUAGUUUGGCUAUCCUAAUCGAAGUCCAUCAACCGAUGCUUCUCGACAGGCUAACAAUUCUAAGCCUCCCUUCAAUUUGGAACAAAGGGUGACCAUAUGCAUUUUGAAGGUCUCCCAAUCCUAUAAGAAAAUUUUAUACUCUCCUUGAGAACAAAAGUAUUGCACUAUACUAGUUCAAAAAAGAAAAAUACAUCUCUUGCCAACGCAUUUCGUCCGUAGGGGAAACUGGUGUGGUGUCGCCUCCCUAGCCUCUCACACCUGCUCCCUCCUUCCCUCCAUCUUCCCGCCACUGGAGCUCACCGGCGGAAGCCUACUCGAACGCAAUGAAGGUGGCGGCGGGCAUCGUCAUCUUUUCCUAUCGGAGUCCCUAGUUCCCCACCUCCCUUUUCCUCUUGGCGUUGUGGCGGCUGUGCCGCCGUCCCUAGGCUGGCAAUGCUUGGAUCUUGCACUACAUGCCUUAUUUCGGUGCCCCCGGUCCAUUUGGGCACUCCCUGCUUGUGGAUCCAAUCGAGGGCCCAUCAGGGAUCGGACCAGAACAACCCACAUCACCGAACAUGAGCUUCACUUGGGCUACUGCUUCUCCAUCAGCUCGGCGAUUAGAUGUCCUUCUACACUUUGCGAGGCACUGCCAUUGCUCCAUAUCGGUCUGUGAUAGUCCAUGGAACGAGCACUAUAUGGUCGUAAUAGGAGCUCUAAGUUGAUAAAAUGAACUAGAAUGUCAUUCUACGCAAAUAAUUUGAAAGGAGAAAUAAACUAUCGUAAUUAAUCAGCUGACCCAGAAAACUCUAUUGAGUACCCACUUGAAUCCCUCCCUAUUCAUGAUGUUGUAUCCAAGGCUACCGCAUCAUAAAAAUAUCAUUAAAUUAAUAUAGUAAUAUUAUAUUAAUGCCACAUCUGUAAAAAAAAAUCAUGUGUGUGGUAUGUAAUCACACUACCAUUGGGACUAUCCUAAGCGACCUACUAUUCUGGGUGGUAUUUCGAAUUGUGUGUGGACUUGCUUUCGUGCUUCAGAUCUGCCUGUGUGCUCGUGGCCUAUAUAUACCUGGAAACCAUGGGGAUAUUGAAGCAUGAUCGAGUCCCAUAUAAACCCUAUCCAACAUAGGCCGCAAAUAGAGCAAGAUCUAUACUUGAGAUAGUCAUAUAUGGCGGUUGCUUUGGCUUUAUUGAUACCUGUGCUCUUGCCCUGUUCUUCUCAAACUGUCCUUAUUGCAGCAACAGCUGAGGAACACGAGUACACACGCUCGUGGUAAUCAGCUCGCUGAAACCGAAAGCUUCCUGCUCCGGACACAGGGGUACGCAUCCAUCUCUUUUCUCUUGGCCUAAUAAUUAACAAAUUUUCCAAUCCCUAAUGGAAAUGAUGUUGGCGUACGUGCAGUGUCUACACCACAAAACCGCACAUGGGCACCGCUGAGCCUCUCGCAUGGCUCGUGUUCGUCGUCGUCGUCACGCCGCCGCGUCAAUCCGUCCAUGGCCGAGCUGAGGAACACGAGUACAUGCUCGUGGUAAUCAGCUCGCUGAAACCGAAACCUUCCUACCCCGACGGGUUGUCGACGCUGGGCACCUACAGCUCCGACGUGCUACCGCGUCCUCCUCCGCGACGUCGCCGUCGGCGGGCGGCGGCUCAACGUCCCCGCGGCGGCGUUUCGCCGCCGGCGCGGUGGUGGACUCCCGCACGGUGAUCACCCGCCUCCCGCCGACGGCGUGCCGGGUUCUGAGCAGGAUGGGCAUGUACCGCCCGGCGCCGCCCAAGGGGAGCCUGGACACCUGCUACGACUUCACCGGCGUUUUCGUCGUGAGGCUGCCGAGGGUGGCGCUGGUGUUCGACCGAAACGCCGUCGUGGAGCUCGACCCCUCGGGGAUCCUGUUCAACGACUGCCUCGCCUUCGCGCCCAGCAGCGGCGACCGCGUGCCGGGCGUCAUCGGCAACGUGCAGCAGAGGACCAUCGAGGUGCUCUACGACGUCGGCGGUGGGGCCGUCGGGUUCCACCAGGGCGCGUGCUGAGUGCAGGCUACCGGCGGCCGGCCCGCUACUACCAAUUUAGCAUUUGGCUUUUUUCAGGAUGUAUUUGUGUGUACUACUAGCAGUUCGCGUCCUCUCUUGCGCAGCGCCGCCGCCUUUUUUUUUUUUUAACACGAGGGAGAGUUUCCUUGCUGGUUAUAUAUUAUAGAAAUUAAAAAAAAUAGAUGAAGUGUUACAAAUCCAAAUCAAGAAAACAAAAGAACAGAAGAUCAAAAAUAUUAUAAUGUCUGAUCUAACCAUGAAGACGUGCGGCUGUUUCCAGUCCUCUUUUACUCUAAGGAUAACCUGAGUAAAAAUUGAUUUAAAAUGAAACAAAGAGUCUUGAACUGAAGGAGUGAUCCCUUUGAAGAUCCAAUCAUUUCUGGCCAUCCAAAUAUUUCAACACAUGAUAAUUAUGACUUCCAUUAAGAAUUGAACCUGCAGCUGAAUUCUGAAGCUAUUUAGAAUUUCAUAUGGUUUUUCAGACAAAUUAGGAAACAUGCCUAUAUGAAUCCAACAUUCCUGAGCAAAAGAACAUCUAAGUAGGAGGUGGAAUAAAGUUUUCUCUCCACCAUGCUGACAAAGUACACAUUCAUAUGAAGGUAAGAUCAUAUGUUUCCUUCUAAGAAUGACCAGUGAGAUGACGAUAAGCUUUUGAUGAUGAAUAAUAUGGGCUGCCUAAAUGUAUGUCCAUAUAUCUGGUUUAGAUCCUCCAAACUGGCAGCCAGAUGCAUCAGUUGAUCAAGUGCCUGAGUUGAAAGAGGAAGAUGGAACAAUUGCUGAACAUCUACUAUUUCUUGGGCUUUUUGAAUAGAAAUUUCCUGCUUUUUGGUGAAGGAGAGGAGUUGGGGGUAUUCCUAAGUUGGCACUCGAUCUUUCCACAGAUCAUUCCAAAGAGAGCAUGUGUAUCCAUCAUUAACUGAAACCGUUGCAAGUCCUUUAUAUUUAUUCAAAAGCUUUAGAACAUCUUUCCACCAGAAAGAGCCCUUCCUUACAUGACUUGGCAGUUUUCCAUUAGAGUAAUAUUUCUCCCAUAACAGAUGUCCCCAAGGAAUAUCCGCUCUGUUAAAGAACUUAUGUAAGAAUUUGAGUAUUAAGGCUUCAUUUUGUGUUUUGAGAUUCAGAACUCCCAAACUCCCUUCUUUCUUUGGAAGGCAGACCAUUUCCCAGGCUGCUUUAGGUGAUUUUCUGUUAUUAAUGUCUAAACCUCUCCAAAGGUAAUGCUUCCUAUAUUUAUCAAUCUGCUUAUACACUAUGAAAUAUAGGUAGAGCAGUGAAAAUUGAAUUAGUUAACUGAAGGCGGCCGAGCCUUGCAAGCCCGCCAGCCAAGCUGGGUGCCGCCGUCGGCUUUCUGCUCGAUUCGCCGCGUCGAAGCAUUGCUGGAGCAAGCUGACGCUGCCCCGAGCUUCGCCUCACCAGGCCACACACCUGCCACCUCUUCUCGUCAUCAUACCGCCGUCGGAGCGCCGCCAACCACUGAAGCCUGGGCCGAGUACCGCCGCCGGGCUUGGCAGCUCGAUUCGACGCAUCGAGGUACCACCGGAGCCGGCCAACGCCACCAGGAGCAUCAUGAUGUCAAGCAGCGUGCUUUUCACUGGCCGUCAUCAUCGAUUCGCCGCCGCACGACCUCGUUCCCGUGAAGGUUGAGCCAAUCGCCAUCUUCCACCGCGGCUGAGCCUAAUUCCGGCCACUGCCGUUGUCCUCCGCCGCCGGUGAGCAUAUCCGAAAUCUCCCCUCGACCUCCUCUAUCUACCUCGCCGCUUCCCCUCGCCAUAGCCGGCCGGAGCACUGCCUAUUUUGGCUGGCCGAGCCGCCAUUCGUCAUGGGAGCAAGCUCCCAGAGCUUUUCAAGUUAGCCCCUAUGCUUUUGCAUGUAGACCCUCGAGCUAAUCUGUAAUAUCUGGUCGAUUCUUUGUGUCUUGGCAGAUUUAUAGAAUGACUCUUAAACCUUUUAGAUCCUUUCAACCUAACCCAAGCUGAGACCUUUUAUGGAUCUAACCCUGAGUUCCAAUCUAUUCGUGAGCAUUGUUCAAUGUGUCUCGGGAAUCUUCCUUGCUAGCACCUGUCGUCUAUGGUCAAUCACGAUUAGAUCCUUAAUCCUUGUUUAACCAAUAGAAUUCACGUUUUACCUCCGUUUAACCUGGUUCUUGUUGCGUUAGAUUCAUGUCAACUUAAAUCAUGUAUUAGAAGCAGUGUUGAUCAUAUUCUCUAUUUUGUAAUUUAUUCAAAAUAUUAAUGUGAUUGAGUACUUAUACACUUGCUUUCCUAAUUAAAUCUAAUUAGAGUUAACCCCGUGUUUUCAUAUUAAAUGUUAAUUUGAUUAAUGUUUAUUUAAAUAACUCCUCCAAUUAAAAGCUAAUUAGAGAUAUACCUUGGCUUUUCAUAAUUUAAACUCAAUUUGAUUAAUGUGUAUUCAGUUUGUUUUAUAAAUAAAAGCUACAUAGGUUAUAUCUUGAAUUUUCAUGAUUAAAUGUUAAUUUGGCUAAAAUGAAUAGAAAUGUAUAUUUAAUUAUAUUUGGUUAGUUCAACCCGAAUCAUAAAGUUAUACGCUUAGAUGCUUUUACAUACUUCUUUUAAAAUCAAAUGUUUAAUUUGCUUAAAUUGUUCUUAAAUAUUUAGAAAUAAAAUUGGACUAAGCUUUACAUUAUCUUUUCAUAUGUAAAUAUGACUUGAUUAAUUCCAACUAAGGAUAUUUUUCUGAAAUAUCUUUACAAUAUUUUUCUCGGCUAAAAUAAAUGAAACAUGUAGCUCUUGUCUUUUCUUUUACAAUCCAAACCGCUCGAUAGCUUUGUCUUUUCAACCAUAGCACCGUUUCUAGUCUUUCUUGCAGCCUUGCGUUCCUAGAAUCGAGCCCUAUCUUUUAGUAUGCUGUUUUAAAGCUUGUCUUUUGAUUGGUGUACUGUUCUUAGUUGUGAUUGUUUGUUUGCUUUGUAUACUUGUGCCUGAUGAUUGCUUCGAGUAGAAAGAUCGCUAUUCGAAAGAUUUGAAGGUUAAGAGUUUCAAGAGAGUAAGAGCUGAAGAGCAUUAAGAGUAACUUUUCUUUGGAGAAAGGCAAGUGUCCCUAACCACCCUUCUGUCUAUACUUAUUUAUAAUACCAUGAUAAUGUUAAUUGGAAUAUGGAUCGACCACCCAGGAAAACAGUACAACCACAAGAACUAUAUGACUCUAGUCUUGGCUAAUUAAUUAGAGACUCUAAUUUGGGGUAAUCUUACCGAAAGGGCAAGAGGGGAGGCGUUGAUGGGGUAUAGCCCGACCCUCAGGCUGAUCUGCUUUAUGGUAGCUUCGCAGUCUUGAGAGAGGUUUAUGUUCUGCUUCAACCUGAAACCUUAGCGGGUUGCUACUUAUUAGGGAAAUCUUUGUAAAGUUCUCGUAGCGUCCCUAUGCAGUGACACCUCGGUAGUGUGAUGAGUACCUGAUCAACACAGUAUGGUUGGGUCUAAAGUUUUUCUGAACUUUUACACGACUUGUCGGUAAAGAUGUACAACCUCUGCAGAGUGUAAAACUGAUAUAUCAGCCAUGCUCACGGUCAAGAGUGGCUUGGAUCCUCACAUGAUUAAUAAACUUGAAGAUGGAUCUAAAAUCGUUAUUUUGGUUAUUUCAUGUGGCCUUGCUGAGUACCAACUAUACUUGCUUAAUGCUGCUCAGAAGAAGAAGGUGUGUGAAGUUUUUUGAAGAUGAUGUUGAGUUCUAGGCGUACGCAACCCGCAACCCCCAGUCGAUUGCCUGUGAAGUUUGGAGCCUUCAUUUCCAGGAUUAAGCUGUAUAUCUCUGAUAGACUCGUAAGUCAUUAUUUAUAUUCCUUUACGUGAUACUGUUACUAUUAUUCACUAAUGAUGUCACUAUAUGUAUGAAACUAGAUCCUGGCAUACAUAUAGGUAGCACUUGGUUUUGUUAAAACCGGGUGUGACAUACCCCCUCCCAACCAUUGAUAACACAUCCCUAGCUAAAUUAAGCCAACUGAAGACAACCACAAAACUUCUUAUAAAUACGGACCACUUCCCUACAUUCCCAAAUCACCUCCACAUUCAACUUGGUCAGGUAAGUAGCCAUACCGGUAAUAUUUCGGCCAGAAUUCACUUCUAUCCUCAAAUUCCAGUUAAAAUCUGUCCAUAUUCCAAAAUUUUCGCCCGAAAACCGGCAUGCCGGCCCUACCUCUCUAUUCCACAAGGGUGCAUGAACACUGUAUGAUACACAAAUUAUACAUUCCAUGAACUAGUUAUCCAUUUCUAAAUUGAUUAAAAUAGAAAUACAAACACGGUGUUUGUUUGAAAAAAGUUGAAUAUAUAUGAAACCAAUAUUGAAAAAAAUAGACUGAGCUGCUGGUGGAAUCUAUCUAACCCAGGGAAUGAAGCAAAGGACAAUUACUUUAUUCGACAUGCAUGCUGCUGGCUCAUAUGCUUCUCUCAAGGCCAGAGAUGUAAAUAUUUCAAUUUGGGCAUUAGUGACGGUCCAUCUCUAGAUGUGACUUUCACAUAAUUCUCUGUAAAAAUGACAAAUUAAAACCUUAUGAAAUAUUUUCACAAGUCCAAAGCGAUUAUUUUUGUCAGAAUUUAUACGUGGGUGUAGAAUAAACAGCUACACCUAAAAUAUAUACAAUAGCACUUACACGUUUAUUUAUUGAUGGCUGAAUGAAGUAUAUACGAAAUAGAUAAGCAUACUCCUUUAAUUUAUACAUAACUUAUACAUAUAAAUUUGACAUAUAACUUUGUACUAACAAUUUUUUAUGGGAUAAUUUUUCAACACAACUUCUCUAAAGGAUAACUUCAUUCUUUAUUUUAGAAAGUUAUAAAUUACACGCAUGAUUUAUACACACAAAUAUUUUCCUAACAACAAUUUACGUGAUAAAUUUUGCAACAACAAUUUACGCAGGAUAGAACCGCAUGCAAUUAAGCAUCGGUACCAAGUUUCUGACGGCAGGUGUGGUCGCAUGCAUGCGCUCGGGAUGGAGGAAAUAACCGCAUGCAUGCUUCGCUGUGCCUGUUGUCGUCAUCUUGGGGAUCAACGACGACGGAGCCCGGCACUGGCACCACCGUACCGGCAAACGGCUGGAGAACGCGGGCUGGCACGGCGGACCAGAAAGAAACACGAACAAGCCAAGCCUCGGGCCGCGCCCAUGAUCCCUGCAAGAACAAUCGCCACCGAGCCCAAUGAACUACGUACUGUUUUUUUCUCUUCUUGAUCCAAAGGCCGCCCCAACCCGGCCAGCCCGCUUGCAGAUCAUGCACCGGCUAAGCCUUUGUUGGUGGAUCCAAGUGAUGAUGAUAUAUAAAAGAAAGAAAAAAGAUGCACACAAAUAAUUAAAAAGACCAAGGGCCCAAGGCAUCGUGUCGUCCAUGAUGACUUGGAGCUUCCCCUGUCCACUAUAAUCAGUGCACACCAUGUGCGCACAUCCACCUUUGCUAAAGAAAAGGAUUAGACAAAGACCAAGGCAAGAAUCUAAUUAAUUAAUUAAUUAAUAUGUGAUACCCGUCCAUUUCAAAUUGCAGGUCGUUUUAGUUUUUUAGAUUAUAGAUAUUAUUUAUGAUAUAUAAUUUGGAACGGAGGGAGUACUAUAAUUUAUGACAUAUAAUUUGUAUUCUAGUGGAUAGUUUCUUCAAAAUAAAUUUUAUCCAAUCCCCUCUCACUACUGAAAAAUUGAGCAUUCGUCCUGAGACUAAUGUGGGUAUUAGUCUCGAGCCUAACAAAAUAAAUCUCUAGAUGGCACAUAUGAUCCCCUUUAUUACCAUGUGGACGUACCACCCGGUACUAAAGCUCCCAUUCGCCCCCUCUUUCUCUCACAGACCCCGCUGCUUCUUAUCCUCUCUCUCCUGUCCGUCUUCUUAUCCUCACACUUCCUCUCUCUCUCUCCCGUCUGUCUGCUUCUCUAUCUCUCUCGAUCUCCUUUCUCUCACCCUCGCACUCUCUCUUCCUCUACCUUCCCUCCCCUCCUCCCUCCGCUCGCCCCUCACCGACAAUGAGGAGCAGCGGUGAGGUGAGGCGGCGGCGGGCAGGUGGGAGCUGGUGGAGAGGGCGGCGGGGCCGGGCGAAGGUGGCGGCAGGGGCCGGGUGGAGGCGGGGGCCGGGCGGAGGCGGAGGCGGCGAGGCCGGGCGGCGGCAGGCGGCAGGAGCGUGGGUGGGCGGGCGGAAGCCGGCAGAGGGGGCGGCGGGGCUGGGCAGAGGCGAAGGCAGAGGUGGGGCCGGGCGGAGGCAGAGGGGGCGGCGGAGGGGUGGAGGGGAAGCGGGGCAUAGGCGGAGGUGGGGCGGAGGGUGGAGGACGGUGGGGGCGGGGCUGGGCGGCGGGAGUCGGAGGGGCUGGGCAGAGGUAGGCGGAGGACGGUUGGAGCCGUGGAAGGCUGGGGUCGGCGGUGGGGUGGGGGCGGCGGGGGCUGGCGGCAGGGCAGGGCCGGCGGUGGAUUUCUUUAUUUUUAUUUUUUAAUAGACCUUUAGUACCGGUUAUUUCAACUGGUACUAAAGGUCCCCCUUUAGUACCGAACUAUCAGUACCGGUUGCGAAACUGGUACUAAAUGGGGGUUCCCAGUCGGUACUAAUGACGCAUUCCCCAGUAGUGUCUCUUCCGUCUCAUCCCUUCCUUGGUUAUCGUGCUGAGCUGCCAUUCUCAAUGGAGUGGGGGUUUCAUGAGAUAGUUUCUAAGACUAUGGCAUCAUCUAAACUAAUUGGACGUACUCAGAUGAAAUGAAACUAUGUAGUUCUCGAUGUCAAUUUUACCAUGUACUCAGAUGAAAUGAAACUAUGUAGUUCUCGAUGUCAAUUUUACCAUGUUUCAUAGGAUCUGUUUAGCAUAGCUCCACCUUCGAGAUCCAUGUUAGGUCUGUACUCUGUAAUCUAAAAUAAAAUGAUUUAAAUAUUUGUGUUUAGUCUAAAUUAUAAACAAAAUAUUUUAACUAAAUGUUCCUGAUAGACCUGCAGCUCUAAAUCUAAUACCUAGCUCUAAGUGAUCCAAGUUUUUUCCCGUAACUCUGCCGAAUAGGGUUAUAGUCUUAGGAACAAUGUAUACCAAGUUUUAUCCAAACGAAAUCCAUAUCUUCUCUCUUCUUAUAAAUACUUUAUCAUGUCAUUAUAUUUGAUGAGGCGACAUGCCAUUUAACAAGAAUGACCACGAUAAUGACCUAAUAAAAAAAAAGACAAAAAGGCCGAGGCCCAACGCAUCGUGUCCCUUACUUGGAGCUUUCCCAACCCUUUUAUAAUCAAAUUGCACAUCAUGUGCGCGCAUCCACCUUUGCUAAGAUAAAGAAUAGACAAAGACCAAGGCAAGAACCUAACAAUUGUUUUCAGAUCUCAAAAAGCAAAAGCGAUCGAAUACGUUGCAUGCACAUGCAGCGGCAUCAUAUAUUAUGUGCAUCACAAAGGGCCCUACUCAUCCUAUCCAGGCAGGUAUGCUUUGCUGUCCUUGCAUUGGAUCUUUUCCUUCGUAAUGCAUGCACCUUUAGCUCCGAAUUCCUCAAAGGGAGAGGAAAGAAUAAAGAAGGACCGACGCCGCAAUGAGAUCAAACAAUCACAUAGAAAUGAAAAAAAACAAAAAGACGAAAAGGACCAACAAUCGUAUCAUGUGUGCAUGAUUAUUUACUCGAAAAAAAUGUGCGUGAUUAUUGCACAUACACUCUUAAGGAACCAUGUUGAGUUGUGCUACACAUGUGGUUCAACAUGUUAGUGACGAGAGAUACAUGCAUAUUGACUUGUCGAAAUGGUUAGAGCUUUUUUGGACAUAUAGUUGCUUUACUCAAAUUGGUUAUACAUUGUUAAUUUACGUACCGAAGGGGAAACCGUAAGAUCAUCAUAUAUAUAUGAACUAAGCAUGGUGGAUUCAUUAGGUUCCUCGUAGUAGAACUAUUCCACCUGGAUUCGAAUUCUAGACUUAGCACUUCUGCUCAUUAUAGGAAUAAAUAAUGCUAUUUUUUAAGUGGUAGGUAUGGGCGGGGGGCUCGCUGCCAGCCCACUUCUGCGCCCCUGCUGUCCUGCCUCCGCCGGAGCACGCCCUCGGAAGCCCGGGUGGCCGCAAGGACGGCGGCGGCGGGGCACUUCUCUUCCGCUUGUUGAGUUCCCUCCUCCCAUCUUCCUCACGUUCAAGCUUCCAAGGGCACCGGUGACCGCGCCAUUUGCAGAGCUAGGUCUCUGGCCGUGGAGGCUGGCGCACCCCGGAUCUGCCGUCGUAGAGGUCGGAUCCGGUGCCUCCCCUAGCUGAUUCGCGCAUGCCUGGUCCUGGCAGGCAGCACGGUGGCUUGCCCUUGGGUGGCCGUGGCUCGUUGGGCCUGGCCUUGCCAGUCAGCCCGGAGGUUCGGUGGCCACGGAUCCGCAGCCAUGGCACCCGGAUCCGGUCCCCUCGCAGCCGGUUGGCCGGUUUCCCUUCAAGAUCUGCGAUGGGUUCCAAGAGGAGCGGCGGGUCAUGCAGAGUGGCGGUGGCCGGUGGCUCGAUGUUGUUGCUGGCUACUCCAGCUGCCUGAGGGUGGCGGCGGCUGGCGGAUUCUGGUGGGCUCGUGAGGCAGCGGGCGACGCGCCCGUCACUGAGCUCACUAAGCUCUCGGCCAGCAUGCAGUGAGCGGUGGACAGUGCUUGUGGGGUGCUGAGAGCACAGGCGAAAGCUAUACUCCACUGCGUGUCAGUGCUGACGGCGGCAAUGCCCUCGGGCGCCAUUCACCUCCAUGGAGGAGGCAUCCUAAAGCUCUCCUCCUCGCAACCUUGGUGACCUCCGGGUGAAAACCCUACUCCGGCUCUACUGGACCGGCAACGGCGGCAUCUCUAAUUUUGUUUCCUACCUAUAGGUGUCAUCUCUAGAGGUCUCUGCCAUCCGCUGGUUGUGCCACAAGAAUGCCGCUGAUUUCUUGUUGGGGUGAUGAUGUGGUCGUGCAGGAGUUACGGGCGAAAGCUUUACCCGAUUGGUGUCGGUGUCAGCAACGACAGCGUCAAUUGGGCGUCAUUUUCUUCUGUUGAGGUGUUUGUUGUGAUGCUCUCUGCAAGGUCAAUGGUCUUCCAGGUGAAAACUUUACUCCAGCUUGCCGGCGGCGAAGGCAUCUUCGACGUCGUGUCCUUCUUGGAGGCGUCACCUUGGAAGUCCUUUGGCCUGACCUUCAUUGCCUAAGAUGGAGUCUGUUGUGCGAGCGAUAGAAGACAAGUAUUCCAAGUUCGGCAUCAAGUUUCUAAGCAGACGAAAGAUGUGAUGGCAUGACGAUCCACGAAGACAACGCAAGGAUGAAGCAUGGACGCAGAAGAAGAAUGAAGCUUAGUCUUCUAAUUAUUUUCUUUAUCUUAGAGUUUUCUUUCUUAUGUUUUGAGCUCCUCAUUGUUGAGGACUAGAGUCUAAGAACUCUUUGUAACCUUUGGCUGUAUAUAUCCACAUGUAUGUCCACCAUGUGGAUACAGUAAGCUGGAUUUUAUCCUUAAUCUAAAAAAAGGUAGCAUGCCUAUCGGCAGCAAAGGCUGCUUCUAUGGCAACUUUGACAAUCCCAAUAUCUACUUUCAGUUAGGCCACUAGUCUCACGAAGGUACUCGUAAGCAUAGGGCACGAUUGGUUGUGUUUAUAGGGAUGAGUGUAUGUGAAUGUUUACCUCUAUACUAUGUUUCAUAAAAAAGGUGAAGUACGCAACAAAUGUGCGCGCAUCCACCUUUGCUAAGAAUAGACAAAGACCAAGGCAAGAACCUAACAAUUGUUAUCACAUCUCAAAAAGCAAAAGCGAUCGAAUACGAUGACUUUGCAUGCACAUGCAGCGGCAUCAUAUAUUAUGUGCACCAAAAAGGGCCCUACUCAUCCUAUCGAGGCAGGUAUCCUUUGCUGUCCUUGCAUUGGAUCUUUUCCUUCGUAAUGCAUGCACCUUUAGCUCCGAAUUCCUCAGAGGGAGAGGAAAGAAUAAAGAAGGACCGACGCCGCAAUGAGAUCAAACAAUCAUAUAGAAAUGAAAAAAAAACAAAAAGACGAAAAGGACCAACAAUCGUAUCAUGUGUGCAUGAUUAUUUACUCGAAAAAAAUGUGCGUGAUUAUUGCACAUACACUCUUAAGGAACCAUGUUGAGUUGUGCUACACAUGUGGUUCAACAUGUUAGUGACGAGAGAUACAUGCAUAUUGACUUGUCGAAAUGGUUAGAGCUUUUUUGGACAUAUAGUUGCUUUACUCAAAUUGGUUAUACAUUGUUAAUUUAUUGGGGAUACCGUAAGAUCCUCAUAUAACUAAGCAUAGUGGAUUCAUUAGGUUCCUCGUAGUAGAAGCAUUCCACCCGGAUUUGAAUCCUAGACUUAACACUUCUGCUCAUUAUAGGAAUAAAUGAUGCUAUUUUUUAAGUGGAAGGUAGCAUGCCUAUCGGCAGCAAAGGCUGCUUCUAUGGCAACUUUGACAAUCCCAAUAUCUACUUUCAGUCAGGCCACUGGUCUCACGAAGGUACUUGUAAGGAUAGGGCGCGAUUGGUUAUGUUUAUAGGGAUGAGUGUAUGUGAAUGUUUACCUCUAUACUAUGUUUCAUAAAAAAGGUUAAGUAUGCAACAAAUGAGGCAGACAUGGUAGACGAUAUGCCUCAAAUAAAGGAUCGCAAGAAUACAUGCGCAAGGCACAAUAUGUUAUCUUAGUUUUGUUCUAUUGCAUUUUGAGCGUAUAAUUGAAUAAUAUGCAUGGCUUCUUGCUCUGUGUUGCUCCCUUUUGCCUAUAGGACUCAAUCUAUCAAAACUUCAUGCGCACCAAUACUAGUUAAAAAGAAGUCUUCAUGUCACGAAGUCGUUCGUGGUACACAUUCAACAAGCUCCAUCCGAGAAUGCAUGGUUGCAUAAUAAUGCUUGUUAGGUUCAUAUUCAUUUUACCUCACCUACAAGCAAAUUUCACUAGUGCCAUUGAAGCUAAUCUACAAGGCUUGAGAUAGUGUAUUCUUGGAGUCAACAGAGUGUAGUUCGACCCAUGGAUCCUGUCGCAUGCGGCUAGUAGGUUUAAGUGAUAAUUGGACUAGUUUAUGUGCACGUAAUGAUGCGGUAUGCAUGGUGUGGAAGUUGUUCUAAACUCGUGCCCGAUUACAACUUAAGUAUGUGGUGCAUUGAACUUAUAUUCGAAUAAUCUCGAUCUGAUGCAUGUGAAAGCAACCAAUGUGUUCAUGUGUGAAUGAGUGUUAUAUCAUAUGCUACUUUGUACGUUUAGGGGUGCAAAUUAGUAACUCUAAGAGUCUCACCACGUCUCUGUAGUCCAACAAAUUGUACUAGCUAGUCAAAGGUGACAAAAAAUGCAUCGGGCAUGGCAGCCUCUGGCACACAAAAUUUUAGUACAAGUGUACAAAACAGAAAGAAAUACUCUAAUCCUAGAACCAAAUCAAAGCAACCAUCAUGUAAGUUCAUAUCUGGAAGCACACAAAUGAUCAUAAGAUUUAAAUUUCUUAAAACAAACACACAGGUCGAACCGAACUAAUAAUCGUGUCGUCGAUUCCUUGUCCAUGAUGCACUCAUGCCAGUUAAUUAUUUAACUAGCCGCAAAGAACCGGCAGGGGAGCUGGUGGUACGCCGCUCAAUUCAGCGGCGGCGGGGAAGAAGCUGACCGGCGCGCAUGUCACCUUGAUGUCGUACAGCCGCGUCUGCGCGAAGCCGACCUUAAAUCUUGCCACCGCGGUGACCGUCACGGCGAAGGCAUUGUUGGUCAUGUUGCGGGUGAAGGCGCGCACCAUUAAUGGCUCUCCCUUGAGGGCCGAGAACAGCGUCGCGUUGAUCCUGGUCUCCUUGAGCUUCGGCUGGAGCAGCGGCCCGGCCACCGCCGCCGAAAUGUCGGCCCUGAACGACAGUCCUCCCGCCACCGUGCUGUUGCUCACGUCGAUGUAGAUGUUGUCGUACUCCACCCGGGCGCGCGUGCUGGUGUUGUUGACGGAGAGGGUCAGGGCAAGCUCCACGCCAUCGGCGGUCUUGUGGCUGCUCGCGUCGGCGACGGAGAUGAGGAUGCGCGCGGGGCUCAGCACGAUGAAGAAGACGGUGACGAUGAUCGCCGCGACGAGGACCGCCAUCAGAGCUGCUAUGAUGUAUUGCUUCGCGGUCGGGGCCUUCACGCUCUUCGUCGUCGUCGUCGUCGCAGCCGCCUGAGGCGCCGGAGCUGGAGGUGCCAUGCUUAAGCUCGUAUUGGUUUGUGCCUUGUGCAGCUAAUAUAAUGUAUUGGUUUGCAUCAAAAAUCAAAGUGGCGCGCUGUCUGCCGCUGAACGUUUUUUUAAUAGAUCGCACGCGCAGGCGUUGCGGGAUGUGUGUGUGUGAGAGAGAGUAGUCAUGCUACUGACCAUGCAUGUUUGUAUGAUUGUUUGAAAACAAGAGUUAGUUAGUGGCAUUUUUGUAUGAAAAAAAGGUCUUUAUUAGCAAAAAGAUCGAUGCUUUGUCCAUCAAAGGCAGCACCAAUAAAGAAGGACAUGAUGCACGCAUCUCGUACUGAUUCUGAACAGCUAGAAGAGUAUAGCUGUUAUUCGCAAGAGUGCUUAGAACGUUGUGUGUUAAGGACACUGCCAAGAAUUGGAUCGAGCAAAGGCAAAGCAAAAGGCGGAUAGAUAUGAUCUUGCGGUCAUGGCGGUCAGAUGGUGACAGCGCCAUAUGGAGUAGUCUUCAGGAAGAAGUUUCCUUCUAGAGAUUGGAGAGAAGCUAUUCUUGCUAGAAUCAUCACUCGGUGUGCAGCUUGAUUUAUUUGCUACUGCGGAUCGGGCGGGACGGACAUGGCAGAUUAUGAACUAUAUUAUAGAUUUGAUAACUGGUACGGAGUGGGUUAUGAAGACAUAUAUGGAUGGGCGUGUUCUGCGGUGGUGAGUGUAAUUUUGCAUAACUGGUUCACCUCCUAAAAUUUGAUUGUUCAGAUUGAUUUGAUCUCUUACCGACUUGUUUUUCAAAAGCCAUGCAUGUACAUACUCCCUUCGUUCCAAACGAGUAACUAUAUUUUGGAAGUAGGUAUCAUGGACCACUUUUAAGUUGCUACAUGAGAAUCCAGCAAAAGGAAUCUGUCUAAUCCAGUUAUUGAGGAAGCAAAGCAAAAAAGAAAAAGAAAAAACGGGAAUCAAAGGUGACAAGUUCGAUAGUGCUUUACUUUGAUUCGACGAACUGCGGAAAAAGAUUCGAUGAGAAGCACGUGAAAUUGGGUAUCUAUUUAGCUGUAAGGCUGGAACUAAAAUGCUUUAAAAAAAUUCGGUAGUCGCGGCAAACAAAAAAAAGAGUGCUUUACUUGCUUUAUUAUUUGACAUAGUGGUCCAAACAUCUUUCUAAAAAAAUUUGGGAAGAGAAUUGAAGGUAUGGUUCUUCUUUUAAAUUAAAGGAAGAGUACUAUGCUUAUCUAUUUCGUAUAUACUUCACUCAGCCAUCAAUAAACAAACUUGUAAGUGCUAUUGUAUAUAUUUUAGGUGUAGCAGUUUAUUCUACACCCACGUAUAAAUUCUGACAAAAAUAAUCGCUUUGGACUUGUGAAAAUAUUUCAUAAGGUUGUAAUUUGUCAUUUUUACAAGAGAAUUAUGUGAAAGUCACCUCUGGAGAUGGACCAAAUCGAAAUAUUGUACUACAUCUGUCCUUGAGAAAAGCAUAUGAACCAGCUGCAUGCAUGUCGAAUAAAGUAAUUGUCCUUUGCUUUAUUCCCUGGGUUAGAUAGAUUCCACCAGGCUGAGUCUAUUUUUUUCAAUAUUGGUUCCAUAUAUAUUCAACUUUUUUCAAACAAACACAGUGUUUGUAUAUAUCUCUAUUUUAAUCAAUUUAGAAAUGGAUAACUAGUUCAUGGAAUGUAUAAUUUGUGUAUCCUACAGCCUUGUGGAAUGGAUAAAUACCGGAGGUGGUCGGUAGGGCCGGUAUGCCGGUUUUCGGGCAAAAAUUUUGGAAUUUGGACAAAUUUUAACUGGAAUUUGAGGAUACAAGUGAAUUCUGGCCGAAAUAUUACCGGCAUGGCUAUUUACCUGACACCACCGGUAGGAUCGAAAUUCACGAAAACCGGCCAAAAUCUAGAACCCUAUUUAUAUAUAGUUUGUACAUGCCCAUAAUUCAAAUACAUGCAUUUAAUUAAUGGAUAAGUAAUUCAAAUACAACCUUAAUAACUAGUAUAAGAUGAUCAUCUACACUCACAUGGGUAGGCCAUGCAAGAAUUAUAUAUGUGGAAAUACAAACAAUUCUUGCUAGAACAAUUCUUGCACAUGUGAUAUCUCAUAUCUGUAUACGUAUAAGCCCAGGCCAUGUACACAGAGAGAUGGGGUUAGCUCGACUUUACAUGCCAUUUGUCUCUAUAUAGUAGGUGAACUCAACCUAUCAAUUGCUUUUAUAGUAGGCCACCAAGCAAAUCAUAAGCCAGGACACGGCGGCCAAAAAAAAUUAAUCUGACCGCCGGCUGUCGUCGUAAGAGCAUGGCAGCGGCCGGAGCAGCAGGUGACGGCGAGAAAUCAGGGUUCCGGUGGCUAGACUUGGCAAGGUACGCGGUGGCCGCCGUGGUGACCGUGGUGAUCAUCGCCGUCGUCGUCCACGCCAUCCAGGUGGUGUUCCGCCCCGACUCCCUGACUCUCUCGGUCCUCGGAGGCUCCGUGUCCACGAACUCGUUGCCGCCGGCGACGGACCCUUCCCUGUCCUUCUCCUACACUCUCCGUGCUCGGAACCCCAGCGGCCGCGUCCGCAUGUACUACUUCAACAUCAACACGUUCCUCUUCAACAGCAGCACGCCGGCGACCACGCCGGAGCCGAUGGCCGACUGCUUGGUCUCCUUCCAGAUGCCAGACAUGUCGGUGAUGCAGAUGCGGUUCACGGACAGCCUGAUACAGCGGACUGUCCAGAGGAAUCCUAAUGAUAUCAUGCCGUUCGCCUUCGACGCAUUGCACAAAACCGGGGGCAGCAUCAAGGACGUAACGAUGCUAGUGAACGGCACGCUCGUCACCGAGAUCAGGUUCGGGUUCAACACCACCCCUCGGGUCGUCAAAUACUACUGCAGGCAGCUCGUAGUCGGCUUGUACGACGUCGCCACGAUGAAAACUGAUCAGGAGACCAGCUGCACAACGUCGUCGUGAUCUCGUCAUUUUCCUUCAAUUUUUGUGUGUUGAAAUUAAGUCGGAUUUGAUGUGAUGUACCACACCUCCCUUUCCUUUAGCGUGUGUGUUUUUAAUUUUUCAGGUAAUUCUGCUUUUUCUACGAGCUGUGUAUCAUCUGAUAUCCUGUCUUCUAAUAUAUAUAUAACAUUAAUAAGUACUCGGGUGUGAUACGAUUUCUGGGUAGUUAACUUGAUCGUCCUUAGGCUAAAAACAACAUGUCAAGAAUAACCGAGAGGGAGAGAGAUAGUGAGAAUAGAGACACCCACCAUCGGGCUUGGAGGAUGAGCUCGCCAUGGGCGGUGACGGCGGCGUUGAUGGCGAGUGUGGGAGGCGGCGGCGCGGCGUAGGUGGCGCUAGGGCGGCGGAGCUUCCCGCCGCUUCAGCCCUAGAUUGAUUGGGUCUAGGGUUUGUUAGGUGGGUUUGGCGGGCACGUUCAACCUCGGCGUGCGUGCCCCCAGCCCACCUCUCUCUUUAUAGCGGUGCGCGAUGGGGGCCCGCAACCAUGAGUUGGUUGUGCACCCCCGAGCAGGGCACGAGAUAGGGUCCGACUCAGUCGUUGGACCAGAUCAACUCUAACAUUCUCGCCUGAUCUCACCUUUUGUUUAAACUUAGAUUUAAACUUUAACACUUAACUUGGCACCCAUUUCAUUACAGAUUAGUAUGUAGAGCAUGCCUCGUCAUGAUAGUCAGUUAUGUACUAUUGGAUUCAAUAGCUGUUUUAAAACAAAUUCUUAUCCUAGGCCCUUAGUAUCCAGGAAUCAUAGGCUUUCCCGUAAACCCAUGCCGGCUAAGUGUUCUAUGAGCACAUUAGGCGGUAAGCCUUUUGUUAGUGGAUCCACGAGCAUUUCAUUUGUUCUUAUAUGCUCUGGACUAAUGGUAUGAUCAUGAAUUUUCUCUUUCACAACAUAAAACUUGAUGUCAAUAUGUUUGGCAGCACCACUUGACUUAUUGUUGUGAGCAUAAAACACUGCUGGAUCAUUGUCGCAUUACAUCUUGAGUGGCUUUUGAAUGCUAUCUAUCACUUUCAACCCGGGUAUAAAUUUGUUUAGCCAUUUGGCCUGUCCCGUGGCCUCAUAACAUACUACAAACUCAGCAUACAUCGUGGUCGAUGUAAUGACGGUUUGCUUGGAGCUUUUCCAUGAUAUUGCUCCACCUGUGAGAGUGAAUACAUAACCUGACGUGGACUUUCUAUUGUCUACAUCUCCCACAAAAUCUGAAUCUGAGUACCUUUCUAUUUCUAGGGAAUCAACUCUUCUGUAUGUUAACAUUAGGCCUUUUGUGCCUUGCGUAUAACACAAUGCCUUCUUUACCAUUCUCUAGUGAUCCAUUCUUGGAUUAUCCUGAUAUCUGCCAAGUAUCCUGGUCACAAAAGCUAAGUCAGGACGUGUACAUACUUGAGCAUACAUUAAGCUUCCGACAACCAAAGCAUAUGGAACAACUUUCAUUUGAUCGAUCUCAUAUUGGUUCCUAGGACACUGAAAUUUCCCAAAUCUAUCACCCUUGAUUAUGGGAGCAGGCGUAGGUUUACUCGCAUGCAUACUAUAUUUCUUUAGAUUUUUUUCCAAGUAUGCCUUUUGCGAUAAUCCUAAAAUCCCUUUUCUUCUAUCUCAGUGAAUUUCAAAUUCCUAAAACGAAUGAAGCUUCAUCGAGAUCUUUCAUAUCAAAAUUCAAGGACAAAAACUUCAUCUCCAAUAGCAGAUUAACAUCACUACUAGCGAGUAAGAUGUCAUCUACAUAUAGGAUGAGAAAAAUAAAUUUUCUAUUCUUGAACUUUGCAUAAACGCAAUUGUCCUCCUUAUUCUCAUUAAACCCAAAUUUUCUUCUUGUUUCAUCAAACUUAAAAUACCACUGUCUGGAGGCUUGUUUUAAUCCGUAAAUAGAUUUCUUCAGGCGGCAUCCCAUACAUUCUUUUCCUUCCAUGACAAAAUCUUCGGGUUGUGCAAUGUAAACAUCUUCAUAUAAAUCUCCAUUGAGGAAUGCCAUCUUUACAUCCAUCUGAUGUAAUUCCAAGUCAUAGCGCGCCACUAAAGCUAUUAUAAUUCUAAAGGAAUCCUUACAUGAGACUGGAGAAAAUAUCUCAUUAUAUUCUAUUCAUUCUCUUUGCGUGAACCCUUUUGCCACAACUCACGCUUUAUAUCUUUCCACAUUCCCUUUGGAGUCACAUUUUAUUUUGUAGACCCAUUUACAGCCUACUGUCUUGGCUCAUUUAGGAAUUUUUUCUAAAUCCCAAACAUUAUUGCUACUCAUAGAUCUCAUUUCAUCUUCCAUAGCUUCAAGCCAUUUUGAUGAGUGAGCGCUUCUCAUGACUUCUUCAAACGAGGUGGGAUCUCCCUCCAUUUGAACUUCUUCACUAACAUAGACUUUGUAGUCAUCAGGAAUAGCUAGUUUUCUAACUCUGUGAGACCUUUUGGGGGCCUCAACAUUUGGCGCAUCUACCAUAUGGGGUUGCUACAACUCUUCCUCAUGUGUAACAGGUUCUAUAGGAUCCUGAAGGACAGGUUCCUCAUCUUCAUUUGUUGUUGCUAUGGGAGAACUAACAAUAGGUGAUGUUACCAUAGUGUCAUGUACUGUCGGUGUAGCAACAAUAGGUAUCGAGAAAAAUAGUUCCUGAAUAAUCGGAGUGGGUACGUAUACUCGCUUCUCCUUGAGGCUAAUUUCUCGGGCUAACAUGCUCCCUCUGAUCAUCUCAUCCUCGAAAAGUACAGCGUGUCUUGUUGCUACAAACUUAGUAUGUCUGUCAUGACAGUAGAAAUGAUAACCUUUUGACUUAUCUGGAUAGCCAAUGAAAUGGCAAGUGACGAUCCUAGGAUCUAUUUUCCCAAUAUUUGGGUUAAAUACUUUAGCCAUAGCCAGAUAGCCCCACACAUGCAAAUAGUUCAGUGAGGGCUCUCUUCCAGUCCACAACUCAUAUGGUGUUUUAGACACCGACUUAUUGGGAACCUGAUUAAGAAUGUGAAUGGUGGUUUUUAAUGCCUCCAUUCACAAAUUAAUCGGUAAAGUGGAGUAACUUAUCAUACUUCUCAUCAUAUCCAUUAAUGUACGGUUACGUCUUUCAGCAAAUCCAUUUUGCUGAGGCUCGCCUGGUGUGGAGUAUUGGGCAACUAUGCCGUUUUCUUGCAAGAACCUUGCAAAAGGUCCAGGAGCUUGGCCAUAUGGGAUAUGUCGACCGUAGUACUCCCUCCCCCCAAUGGUCAGAUCUUACUAUCUUAAUCUUUAAAUUGUGCUAAUUUUCUACUUCAACCUUAAAUAUCUUAAAUUUAUCCAAUGCUCCUGAUCGUUCCUUAAUUGGAUAAAUGUAGCUAUAACGUGAAUAAUCAUCUGUGAAUGUUAUAAAUGAAUUAUAACCAUCCACAGAUAUCACAGGAAAAUGAUCAUAGAUGUCUGUGUGAAUUAUUGCUAAAAUUCCUGUACUUCGUUUGGCGUCUUUCUUAAUUUUCUUAACAUACUUUCUCUUAAUUCAAUCAAUGAAUUGCUCUAAAUCUGAAAAUUCUAAGGGCGGAAGAAUUGAUUCCUUGAUUAAUCAUUCAAUUCUCCCCCUCGAAAUAUGGCCUAAACGACAGUGCUAUAAUUUUGAAGAUACAUCAUCAAUUCUUUUCUACUUAUUUAUUACAUUCAUAGAUGAGGAGGCAUUCACAUUCUUAGUGCUUACAACAUUCACAUUCUCACCAAGUGAUAGCAAAUAAAGCUCAUCUUGUCUGAAGGCAAGACCAACACACUUGUUAUUAAACUUAAUCUUACAUUGUCCAUCACCAAAGUGACAAGCAAAUCCAUCAUUGUCUAAGUGCGAGACACUUAUUAAAUUUCUACGCUAAGAGGCCACAUAGAUAACAUCUCAUAGAUGAAGUACAAAACCAUCAAUUAAUUCUAAUGGUUCUUUCUCCUCUUUGGAGGGUCCUCCUCUUUUGGAAUCCCUGUAAUAAAUUUGUAACAUGAAUUUGCAACAUGAAUAAUUGCACCUGAAUCAAUCUACCAAGUAGAUUUUGUGUAACUUAAAUACAAGGACUCGUCUAUGAAUGUAAUAAGGUCAUCACCUUUCUUACACAGAUGCUUCAGGAAAUCCACACAAUCUUUCUGAUACUGUCCCUUCUUCCUGCACCACUUGCAAGUGUCCCUGUCUACCACUUCAUGGUUUGAUCUUUGAUGGUGAUCAUUUUUUGGAGCCUUUCCAUGUGCCUUAGAAGAGGAAGUAUUUGUUGGGAUACGAGGUAGGCUAUGCUAGCGCGAAACAAAAAUUUUCUACCAUGUAAGCCAGGAAAACUGCCGUAUAUGGAUCACGGGAUUACCACUCGACGCACAGGUGCGGAAGUUGUAGAAUCACAUUGGGGCAGUUAAGUCGAUCAGCGUAGUCGAACACGUCGAUGUCGAGCAGCUCCUCAGCAGCUCGUCCACGUACAGCGAGGUCCUCCUCAUGCCGUGGCUCGUCGGCGGCUCGUCGUGGCUCGUCCAAGUGCUGCAGGUGCAACACUUCCAAGGUAUCCACAUGUGCAGGGAGGAAGCGUCGCAAGCCGGACUGCUAGGUCCGUGAGUUGCAACGAGGCGGUGGCGUAGGAGGCGCGGCAGCUGUGGUUCGGCCAAAAGGGAUAAACCCUAGGGUGCCCCCCACCCCUCUAUAUAUAGGGGUCCCUGACGGGCCUCUAGGUCCGAGGCCUAUUAGUACUCCUAAACCUAGUCCAAUUCAGAUCAUAUCCGAAUUGGGCUUCCAGCCCUUUAAGUGUGUGACCCUAUAGGUUCAUAUGCGUAUAGACAUGGCCCGAGUACUCUUACUCGGCUAAUAGUUAGUAGCGGCCUCUAGCAAGACGUGCUAACUCCUACACGCACACGAAGAUCAUAUCAGACGAUCCAUCACAACAUCACGUACAUGCUAUUCCCUUUGCCUCACGAUAUUUGGUCUAGCUCCAAGACAACCACUCUUUCUCGAUACUGUGAUUUGGAAUCCCUUUCUAGGUUAACUCUUAACCUCACGUAGCAUGGCCAUGCAUUCCCAGAUUCGAUCACUCGAGGGGCCCAGAGAUAUCUCUCUCAAAUAGAGAGGGGAAAAUUCCAUCUUGACUGACCAUGCCUCAUAGCAUGCUUCUUGACAAACCUAAAAUACCUUUAUGACUACCCAGUUACGGUGUAGUGUUUGAUAGCCCCUAAGUAAGUUGAUCCACAUCUUGAGUACAUGCACAGUAUUAGGUCUAAGUACAAAGCGUACACGUUGUGUAAAGAGAGAACUACGUAACUCGUGUUGAGUCAGUCCUAGCACAUGUCUCCACAUACGCCUACAUUAUUAGUUUGACAUCUCCAUGUCGAUGACUUGUGAAACAUAGUCAUCAACUAAUACAUGUACUAGUCUAAUAUUCAUGUGUGUCCUCACAUGAACUCCGACUAGGGACAACUUUUAGAAUAACCAUACAAGUAAAGAGUUUCACAUACAAUUCACAUAAUUGUAAAUUAAUUCAAGUAGCCUUUAAUGGAUAUUCAAGGAACAUAAUAUAAAAUAUGGAUACAAAGGAACAUCAUCAUCUCUAUGAUUGCCUCUAGGGCAUACCUCCAACAGUAUUGUCCCACUAAGGUUUCCCUUGUGGCUUAGAAUUAUUGUUAUGAUAAUUACUCUUCUUAUUUUGCCUCACGUAGUUGAUAGAAUCACCACGUGAGCCCUUAAUUCUCUUCUAUCUUGCACACACAUGGCAAUAAGCUUUUCAAUGCCCCACUUGUCAGGCUGUGAGUUGUAAUUAACAACAAAAGCCUCAAACUCCUUAGGUAGGGAUGCAAAGAUCAAAUGACUAGAAACUCAUCACUGAGCCCCAUGUACAUAGGUUAAGCUUAGAUGCCAUACUGCUCAUCAUCAAUAUGUGCUCCCGUACCCCACCACCAGUGUACUUCUCAGUAACUAGCCUCUUAAUGAGAGGGCUUGCAUAAGCCUUUGAAGAGCCAGUAAACUGACUCUCCACCUUCCUAAGCCACUCCUUAGCGGUGGUACACUCUGGGAUUGCCCCCCUUAUAGCAUCCACAAUGGAGCUCUUAAUCACCAUCAAGCAUUUGCAGUUCCACUGAUCAAAUUGCGCACGAUCAAGAUCGUACUUCAUUCUAAUUGGUGCAUGACCAUGCACUCGAGCGAAAUCUGAAAUUUGUCUUCCAUUUUUGACUCGAGAUCGAAAUCCCCUCCUUCUAAUUGCUGAGACGAAAACUUUUCCGACUAGAUCUACACUCUAGUGUUAGGCGGAAUUCUGGGUCUCUAGGUGUGAAUCUAGCGGGUAGUUAACUUGACCCUUUGUCUAAAAACAACAUGUCCUAUGGCUAAUAAAAAAUAGGGAGAGAGAGAUAGUGAGACUAGAGAUACUGACCAUCAGGUUUGGAGGACGAGCUUGCCAUGGGUGGUGAUGGCGGCGUUGACGGCGAGUGUGGGCGGCGGCAGCGCGGCGUAGGUGGCGCUAGGGGGGUGGAGCUUCCCACCACUUCAGUGCUACAUUGAUCGGGUCUAGGGUUUGUCUGAUGGGUUUGGUGGGCACAUUCAACCUCGACGUGCGUGCCUCCAACACCCACCUUUCUCUUUAUAGCGCUGCGCGAUGGGGGCCCACAACCAUGAGUUGGUUGUGCGCCCCCGAUCAGGGCGCGAGAUAGGGUCCGACUCAAUCGUUGUCUGUUCCCUUAAUUAAUGAAGGGUCAAAACUACUCCUUCCAUUACUAGGGAAAUGGCAUUCAUUACCGGUUGGGAACCCCCCUUUAGUACCGGUUUCGCAACCAUUAUUGUUAGUUCGGUACUAAAUGGGGAGGCCAACCCGUACUAAUUCAUUUUUUUCUUUUCUCAUUUUCUUUUCUAUUUAUUUAUUCUAUAUUCGUAUUUCAUAUUUAUUUGCUUUACAUAUACUAGUUCUAAUACGCUAAUAUAUAUAAAGUUGUAUUUAUCUUCAAUAUUACAUUUGAGAUACUAGUAUAUAUAUAAACAUAUUGUGCAUACACAUAUAUGAAUAAUAUUACAUUGCCUCAACUUUCCAAAUUCAACAUUUUGUAUCAACUAUUCUGAUCCCAAGGCCUGACGGUGAUGUAGAUUUGAUCCAUCAUUAUGAAACUCCCCCGCUGGAUUUACUACCACGUCCAAAAAAAUCCACAGAGUUAUUCUUGAAUUGCCCUGAUGCAGUUUGUGUCGAGGACUCUUUCCUUCUUGUACAUCAUCUGUGUCAUUGGCAAAGGUUAUUAUAUAUAUAGUAGAUCAAUGUGUUUGCACAAUUAGAACUAAUUUAUUAUUAAUAAUUUUGUAUACGUACGCUUAAUUCGUGGUCGGUCAUACGCUUUGGACCUCCAAAGCCAUAGAUGAACUCACAUACAUAGUAUCUGCAUAAAUUAUUCCCCGGCUCCUGUCUCCAACACUAUAUAUAUGGCAAAAAAAGUUAUAAAAUAUUUGUUGUGUUUAAGGAAGUGUCACAUGAUGUGAAAAUUCAACACAUAUCAGGAACUCAGUCUUCCAAUAAAGUUCCUCCUUGAAUUCACCCACAUGAUUUCUACGAAAUCGAGCCUAUGCUUUGUUCAAAACAUCUAUGAGGCCUUUGUAUUCAUCUCUUGGUUUCCUCAAAAAGUCCAUGACAAUUACUGUGCUCAUAUUAGGCAUGACAACAAUGAGUAUCCAAUGGAAGCUGUACAACCAAAGCUAGUUAGUCUUAUGUUUAACUAUUAGUUCAAAAAAGAAAGAGAUGGGAAACACACUCACUUGAAGUUGUACGGUAGUAGUAUGUACUUCUUGUAAUGUUGCUUGUCGAGGAACUUAUAUAUAUUCUUCAAUGUCUGAUUUGGUUUAUCUCUUAGAGUUGACUCAUUUACAACAUCGGGGUCCAUGAAGCCUACAUCAUAGUAUCCUUUCCUCAGACAAUUUUGAAUCUUCAUCCUGCAUGAUACAAAAUCAAAUAGGAGUUAAGACAUCGCACAAUGACUAGAGAGGGAAUUUUGAAGUUAGAGCAAAUUAAAGACUUAUAGAUCCUAGGAAUUGAUGAGUGACUUGUCAAGUGUGUGUUGAUUGUAAAGGUAAUAUAGUUCCUCCAGCAGCACAUUUAUACUGUUUUCCCCACGAAAAUAAUGUUGAUCUUUAAUCCGAACUUCGAGCAUGAAGAAACCAUUGGCUGAAGCCUCCAUGUACCAUUGGUGCAACUUGUACAUCUUCGUUGGAAGACAGUCCACCAACUGUGGUCACAGAAGCAUUUUCCCGUACUCAUAUUUCCAUUUAGCAGCCCCAGGGUGCUUUGGGUUGUGAUCCUCCCCUUGAAGUUGAGUUGUGGUGAGAUUUGUAUCUUUGGCGAAUUGUAGAAGGUUCUGAUCAAACUCCAAAAGCAUCUUGAGAGAGGCAAUCAAUUGGUUGGAUUGGGCUCAACGACUUCGCCAUGGAAGAGCUCUGAUUCUACGAGGAAGGGGACAACUACCACUACCAGGGGCUCAAGCUCCAUAAGGAUGAGAGCUACUUUCAGUUUCUGGAUUUCGGGUAAGCACUCCUUGAUGGUAUUGCAGGCUGUAGAGAGCUGGGGGAUAAAGCUUCGUGGGGGAAGUUUUGGAGGGCUAAGAGUUCAGAGAUGCAAAAGCUUGUGGCCUGGAGCAGGUUACUGGGGUGGUGCGUAUUUGUAGGCCGGAUUGGAGAGGAUUACUGGACUAGUACAGCAGCAGAAGCUGAUUGUUUGGUUCAGAUGGUGAGGAAGGAGAGGAAUGGCGUGCCACGCGGAGGAGUCCACAAUUUAUCUCGCUCACAUUUGCCAUAAUUUAUUUCGCUCAUAUUUGAAAAAUACUAAACUAUGAAAUUAUUCCUCUAACAUCAUAUCAAUAUCUUUGACUAAUACGAAAUAUAGCAUCCAAAAAAAUGUAGCUUAUUCUAAAAAUCACAAAUAUGAGCUCUAAAUAACACAUUCAUAUAAAUGAAAAUUUUCUCCAUUGUACCUUAUUCUAAAAAUCACAAAUUACUCUAGCUGUAAAGCAUAAAACUUAGUAUACUAACCAUGUAUCGAGAGAGGAUGAAGUUUCUAACUUUUAGAACACUUGAAUAAGUGAAAUCCCCAAGAAAUGGUCUUCAAUCCGGUAGCACCUCCGCUAUGACGCCAUGGAUAGGGUGAAGCUCGAGUUGUGGUGAAUGGCUCAGGCAGGAGGAAGAAGGAGGCGGAUGUAUAAGAAGAAAUUUAGUACUGGUUGGGGACACCAACCGGUACUAAAGCCCGGCGGCACAUUAGUACCGUUUGGUUCCCUCAUCCGAUACUAAAGGCCCAGUGGCACAUUAAUACUGGGUGGGGGAACCAACCAGUACUAAUGUGCACCCUUUAGUACCGGUUGGUGCCCCCAACCGGUACUAAAGGUGCUCACACGGCCAGCCUCGGGAACUAGCUGUUAGGCCCGGUACUAAUGCUCACGUUAGUACUAGAUCCAAAUGCAACCGGUACUGAGCCUCGGGAUGAAUGCUCAGUUUUUUAGUAGUCCUCCGUACUAAAAAAACAAGCUAUUUUGUAAUUAAAAAUUCAUUCCAAAAUAAAUAUGCAUGCAAUAGUUAGUUAGCAACAAAUAUGGCUAAUAUAUAGGGAACUCCUUUUCUUAAUACUAAUUGUUAGGCUCAGCUGGAUUAGUCGCUGCCCUACACUACUAGCACUUACAAAGACGAAAGCAAGAUCAUUUUACCUUUUUGUUAAUCUAUUCUAAAAUUUCUUUUUUAGGAUGGGGAAACAUAUAUAUUGUAUUGAUAAUUUUUUCUUGCAAAAUAGUUGCAUUGACUUAGUUUUAGUUGAUGGGGGCAUCGUUGCCUUGUCUUUGUUUCUCUGCUUGGCAGCCCUUCCUCAUCUCUCAACACCAUGCAUGCAACACAUAUCCUUACGACACCUCAGGCAAAUGACGAUGCCGUGAGCAAAGGUUAAUCACGAUCCAUAGGGAUAUGACCAUUCUCGGGGCUUUUCUAAAGAAGAAGCACGACCUUCUUCUGGCAGAGGGGAACUUUUGAACCAAAUCCGUGACUUUAUACAAAAGCAUGAAUGAAAGGUCUUGUUCGGUUAAUUCCCUUCCCAAGGGGAUUGAGGGAGAUUUUAACUUGUAGGAUUUAAUUCCUCCCAACCCUCUCCAAUCCCCUUCAAACAGAAUAAAGCCCACGGAGAAGAGGACAGGGGCUUAUUUUUCUCACACAGGCAAUUAAUAGUGAUGGGUCCAUAGAUCCGGGGUCCCCAACGGGACUGUUUCCAGUAAGAUUGAGCCCAACAAAGACCGCGGUGAUAGCAAAUACUUGGGCCGGCUUGACUACGUACAGGUUGACCAAAGCCGCGACCCAGCCACCAACCAGCUUCCCCCGACUGGGAGAACUGAUUGACGAACCAACUAGACGGAGUCCACCAGGGGUGGGACCAUAGUCCGACCCCGACCAGUGUCUCCCACUAGCUCUCCUCGGAUUGGCACUCCCCGACCCGUUUUCCCGACCAGGCUCCCGCCAUACCACUUGCGACAACCCCCCGACCAUGGAUGGCCGCCAGGAGUGGGCCCCAGGAGCAAGUGGGAUGGAUAACAAGGCAACUCCUGGGUCAGCCGGCUGUAUGCGGAGCCACGCCGCACCACGUCCUGCACACGUCUGCUCAGUGGCACCAUAAACCUACCCGCUACGGCGUGACGGCUCGACAUUAUGGCAUAGUGGCCUGACACCAUGGCGUGAUGGCCCGACGUAGCAGCAUGAUGACAUGAUGAGGAGAAUAGGGACUGAGGAUGGAGGUCAUACCAUAUCUGCUAGCAAGGGAUUCGACAAGACUAGCCAGUGCCCGUACACCCACUCUCUUUCUUCACCCGACUUGUAAGGGCCGCCCCCUUGUGCUAUAAAAGGGCGCGGCCCCUCCCCCUCUAGACAAGAGCAUACAUACACAUGCACACAUACGGAAGAGAGGCACAACAAACAAACGAAGCACACUACAAUAGAAGACCAAUGCACACGCACAUACUUUCACUUGUAGCGCACUCCACCUCCAUCGCUUAGCUCAUGUCUGAGCUCCGCCUACACCAGGGCUCAGACACCCCUCUUCUUCCUCCUCUUGUUUGUACCCCCACUGCAAACUUUGAGCACUUGAGCUUAGGAAUAAAGUCGAUGACUGACCCCCUAAUUGGACGUAGGGAACAUUGCCCGAACCAGUAUAGAUCAUGUGUCAUUGAGUGAUAGACCAUAUCCGAUCAACGCAACGGCAAAACUACGUAUAAUUAUUUGUCGGCCAGAUUUCGCACUGACAGUUGGUGCCAUCCAUGGGGAAGACGCCGUUGCAUUCUCAUUUUCAGGUCAUCGGAUGGCCCAUCUCGUUGCUGUAGCUGGCAUGGUGAUCAUCAGCGAUACAAUUUGUUUUGGCUCGCUGGAGUUCCCUGCUCCCGCUCUUGGUGGGACGUGGCUUCCGUCGAUCUUCGAACCACUCCAGACCUUCCACUUCAGAAACCUGGACUUCAUCGCUGACUGGCUCAGCGUACUUCAUCUCUGUGAGGAGGCAAACCCCCUGGCAUCCCCUGGAAAGGUGGCCCGCAUCAUUGCCGGCGAGCCACUCGACAACCUCAACGUGGAAACCCUUGCGCUCCGCAUCGAGUCCGUGCUGGGCACUAGCCCCACGGCCAACGACGUGGAUACCAUGGUGUAUUCACUCGUCAACACUUUCAGUCAGCUUUCUAGGGGACCUCCGUUGUCCUUGCCAGGCCCGCCGUGAGGAUUCUUUCCUUUCGGCCUAUCGUCCCCUGUGAACGCGUACGCGUGGGACCUCUAGAGGGUCAUGACGCCGUCUGUCCCCCCGUGUGAGUACAUGGGGAUGAUGGACUAUGCCCCCGUAUCAUUUCUUGAGCUCCUUUAUGAUGAGUUGCUUGAGAGCGACAGCUCCACCGAUGGUGACGUGAUGGCGCUCGAUCAUCCUCCGUCUUGUGAGCGCGCCAUGGCGGACGCCACGGAAUCGGUCCCUGAGGUGGCGGAGUCCGCCGAGACUCGUACCCCGUCGGAUCACCGUGCAGAAGCGCAGGUGUGGGCUUAGGGGCAUAGUGAUGCGCUGCGGUAACACUCGCCAUCGGUGCAGCCACCGCUGCCGCCAGCGCGCCCGUCAGACCACUCUGCGCCUCAUGCGCGCAACCGAGGAAGUGGAGCCCGAGGCCGCGCCCGUCAGGUCCAGCGCAACAUCAUGGCUGAAGGGGAUGAUCCCCGCAGUUCGCUCAGGCUGGACAGAACAUCGCCGCUGCUGCGUUGCUUCUACGUAGCCUCCCUGAGUCAGCUGACCCUAAGGAGCAGGCCAUCCACCGGAACCUCCAGGCGCUGGGGGAAACCACCACCGUACAGCCGGCGUAGAGCUCCACCUCGCACCAACAACAUGCGGUCUCUUGCCCUACAGGGGUAGUAGGGGCGCAGCAGUCGAAUCGUUCGGUUUACUCUCCCCCAUAGCCAUGUCGCACCAUGCAUAGUGCUGCGGUAGCACCUCAGCCUCCCCCAACGCUAGCACCGGCAUCACAGCGCCAGCCUAUGCGUGAACGGGUUCGGCAAAACUGCGAUGUGCGUAGUGUCAUUCACGCACGACGCCUGGCGCGACACGAAGCUGACGUCGACCACAUGGCGGCAAAGGCGACCGAUGCGGCACACAACCGCUCCAACGAGGAGUGUGAGGACGUGCACCCUAGGCGUGCCCGCCAUCAGAACAACCGAGACAGUGCCCAAAGCCCUAGCCUGAAUGGACUGGGGCUGCAGACCUUCGGACGGAACAUUUGGAAGGCGCCUUUCCCGUAGUGUUUUCGGCCACCCACCAACAUCGUCAACUACACCGAGAAGACGAACCCCAGCGUGUGGGUUGAAGACUACCAGCUUGCCUGUCGAGCCGGUGGUGCUGAUGAUGACCUCUUCAUCAUCCAGUACCUCCCCAUCUGCCUGGGGGAGUUUGUCCGAGCCUACUCAAAUUCCUUCCGCCCAAUAGCAUCCGCGACUGGGCAGGCCUCGAAAAGGUCUUUGUAGGGAACUUCCAGGGGACCAACGUGCAUCCUGGGAACACCUGGGAUCUCAAAAGCUGCAAGUAGGAGCCUAACGAGUCCCUGCGAGACUAUAUUCGCAGGUUCUCUAGGCAAUGCGACUCCCUUCAUAACAUCGUCGACAUGGAAGUCAUCAGCGCUUUCCUUAGAGGGACAACCUACAAGUCCUUGGUUCACAAGCUUAGCUGCGUCAAGCCCCGGACGACCCGCGACUUGCUGGAUAUUGCCACUAACCAUGCCUUCGGUGAGGAGGUGGUCGACGCGGUCUUUAGUGAUGGCCAAGAGAAGGGCAAAGCCAAGUGUGAGGACCAGGACGCGGGCCCUUCCUCCCGACAGGGGAAGAAGAACAAGAAGGAGCGGCAUCGAGUGGCUCACCCAGCUAUAGUUGCAGUGACCGACCGGCCAGAAAAGCCACUUCAGGAGGGCCGCAAUGACCACUUCGAGAAGUUGAUGAAAAGUCCCUACACCAACCAUCCUUUCCCCAUCAAGCACCUCUACAAGGCAUCUUUGCAUGGAAGCUAGCUGACAUGCUCGGAAUCCCGAGGGAGGUCGCCGAGCACGCAUUACGCAUCACCCCGGGCUUGAAGCCCGUCAAGCAGCAUACGCUGUUUCGAUGAUGACAGGCGUAGGUCCAUAGGCAAGGAGAUCGCCAAGCUCUUGGAGGCCAGUUUUAUCAAGGAGGUGUACCACUUUGACUGACUCGCCAACCCAGUUCUUGUAAAAAAGAAGAAUGAGAAAUGGAGAAUGUGCAUUGACUAUGCUAGCCUAAACAAGGCGUGCCCUAAGGACCACUUUCUUUUGCCGCGCAUAGAUCCGAUAGUCGACUCCACUUCGGGAUGUGAGAUCCUCUAUUUUUCUGGAUGCCUACUCUGGCUAUCACUAGAUCGCGAUGAAGGAGUCCGACCAGCUUGCGACCUCCUUCAACACCCCGUAUGGUUCAUAUUGCUACGUGACCAUGCUGUUCCGUCUAAGGAACGUUGGUGCCACCUACCAGCAGUGUAUGUAGUGGUGCUUCACCGACCAAAUCGACCCACCUGACCGGCCUAAUGGGACGGAACGGCCGAAGGGUACCAUCACCGUCUACGUGGACGACAUAGUAGUAAAAUCGGCUCGGUCAGGUGACCUGAUCGCGGACUUGACCGCCACUUUCGUGAACCUCUGAAGGUUCAGCGUCAAAUUGAACGCGAGAAAUGUGUGUUCAGGGUCCCGAAGGGAAAGCUGCUCGGAUACAUCAUCUCCGAGCGCAGCAUUGAAGGCAACCCUGAAAAAAUCUCAGCCAUUUCCAACAUGGGUCCAAUAGGCAAUGUCAAGGGUGUACAAAGGCGCACCGGGUGCUUGGCCGCCCUGAGCUGUUUUAUCUCCCGGCUCGGUGUGAAGGGAGUGCCACUCUACAAGCUCCUGAAGAAGUAGGACACAUUCAUCUAGACGGAAGAGGCACAAAAGGCCCUGGAGUGCCUCAAAACGUUGUUGACUUCAGCCCCGGUCCUCGCCGCGCCCGAGCGAGGGGAACCCCUCCUACUCUACCUCACGGCAAGGGACCACGUGGUCAGUGAUGUCCUCGUUGUAGAGAGGGAGGAUCCUGGGCACAUGCUGAAAGUCCAGCGACUAGUGUACUUCGUCAGCGAGGUACUCACCGAUGCCAAAGCGCGCAACCCUUGGUACAAAAGCUUCUGUACGUCAUGCUGAUGGCCAAUUGAAAGCUCUUGCACUAUUUCACCGAGCAUGAGGUCAUCGUUGUCACCUCAUUUCUGCUUGGUGAAAUCGUUCGAAAUCGCGAUGCCGUGGGACAAAUCUCCAAAUGGGCUCUCGAGCUCAUGGGGCACAACAUCAAAUAUGCCCCCCGAACCGUGAUUAAGUCUCAGGUCCUAGCCGACUUCAUCGCCAAGUGGACGGAAGUCCAUCCUUGACCCCUAACGUUACCCAUGAGUACUGGACGAUGUACUUUGACGGGUCGGUCAUGGGAACCGGCGUGGGGGCUGGGGUGGUCCUGAUCUCCCCAGAAGGAAACAAACUCUGCUACGUGACUCGUCUCCACUUCAACGCCUCGAAUAACGCUGCAAAAUACGAAGCCCUCAUCAAUGGGCUACGUAUCGCCGUCGAGCUCGGUGUGACCUGACUUUACAUCCGUGAUGACUCCGAACUUGUGGUCAACCAGGUCAUGAAAGAGUCCUCCUGUAAAAGCCCACUCAUGGCAUCAUACUGCCAAGAAGUGCGUAAGCUCAAGGACAAAUUUCGAGGGAUCGAGCUACACCAUGUCCCACGAAAGGACAACGACAUCGCUGACACUCUAGCGAAAAUGGAUGCCAGACAGGAACCGGUUUUGGAUGAGGUCUUCACGAACGACCUCCAUGAACCAUCAACCCGUGUACGGGAGAGUCCGCCCCAAGCAUAGACUGGCCCAGGCCAAUUGCUCGGGGGCUCAGGUGCCACGUCACAGCCCAGUCGUGACCAAGCACUCAGGGGCUCCGACCUCGACACGGUAGUAAUGGUGCUCAUCUGACCGAUUGGAGAGCAUCGCUACAUGCCUACAUCCUCGAUGCAGUCCUUCCGCUAGAGAAGACUGAAGCGCAGGGGGUCACCCGACGCGCCAAAACAUUCGUCACCAUCGGCGAUGAACUCUAUAAGUGAUGCCCGUCGGGAGUACUCAUGAAGUGCAUCCCGACUGACCAAGGGAAGCAGCUUCUUCAUGAAGUCCACGCUGGAAUCUGCGGGCACCAUGUUGCCCCGCGCUUGCUGGUCGGGAAAGCCUUUCAUCAAGGUUUCUACUAGCCCACGGUGCUCCGCGACACAGAGGAGGUGGCCUGCAGAUGCGAGGGGUGCCAAUUCUACAUUCAACAGACCCACCUGCUGGCGUAGGAACUCCAGACCAUCCCCAUCACUUGGCUAUUUGCGGUCUGGGGACUCGACAUGGUCGGUCCCCUCAAAAAGGCCCCGAGCGGUCACACCGACCUACCCGUGCUGGUGGAUAAGUUCACGAAGUGGAUCAAGGUGAAGCCCAUCAUGAACAUUUGCUCGCAAGAGGCUGUCGAGUUCUUCCUUGACAUCGUCUACCGAUUUGGCGUCCCUAACUGUAUCAUCAUGGACAACGGAACAAACUUCACCGACAAGAAGUUUUUGGAUUUUUGUGAUCGGUACGGCAUUAGGGUCGACUGGGCUUCGGUCGGACACCCACGAACAAAUGGCCAGGUUGAGCAAGCCAACGGCAUGGUCCUCAUGGGACUCAAGCCAUGUAUUUUUGACUGGCUCAAGAAGUGCGCUGGGCAAUGGGUUGUAGAGCUUCAAGUGGUUCUCUGGAGCCUGAGAACGACCCCCCAACCGAUCAACAGGGUUCACCCCCUUCUUCCUAACAUACCGCUCGGAAGCAGUGUUGCCAUCCGACCUCAACUACGGCGCCCCGAGGGGAAGAGCAUUUGACCCUGACCGAGCCAUGGAGGCCCAACAGGACGCGAUAGACCUGCUCGAGGAGGCACGCCAGAUGACGCUCAUCUGCUCCGCCCGUUAUCAGCAAACCCUUUGCAGGUACCACGGAAGAAAGAUUCGGGGAAGAACCCUCAAGGUCGGUGACCUAGUGCUUCGAAGGACCCAGACGACCAAGGACGAGCACAAGCUUUCUCCACCAUGGGAAGGACCGUACGCAGUUGCCGAGGUGAUCCAACUAGGCACCUACCGAUUGAAGGACCAAGACAGCAACAUCCUCAUGAACACUUGGAACAUCGAGCAGCUAUGUUGUUUCUUUCCCUAACUCGCUUCCUUUCCAAUCGUUUCUUUCAUGCACUUGCUCCAAAAGCACCUCAUGCCAAGCACACUUGGACCAGGUUGCUUGGGGGUUCCACGGGAUUGCACUACCCCCUCUUUACUUUUUGCAUCAUCAUGCAUCCCGCCCGAACGAAAGGGUUUCUUUCCCUUCGGACUACCCCGAGUAGGUCACGGACCGAUCGGACUCCGCCACAACUAUGGUUACGAGCAACUGAGUCUAGCGGACCACGCCCGAGCUCUUAAGGUUGCAGCCUACGUCAACGGGUAGGUCCGAGAAGAAAGGGAUGAACCGGGUGUCAGACAGUAAGACCAGUUAAGAAAAAUAUAUACUUGUGGAAACGUAGCAUGCAGGGCAUGCAUCCUCAUCACGAACGACGGAUACGGACUCCACUUGGUAGCACCCGCCAGCGGAACCCUCAACUGGUCGCUUGAAUUUCUAGGAUAAGUAAUGAUAGCCUAGCCCCUAUGAUUACUAAAUCUGCAGAAGGGACGACGCCCGAAACUCCCCGACUAAGGUAACAUUUCCAAUCCCCCCAUUUACUCUUCCUUUUUUCGCGAGCAAACAUCUCAUUCAUUCAUCUGCAUCAUGCCAUACAUGCAUGCAUUCAUUCAUACACCAUACAUUCAUUUCAUUUGCAUUCAUUACAUCUCAAUUGCUUUGCGUCGUGUCACAAAGCAAUAGUGGCUUGUCCAGAAUGAGCUGCGACCGACUGAGGUUAGAAGGAUGACCUGCGGAGGGCUCAAGGCCGCCUCGUGUCAAAUGCAGAUGGAGCCCCAGCGGCCUCCGCCCGACCUGCUCAGUAGCAGCUAGGGACCAUCUCGACCUUCUGGUUCAAUCCCAACCUCGAGCCGUGCCCACAGAAUCUCCAUCGAGGGGAGGCCAGCGGGCCACCUGAGUUGGUCUCUGGAAUGACUCGAGCAUCUACUAGGAGGCGGGUUGAGGAGCAAUGGAAUGCCCCAUGCGGGCUAUGCAUACCCUGUUACGAACGACGAACCCGGAUUCCACUCGAACAGGCCCGUUAGCGAGCUCACCGAGCGCUUCACUCGAGCCAUCAAGGCAAGCGGCAUUAGCUCAACCCCUCCGGUCGUGGAGACCAAGAACGGGGUGAUGCAUGAAACCCGACCAAUCCUGACCGAGUCUAACUGGGCUCAGGGGCUCGAGCUGAUUGAUCCCAACUCAGGGACACAACUAACAACACGAGUCGUAUUCGGGACAAAUGCGGGCAAAAGCUUCCGACCAAAACCUCACCCUCCUGACGGACGAGGAUGGUUCGAACCACAGCCUUUGAAAAAGAACGACCAAGUGCUUAGCCUCUGACCAACUCUCCAGUUGGCCGCAGGCUCGGGGGCUAGACCCACUAGGUCUGCUCACAUGAACCCAGUAGAACACAGACUAAGGGUGAGUCCCUGGAAACUAGAUACCCUAGCAAAACUCGGCACGCUCCUGCGGCCCAUGCCAGCUAUCUCCUCGAAAGUUGGGCAUUGAAACCGAUCUGAUGCGCCCCCUGCGACCUCUACCAAACGUCGUAUCGAGAACUGGGUGCCGAUACUUGCUCAAGGACUAGAAUGGAAGGGAAUGGAAGGAAAAAAAUGCAUCUCAAAUCUAGGAACCACCCCAAUGGCGCGAUGGACACACAAAUCACAAAAAAUCUUUUUCAUUAACAUGAAAAUACAAGCCGGAGGCAUUUACAAUAUCACACAAAGCGUGCGAACUCAAGGACCCGAAGGCCUUACAAUAUCAUGCAAAGCGUGUAGGCACAACCUAGGGAUUACCCUACAACCCGGGACCAAAACAAAGAAAACAAGUGCGGGCUGCACAAAAUGGCCGCGCCCAAAACCUCGCUCGUCGACCCAUCCUCGCCUGAUUUUCUUCAAUUUCCACCCCCUGAACAAAAGGCACCAAGUAGAGAGGAAGAUGAGGAAAUUGAGAGAGCGCAAGGUGCUACCUCCAAAGUUCCUCGGGUCCUCCUCCUCCAACCAGGACAACCAAGAUAACAAGGGAGGAGAGACGCAGAGGGAGUACGAGUACCGCGCCUUGGUAUCGUGGGCAAACUGGCUCUCACUAACUCCUAGUGAACCAGCACCGACGCCUUCAUCUUGAUGAGCACCUCCUCUACCGCACCACCACGUGUAGCAAACGAGGACGGCGAGAUGAGGGUCGAGCACUCGGAAGGUCAAAUCAAUGACCUCCGGCGAUCGGUGACCCAGGGUACAAUCGCGGCACGGAGGAUGAGGAAGCCCUGUCUUCCCAACCUCUUGAGGUGGCUCCCUUGUCCUCUCAUCCAACCCCUUAUUACACACUGGAUCCAUAUUAUGAGAGUUCUUCCCACAAUAUGACAUCCGAGCGCACAGGGAGAAGCUAAGUGAAAGACGAGGAAUGCCUAUUACGAGAAUUCUUUUGGCAAUCAUGUGGAGCAGCCAAAGCCGCCUAGGGCAAAGAGCAGGAGUCUCAAACCUACCGAAUCUACGGUCUGAGCCAUGGCAUCUACAACUCAAGCCAUGGGGACUCCGAACGUGGCAACCCCCCUAUUUAUAGCCGGGCAGAUGGCCACAAUCUGGGAGCGGUUUCCAUCCGCACCCAUGGACGUGCGGUAAAAGCGCCUGACACCAAGGUGACCCUUCGGCACCCCGCAUUAAAGGCGUCGUGCCCUGAUAUGAUGGUUUUCAUACCUCAUGCCGAAAAUCGAGGGAAAGUACCGGGCCAUGAGGCGACGGUAUAGCUUCACGCGGGCUACGUCCGUAUCGUCUUGGAUAAGGGGCUGAUCCUCUCAAUGGGGACCAGUCGGUCCUCAUAUGAGACAAAAAACAAGCGACGCCCCUGAGCAUAUCUCCCCUCAGCAUAACUUCCCAACGCUCAGCCCCUUCGCGACUUCGACUAAGUCCCAAAGGGGCUCGAGGGCUCUUGACGGGUCCAUAGACCUGGGGUCCCCAACAAGACUAUUUCUCGUAAGAUUUAGCCCAACAAAGGGUGCAGCGAUAGCAAAUACUUGGGCUGGCUUGACUACGUAUAGGUAGGCCAAAGCCGCGGCCCAGCCACCAACCAGCUUUCCCCGACCAGGAGGACUGAUCGAUGAACCAACCAAACGGAGUGCACCAGGGGUGGGACCAUAGUCUGACCCCGACCAGUGUCUUCCGACCAGCUCUGCUCAGAUGGGCACUCCCGGCCCGUUUUCCUGACCAGGCUCCCGCCGUACCACUUGCGACGACCCCCCGACCAAGGAUGGCCACCGGGAGUGGGCUUGGGGAGCAGGUGGGACAGAUAACAAGGCAUCUCCCAGGUCAGCCGGCUGUACGUGGAGCCACGCUGCACCACGCCCUGCGCACAUCUGCACAGUAGCAUCAUAAACCUACCCGCUACGACAUGACGGCUCGACGUUACGGCAUAGUGGCCUGACACCAUGGCGUGAUGGCCUGAUGUAGUAAAAUGAUGACUUGAUGAGGAGAAUAGGGUCCAAGAAGGGAGGCCAUUGCAUAUCCGCCGGCAAGGGGUUCGAUAAGGCUAGGCAGUGCCCGUACACCCACUCUCUCUUUCUUCUCCCGAGCUGUAAGGGCCACCCCCUUGUGCUAUAAAAUGGCGCGGCCCCUCCCCCUCUGGACACGAGCAUACGUACACAUGCACACAUACGAAAGAGAGGCACAACAAACGAAUGAAGCACACAACAACAGAACACCGACGCACAUGCACAUACUUUCACUUUUAGCGCACUCCACCUCCAUCGCUUAGCUCACGUCUGGGCUCCACCUACACCAGGGCUCAGACACCCCUCUUCCUCCUCCUCUCCUUUGUCCCCCACUGCAAACUUUGAGCACCUGGGCUCAGGAAUAAAGUCGAUGAUCGAUCCCCUAAGUGGACGUAGGGCACAUUGCCCAAACCAGUAUAGAUCCUGUGUCAUUGAGUGCUAGGCCACAUCUGAUCAAUGCAACGACAAAACAACAUAUAAUUAUUUGUCGGCCAUAUUUCGCAUCGACAAAUAGAGUCAUUGCCUUGCUGAGUUGUCCUCCCUAAUCUUGGGUCUUCAUCUCUUGAAGAUCCUUACUAGUCCUAUAUCUAGUGUGACUGAGCUUUGUGCCAAUAAAGGCACCGGCCAUAGGAUCAGGAUGGUUGAACUAGCAAGGUGAGUGUGAUGCCUCCCAAGGAGAAAAAGGAAAGAGUCCUUGAGCUACUGAAAAGACAAAGAGGAAAAAGAGAGAGAGAAAAAGUAAAGGAGCUCCAUGGCCUCAAAAGUUUCAAAAUAGAGAUCCAUCUAAAUAAGGAGUAAAGUAAAUACCAUUUUCCUGAAUGCAAGUUUAGUGCGUUCAGCUCAUUAGUACUUCUGUUCGAUUCUAUUCCUUGACACGAGUCAAUUCUCUCUGAAACGAACCGGAUUUUCAUUUUCGGAAAAUCCAACUCCCUGUACCCUUGAUCCAUCUAAAUAAGGAGUACAGUAAAUACCAAUUUCCUGAACACAAGUUUAGUGUGUUCAGCUCAUUAGUACUUAUGUUUGAUUCUAUUCCUUGACAUGAGUCAAUUCUCUCUAAAACGUACCGGAUUUUCAUUUCUGAAAAUCCGACUCCAUGUACCCUUGUGAUAGUCCCUGCAUCAAUAGCUAUCACGUAUAGAACUCAUUUCAGCCCAAUAUCAUUUCCACACAACGAAAUCAGAGUACAAGAUUUAAUAUCUACAAUCGAUUCAACUCGGAAUAUGAAUACCGUACAAGCUCUUUGGGUGUAAAUGACAAGAAAAACUCAUACGCAGCGGUAGCUAGGCCUUACAGUCUUCAUCUUCGAUCUUCACCACAAGCAUCCUUGAGCGAAGCAACGCGACCCUUCCUUCAUAGAUUCUUUGUGAUAAGAUUUUCACUCCAAGUCCAUACCUGCACACUCAUGAAAUGUCCUCAAGGAAUAGGACAGGUCCACGUCACCAUCCGUAUGCAAGCUUUAAGUGGCUAAAUGGUACUAUUCAAAAGUAAUCAAGGAGUAGGCUUGGGUUUCCUAUGCAGCAGCAAGCAUAAAGAAUAAACUUCCAUAUCCAUCAUCCCAAUCCUCUCAACACAUUAGGAACAACUGCCUCAGCAGGCCUCAGCAGGGUCCCUCUCAUCAUCUUCCUAUCUCCAUACUAGGGUCGAUGCGAAAGCUCCCUCCCUUCACAUCUCAACAAUUACAGCUAGAUCUAAAAGAAAAAUGGAGCAACUUCUCCACUCCCCGACUGCAAUUGCAGCUCACCACACUCACAUAUAGCUAAGGGGAAGGGAGAGAUAUCCCAAAACAAUGGAGAGUCAUGAUGUCACAGGGUUGUCCAUGACUGAAGACGCGGCUAUACGUAUAGUUUUAACUCUACAGAGUGUGUACACCUGGACCCAUCUCGAAGUGAGACAACAGGUGAUCAGCCGACUGAACAUCACUCUACCGAGCGAAGAACCUGGGAGUUAUUAUACCAUCCUGCAUCCGGGCUCGGAUGCGAUCCCCUGUAGUAGACCACCCCAGAACUGUGAAGCACUCCCACCGGGGCCAAUCGGGGGCAAAAGCAAAUUAGGGGGCUAAAGGUCAACACUACUCCCCCUGCACUGAUACUCUAUCCUACGUAGGUAUGGUACCUCACUUGCAAGUAUCGACCUUUGCCUAAACCCAUAAUUCGGUGAGUGGAGUGCACGUUUAACAUAUUCUCGUGAAGCAUAGUGACCCACUUUGUUCUAGACCGGGGCAAGCUCCUAACUUGCAAAAGCGACUCCAGACCAUGGUUCACAACGGUACCCAUAACAGGUGUCACCCCCAACUCUUAUGCUCCUCGACAAGUACCAAACUGGGAAUGCUCGCAACAAGUACCAAACAGGGAACGUCCGCAAAUGGACCUUAAGCCCCCAAUCAUAAGAUUGGGUUGUCAAAACAUCACCCCCAUCAAAUAUCCUAAAAACACCUUCUCCUGCCGGUUUUAACCCCACUCACACCAAGAAUCAUAAUCACAAUAUCCCAUACACAUGCAAGCAUCGCACGUAGCAUAUAAAAGUAGUAUGGUAGUAGGUCGAACAAGGAUUCAAGGCAUAAAGUAGGCCAUGCAUGGUUUAUCAUCAUCAUGUGAAGAAAUAAAGUGCUAGCAUACUAGUUAGCAAUACCUAACGGGUAUUCAAAUCAAAUGGGCAUGAACCCUAAGCUGAAUUCUUCCUUGUAGUGGUCCUUGAAUGACUCCGGCUCCGACUUUGGCUCUGAAUCUUCGACAAGUCCUAAUUACAUGAUUUUCCUAAUUACCAAGGGUCUAUUUGCAAAUAAAAUCAAAAAUAGAUCCAUAGAAGACCCAAACAAGAUCAAGGACUAGUCUAUCAUGUUCUUCAUGAUUUUAGAAAAUUAUGAAACUAGUUUCAUAAUUUUUGGAGUUAAGAUGAAUUAGUUAUGAAUUUAUGAAGUUUAAAUCAUUUUUUGGAUUUUUAAAUAAUUCGUGAAAAUAAGAAAAAUGACAGAAGCAACAUGUGGCAGCACUAGAACAUGCCACGUGUCUUGCUGACGUCAUCAGUGACCCUGGAUGACGUCAGCGUAGACUGGGUCAACGGUCAAAGUCAAUGGUCAAUGGUUGAUCGGUCAACGGGUCCAUGGGUCAAUGGGCCCCACAUGCUGACGUGGCACCAUGGUAGCUAUUGGCUAGCUAUAGGUUGUCUUUCCCUAGUUGUUGUCUAUCUGUAGCGCUUAGGUGGCGCACAUGCGUUAGCCACGCAGCUGCUGAGUCAGCAUCCACGUGUGGUCUUUAAGCAGCUUAAGGGGCCUAUAGGCUGGCGCUAAGGCUAAGGUGGUACUUGAGUGUCACCCACGUGGCUGCCACAUACACUGGCACACUGGGGCUAUAAGAGGCUAUAGGUCGACUAUAGGAUGAUGGUUAGGCUUGCAUGGCGAUCCACGCGGCGAUGACGUGGGCGCCACUUGGGCUCGGCUCGGGUGGGGAUCCUCUAUGGCCCGUGUGGCCAUGCCUUCCUAUGGCCCUCCGUGGUGCGCGGUCCAUGGUGCGGCUCUAACGGUCAAUCCACCAUGAACCACAGACUAUGGCUCACAUGGACCGUGUCCACGGUCAGGUGUGCCAGCGGCAACGCGCGUUUUCCUCCUCCCCUCCGCCGCGGCCACUGCUGGGGCUCACCGAAGAUAGCUCUCUUGGCAGCCGUACGGCAAGUGGCAGCUGAAAAAUGGCCGCCUGGCCCUAACUUUCGCCAACAAAAUGGAUAGUAGUGUUAUUGGGUGGUGGUAGGUAGCGGAGCUCUAGGUUCUUGGGUGGCAGCACUUGGGUGGCUCUAGGUUCUAGGCACGCUAGCAUCACUCCAUGGCCAUGCAGGAGCUCAGGUCUCCUUCUCAGGAUCUAAUGGCAGCGGGCGGCCACGACACCAUCGGCGGGUAGUGUCGGCACGCCGAGGAGUGGCUGGGCACGUCGACAAGGGUGGUUAGUGUGCGGUUAGGCUAGUUCCGGCAAGACAACGCUCAAUGGGGUGCAAAGGUCGCGCCUUUAGGGCUUCCUAAGGGCUGCGGCGGUUGCCAUGGUGGCGCGCCAGAGCGGUGGUCUACGGUGAGAGCAUGGCGUGCGCGCGGCAGUGGCGAGAUGUGCGAUGGCACCUACACAACAUGUGGCAUGAAGGUCGAGUAGAAGCAGCGUGCGACAGUGAGGCUGGCGAGGCGUGCAGGUCCGCGGUUGACCACGACCGCGGCCUUGAUCACGGCAGCGAUGCGAUAGCGAAAAAGGACAUGGGAGAGCUCACCUUGGAGGCUCAGGGGCGCGAUGCUUGGCACGGUGGCGAGGUGAGGCCAGGCGGGGCCGAGGUCGUGCAGGGUGCGCAGUGAUGAUGGUGUAGUCGUUUGGGGUGCCAGCUUGUCAGUUGCGGUAUCACGGACUGCUCCAGGUGGCGGCGGCUACCCUCCUCUAUUGUGGUUCCCCCUUCCUCCUUUCUCCCUCUUCUCUAGUGGUGGCGGUGGAUGGGGAGAACCCCUAGGGCAGCAGUUGGCCAGAAUAGUACACGGGCGGAGGUUUAAUAGCGGCGUGCCUAGGGUUUGGGUGCCGGGACUAGGACGAGCGGCUGGCGAUCUUUGAGAUGUGCCCGCGGGGUGGCGUGGCGAGCAUUGGACAGCUCCUAGGGUACGCGUUGGUGCGCGCGGGGCCACGAGGGUGCAGCGCAGGGCUUCUUGAAGGCUCCCAUGGCCUCCUUGUUGUGGAGCGGGAGCGGCGCAUUACGGGGUGGUGUGGCGCAGGGCGUCAACAGAGGAGGUGGGAGGUUGACAAAAAAGCUGACAGGUGGGACCUACCUGUCGGCGAGCGCGAGAGACGUGUGGGCACGGUGCUGUUGCAGGUGGGCGAGCAGGCCAAUGGGCCAGUUGCUGGGUCGCGGAGGUGGGAACGGCUUUGGCCCAGGCGGAGGGUUAGCAGGCUGGCAAAGUGAAGGAGACCGGCAAGGUUUCAUGGGCCAUGGUUGAUUUCGGCCUAGGUGAGUUUAGGGAUUUGGUUUUUUAUUUUUCUAAUCUGAAUUUUGAAUUUAGAAUUCAUAUUUGAAUUCACCCAAAUAUGAUCCAAUUAAAUCCAAAUAAAAAUCCAACUCAUUCAUGCAAGGGUCAUGACUAAACAUUUUAGUGCACCAUUUUUAUUUACUAGAUAUUUUGGGAGAGAAAGAAAUUUUUAGCCCUAAUUUGUGAACUAUUUUCAUGGCUCACACAAUUCAAACAAAUUUUUUUGAAAUUUCACUUUUUAUUAAAAUUAACAUUUUGCAAAAUUGCGGGAUGUUACAGUCUCUCCCCACCCCCCGCCACCCCCCCCCCCACACAAGAAUUCCAUCCCCAAGAUUAAAGCCCUUCUUCGCACUCAAGAGGUGCGAUUAUUCCUCCUAACAUCUGUCUCCCGAUUCGUAACUGUUUCCGAGACAUGGUGGUUGCGAGAUGCUGUCGUGAACUUAUCCCAACUCCUCCAAACCUGACAUUCAUUCCAAUCGAGAUUGUAGUUAAAGGUUACUCUCGAAGAAUUGGUUAGAAAAUUAAUUAAUUAAAUUAUAAAUAGAAAUAUAAGUUGAAGCACACAAGCAAUUUCACACAAACAAUAAGAAGCAUAAGAACCAGAAUAUCCAUGAAACGCCAUGUCACUCAUGCAUAGGCACCAUACAAAACAAGUGUAUGUUGAGGUCUGCAACAGAAACCUUCAAGAUGACACGAGGGUAGUCAUACUACUACAUCGGACAUCAUGAGAUGGUAGUCUCUAACACUAUGACAUUAUGGUGAGCCAAACUCAAUCCUAGUUCUAGAUCAGAAGCGGUUCUCUCAAUCAGAGCAUGGGAAGUCAUCGUCAUCCACGUCCCUGUCCCCAGGGUGGUACUCGGGGGUAGGGCCUCUCCACGGUCCUAACUCGUUGUUUGAGUACACCGGCAGCUCCAGCGAGUCUCCUCCGUAUGUCUGAGAGAGUGUAGUCAGGGCUCGAGUCAUCUCCUCCGUAGCAACUCUAGUUGGUGGGUGCAGUGCCUAGGUGUACAACCUGGUAGGCAGUAGUGCGAAGCUCUCCACAUGGAGCUCCCUCCUGUACCUGCGCGAUACCCACGCUCUCAACUCCUCCAACUCCAUCUCCCUCCUGCGGUAAGAACACUCCCACGUGAGCUGAAGUCUCUCUCACGGGUAGUAGUGGGAACCGAGGUGGAGUAGGUUGUGGUAGUUCCUGUGUAGGCGGUGGUGUAGCUGCUUGAUGUUCUUGCUCUUGUCCACCAGUGCUGCGUCUAAGGUAGCAAUCAACUCCUCCCUCUUCGUGAGCAUCAUGUCCGCUCGUCAAUCAUCUCAUCUUAGGUCCUCAGUGCCUCCUCCAUACGAACAAGUCUUGCCUCCAGAGUAGCAACCCUCCGUGAGUCCUCGUCAUCGUGAGGGUCUAGGGUGGCGUCGAGCUUGUGCUGCAAGCGGAAGUUUGUCCUGGUCAGUGUAGUCAAGUUGCGCUUGAGCCCCACUAUCUAUCCCUCCAGCAUGGCCUAAGUCUCAAUGCUGUCGUCCUAACUCUUGUGGUGAAGGUCCAUCUCCCUGUUGUACCGGAACAAUGCCAGGUCCUGAGCGUGGAUGCAGUGAGAGGGGAAUCUGAACUUCUAAUCUGGCUCUAUGUACACGUCCUUGUAGUACUCGCGAGCUGCUCUCUCGAAGUCUCUUGGCCUGCGGUACAAUCUGGGCAGGCAACGGUAUGGGGUGUGUGCCAGUCGGUGAUGAAGCUGCGCGUGCACCUCUCGCACGACCCUCCUGGCUGCGGUCCUGUGAGCCUCCGUCAUUGGGAUCUCAAAUGCGAACACCUCAACUCCCUCACACUCUGGCACGCUGGGGUCUACUGGUACUGCCAGCCCCACGUCUGUGGGUAUGGCGUCCUAAGUGCCCCUCAUGCGUCCCUCGUAGAGCACGCCCUGAGUGCUGACUCCAGCCCUCUCCAAACACUCCUUGAGAAGGGUGCAAAAUCCUCCGUAGCCCUCUCUAUUUUCGGCAAACAUGUGCCACUCUUCAGUCGUCAUCUGUUACACGCAGUUAAGGUUUGUUAGUAACUCGUAUAAGUUAGAGAAAAAAAAGGUAGUAGUAGUAAAUCAAAGAAGUUGUAUAACAAUGAAGGAAUAUAUAUAGCAACAGAGCGUAGGGAAUUUCUUAUUGCUAACAACCAUGUCUAGGGCCACGUGCUACGGUCAAGUAUGGCUCUGAUACCAACUGAAACGAUCCGGAUUUUUAUUUUUAAAAAUCCGACUCCCUAUACCUUGUGAUAGUCCCUGGAUCAAUAACUAUCACGUACAUAACUCAUUUCAGCCUAAUAUCAUUUCCAUACAACAAAAUCAGAGUACAUGAUUUUAUAUUUACAUCCGAUUCAACUCGGAAUACGAAUACCGUACAAGCUCCUUGGGCGUCAACAACAAGCAAAACUCAUACGCAGCAGUAGCUAUUCCUUCCGAUCUUCAUCUUCGAUCUUCACCACAAGCAUCCUUGAGCGAAGCAACGCGAACCUUCCUUCAUGGAUUCUUUGUGAUCAGAUUUUCACUCCAAGUCCAUACCUGCACACUCACGAACAGUCCCCAAGGAAUAGGACAGGUUCAUGUCACCAUUCGUAUACAAGCUUUAAGUGGCCUAAUGCUAGUAUUCAAAAGUAAUCAAGAAGUAGGCUCGGGUUUCCUAUGCAGCAGCAAGCAUAAAGAAUAAACUUCCAUAUCCAUCAUCCCAAUCCUCUCAACACAUCAGGAACACCUGCCUCGACAAGAUCCCUCUCAUCAUCUUUUUAUCUCCAUACUAGGGUUGAUGCGAAAGCUUCCUCCCUUCACAUCUCAACAAUUACAGCCAAAUCCAAAAGGAAAAGGGAGCAACUUCUCCUCUUCCUGACUGCAAUUGUGGCUCACCACACUCACAUAUAGCUAAGGGGGAGGUAGAGAUAUCCCAAAACAAUGGAGAGUCGUGAUGUCACAGGGUUGUCCAUGACCGAGGAUGCGACUAUACGUAUAGUUUUAACUUUGCAGAGUGUAUACAUCUGCACCCAUCUCGGAGUGAGACAACAGGUGAUCAGUCGAUUGAACAUCACUCUACAAAGUGAAUAACCUCGGAGUUACGAUACCAUCCUGCAUCCGUGCUUGGAUGUGAUCCCCCAUAGUGGAGCACCCCAGAACUGUGAAGCACUCCCACCGGGACCAAUCGGGGGCAAAAGCAAAUCAGGGGGCUAAAGGUCAACACUACUCCUCCAGCACUGAUACCCUAUCCUACAGUAGGUAUGGUACCUCACUUGCCAGCUUCGACCCACGCCUAAACCCAUAAUUUGGUGAGUGGCAUGCAUGUUUAACAUAUUCCCGUGAAGCAUGGCGACCCACUUGGUUUCAGACCGGGACAAGCUCCUAACUUCCAAAAGCAACUCCACAUCAUGGUUCGCAACGGCACCCAUAACAGGUGUCAUCCCCAAUGCCUAUGCUCCUCAACCAUGUACUCACAACAUGUACCAAACAGGGAACAUCCGAUUACGGACCCUAAGCCCCCAAUCCGAAGAUUGGGUUGUGUAAAGCUCACCCCGUCAAAUAUCCCAAAAACACCUUCUCCUGUCGAUUUUAACCCCACUCAUGCCAAGAAUCCUAAUCACAAUAUCCCAUACACAUGCAAGCAUCGCACAUAGCAUAUGAGAGUAGUAUGGUAGAAGGUUGAACUAAGAUUCAAGGCAUAAAGUAGGCUAUGCAUGGUUUAUCAUCAUCAUGUGAAGAAAUAAAGCACUAGCAUAAUAGUUAGCAAUGCCGAAUGGGUCUUCAAAUUGAAUGGGCAUGAACCUAGAGUUGCUUUCUUCCUUGUAGUGGUCCUCAACCAGCUCCGGCUCCAACUUCGGCUCCGAAUCUUUGACAAGUCCUAAUUACGUGAUUUUCAUAAUUACUGAGGGUCUAUUUGCAAACAAAAUCCAAAAGAGAUCCAUAGAAGACCCAAAAAGAUCAAAGACUAGUCUAUCAUCAUGUUCUUCAUGCUUUUAGAAAAUUAUGAAACUGGUUUUAUAAUUUUUGAAGUUAAUAUGAAUUAGUUAUGAAUUUUUGAAGUUUAAAUCAAUUUCUAGAUUUUCAAAUAAUUUGUGAAAAUAAGAAAAAUCACAAAAGCAACACGUGGCAGCACUAGAGCAUGCCACGUGUCUUGCUGACAUCAUCAGUGGCCCCGGAUGACAUCAGCGUUGUCUUCGUCAAUGAGUCAACGGUCAGCGGUCAGGUGGCACACACGCGUUAGCCCUUGUCUGUCAUCUGUCUGUAGUGCUUAGGUGGCACACACGCGUUAGCCACGCGACUGCUGAGUCAGCAUCGACGUGUGGUCUUUAAGCAGCUUUAGGGGGUCUAUAGGCUGAUGCUAAGGCUGAGGUGGUGCUUGCGUGUCACCCACGCGGCAACCACAUACGCUGCCACGCAGGGGCUAUAAGAGGCUAAAGGUCGACAGUAGGACAGCGGUUAGGCUCACAUGGAGAUCCAGGCGGCAAUGCACGCCUUCGUGUAGCCCCCUGUGGGGCGCGAUCCACGGCGUGGCUCAAACGCCCAGUCCACCAUGAACCAUAGACUUUGGCUCACGUGGACCGCGUCCAUGGCCGGGUGUGCUUGCAGUGGAGCACGUUUCCCCCCUCCCCUCUAUCGUGGUCACUGCCGAGGCUUGCCGGAGAUAGCUCUCCCGACGGCCCUACGGAAAAUGGCCGCCUGUCCCUAACUUUCACCGGCAAAGCGAAUGGGGUUGUUGUUGGGCAGUGGUAGGCAGCGGGGCUCUAGGUUCUUGGGUGGCGGUGCUCGGGUGGCUCCGGCGAGGUCGCAAGGCGCGCGCUUGGCUCCGUUCUAAGGGCCAAAAACAUGCGUGUUGGCACGAGGGCAUCACACCGCGGCCACACGGGCGCUCAGGUCCCCUCCUCAGGCUCUAACGGCAGCGAGAGGCCAUGGCACCACCGGCGGGCAGCGUCAGCACGCCGAGAGGCGGCUGGGCACGGCGGGAAGGGCAGUUAGGGCAUGGUUAGGCUUGGUCUGGCGAGACAACGCUCGCCGGGUCACAAAGGUCAUGCCUUUAGGGCUUCCUAAGGGCUGCGGCGGUCGCCACGGUAGCGCGCCAGAGUGGCGGUCCGUGGCGAGAGCGCGGCGUGCGUGCGACGGUGGAAAGACGUGCGAUGGCACCUACACAACACGCAGCACAAAGACUGGGCAAAAGUAGUGCACGGUGGCAAGGCUGGAGAGGCGCGCGGGUCUGUGGUUGACCACGACCGCAGCCUUGAUCAUGGCGGCGAGACGACGGCGAAAAAGGAGGCAAGAGAGCUCACCUUGGAGGCUUGGGGGCGUGGUGCUUGGCACGGUGGCGAGGUGAGGCUGGGCGGGGCUGAGGCCAUGCAGGGCGUGCAGGGACGGCGGUGUAGUCGUCCGGGGCACCGACUUGUGCGUCAGGAAUGGCUCCGGGUGGCGGUGGCUCCCCUCCUCUACUCCGGUUCCCCCCCCUCUUCCUUCUUUCUCCCUCUUCUCCUGUGGCGGUGGUGGAUGAGUGGCAGCAGUGGAUGGGGAGAACCCCUAGGGCAGCGGUUGGCUGGAACUGGACAUAGGCAUGGCUUUUAUAAUGGCGCGCCUAGGGUUUGGGCGUUGGGACAGGGACGAUUGGCUGACGAUCUUCAAGAUGCGCGCGCAGGGUAGCAUGGUGAGCAUCGGACGGCUCCUAGGGCACGGGUUGGUGCGCGCGGGGUCACGGGGGUGCAGCGCAGGGCUUCCGAAAGGCUCUCGCGGCCUCCUUGUCGCGGAGCGGGAGCAGCGCAGUAUGGGACGACAUGGUGCAGGGUGUUAGCGGAGGAGGCGGGAGGUUGACAAAAAAGCUGACAGGUGGGACCCACCUAUCGGCGAGCGCGAGAGACGGGUAGGCGCGGUGCUGGCGCAGGCGAGCGAGCAGGCCAGUGCGCCGGUUGCUGGGCCGUGGAGGCGGGGAUGGCUUCGGCCCAGGCAGAGGGUUAGGAGGCCGGUGAAGUGAAAGAGGCCAGCGGGGUUUCAUGGGUCGCGGUUCAUUUAGGGAUUUGGUUUUUUGUUUUUCUAAUUCGAAUUUUGAAUUUAGAAUUCAGAUUUGAAUUCUCCCAUUAAAUCCAAAUAGAAAUCCAACUCAUUCAUGAAAGGGUCAUGACUAAAUAUUUUAGUGCACCAUUUUUAUUUACUAGAGAUUUUGGGAGAGAAAGAAAUUUUUAGCCCUAAUUUGUAAAUUAUUUUCAUGGUUCACACAAUUCAAAAAUUUUUUUUUUGAAAUUUCACUUUUUGUUAAAAUUAAUAUUUUGCAAAUUUGCGGGAUGUUACACUCUCCCUCACCCUGAACAUUAUUUUCCAGUUAUUGGAAUGCGAAUUGGUACAAUCUUCAUUGGGACUAAUAUUUUACUUGGCAAUAUGCACAGCAUAUAUAUGUCUUCUUUAUCCCGAUCUUGAACUCUACGUAUGCCAGUAGAAUAUUUUAAAAAAGAAAAAGCCUAUAGAUUGUAGGAUUGUAGAAAGGAUAGCCAAAAGGCUUUACGAGGAAUAAGAUUACCACUCCGAGAGUACCACUAAAGAAUAAGUGGCGCUAUUCUACACUCAAUAAUAAAUAAUGACUAAUUGACUGUGAACUACCGAAUGUAAUGCACUUGAUACUGAACCACAUUCGGUAGAAGGGCAUAGAGGUGGCGGUACGUAGGAUAGUAUUUGUAUAUAUUGAGUUGCAUGCACCAACCAUUAAAUCCAAAAGUUUAAUCUGAUAAAGAAAGAUGAACAAUUCACUUCAAGUACAUGCGACGCCUAGAACGUGCAAUCUGGCUAUUGCCAAACGUUUUGGCCCACUGUAUUUAGAUGGGCUAGGUUAGAAGCCAAACAACUAUAACAUGCAAAAUAAAGUUGGUAUCUAUUCAUUUUAGAAACAAAAUUAGAAAAUAAUAUACACUUGUGCCCGCGGCCUAUAUAUAUCAAGGCACUAUGGGAACGCUGAAGCAUGGUCGAGUAGCACACAAUCAGCCAUGGCGCCUGUUCUGCCACUGCUACUUCUGCUCCUGUCCUCUUCUUCUUCUCCAACAAUCCGUGCAGCAGCAGCAGAUGAGGAGCACGAGUACACACUCGUGGCAUUGAGCUCGCUGCAACCAAAAGCUACCUGCGCCGGACACAGGGGUACGAUCGAUAUAUAUAUAUAUAUAUAUAUAUAUAUAUAUAUAUAUAUAUAUAUAUAUAUUAUCUUUCUCACAGGAAGGCUCCUAAUGACAAUAAUUAAAUUAAAUACUGAUGAUGAUGAUGUUAUUGACUCCCAGUGGCUCCGCCCCAGAACACGACGUGGGUGCCUUUGAACCUCCCCCAUGGCCCAUGCUCGCCGCUGUCCGGCGGCGCCACCACGCCGCCGUCCGUGGCUGAGCUGCUCCGCCACGACCAGCUCCGCGUCGACGACAUCCUCACGAGGCUGUCCGGCAUUCCCAUCAACGACAGCAAGCCGACGCGCUCGGUGGGUGGACCCAACGCCCAAAUGAAUGGCAACUUAAUCGAUGUCGGCGUGGGCCCAGCACAAAGCCCCCCGUCGGCGUGGGCCCAGCAGCAGCUCUCCGGUCUGAGCGGCGGUAUUGAUGCAGUCGCCGCCCAGUCGAGCCUGCCGGCCGGAGUGCUCCGGCAGACGGUGGUCGUGGACACGGCCAGCGACGUGCCGUGGGUGCAGUGCGUGCCGUGCCCCAUCCCGCCGUGCCACCCGCAGACCAACACCUUCUACGACCCGACCAAGUCGCGCACCUAUGCCGCCUUCCCCUGCGGCUCCCCAGCUUGCCGGCAGCUCGGUCCCUACGCCAACGGCUGCAUCAACAACCAGUGCCAGUACAAGGUCACCUACCCCGAUGGCUCGUCGUCGUCGGGCACCUACAGCUCCGACGUCCUCACCUUCGACGCCACCCACGCCGUCAGCAACUUCCAGUUCGGGUGCAGCCACGCUGAGCAGGGCAGCUUCGACAACCGUGCGGCGGGCAUCAUGGCGCUCGGCGGCGGCCCGGAGUCGCUGCUGGCCCAGACGGCGUCCCGCUGGGGGAACGCCUUCUCCUACUGCAUCCCGCCGACGUCGAGCAACUCCGGCUUCUUCGGCCUCGGCGUGCCCGGCGGCGUCGCCUCCUCCAGGUACGUGGUGACGCCGAUGCUCAGGUACCCGAACCUGCCCACCUUCUACCGCGUGCUCCUCCGGGCCAUCACCGUCGGCGGGCAGCGGCUCAACGUGCCCGCCGCGGUGUUCUCCGCCGGCUCCGUGAUGGAUUCGCGCACGGCCAUCAGCCGCCUGCCGCCGACGGCGUACGCGGCGCUGCGGGCGGCGUUCAGGAACGCCAUGAGGAUGUACCGCCCUGCGCCGCCCAAGGGGAACCUCGACACCUGCUACGACUUCACCGGCGUCGCCAACGUCAGGCUGCCGAGGAUCGCGCUGGUGUUCGACCGGAACGCCGUCGUGGAGCUGGACCCGUCGGGGAUCCUCUUCAGCAGCUGCCUCGCUUUCGCCUCCAACCGCGACGACCACAUGCCGGGCAUCCUCGGCAGCGUGCAGCAGCAGACGUAUGAGGUGCUCUACGCCGUCGGCGGAGGCGCUGUCGGAUUCCGCCGUGCCGCGUGCUGAGCGCCACCUCGCCCUGCCAUCCAAUCCAUCUGUCUACUGGCAUUAUAUUGUUGCUUUACUCGUUUCCACACCCACUGUUAACUACUAUAUGUAAGACCUAUCUGGUCAAUGGUCAUGGAUUUCUACAAGCUAAUCUCACAGGGAGGUGAGGUAGUUUGUUGCCCAAAUAAACCGAAGAUUUGCAAGUUGUAUGUGAUCCUGCCGGCUUAUAAGCUUGUACUUCUAUCAGAAAUUUGUUAUAUUGAUCAUGUCCGGAAGGAGAAGGGACUUUGUUUUGAAACCGUAAAUUUGUUCAACGUGUGCAUUUUUGUUUAUUUUCUGUGUCCUUCAAGAAAAGAGUACAAUAUUAUACUUCGUCCGUUUCAAAUUGUAGAGUAUUUUAACUUAUCUAUAUACAUAAUUUUUGGAGUGAAAUACUCCAGAGGUCCAUCAUACGGUGCCAUUUAGAUCCAUAAACUCCGAAAGUGUAUUUUUAGAUCUAGAAACUUGUUAAGUCGUUCACUGUAGGUCCAUACCUCUCCAUAGUAUCCGUUUAGCAUAGCUCCAACUUCGAGAUCCAUGUUAGGUCUGUACUCUAAAAUCUAAAAUAAAAUAAUUUAAAUAUUUGUGUUUAGUCUAGAUUAUAAAUAAAAUAUUUUAGCUAAAUGUUCGUGAUAGACCUGCACCUCUAAAUCUAAUACCUAACUCUAAGUGAUCCAAGUUUUUUCCAGUAACUCUGCCGAAUAGGGUUACGGUGUUAGAAACAAUGUAUACCUAAGUUUUAUCCAAAUGAAAUCCAUAUCUUCUUUUUUCUCAUAAAUACUUUAUCAUGUUAUUAUAUUUGGUGAGGCGACAUACCAUUUAACAAGAAUGACCACGAUAAUGACCUAAUAAAAAAAGACAAAAAGAUCUAUCCUAUCUAAUUUGUCGAUUCAAUAGAAGCCCAAAGAGGUGCAUAUGGUACCAUCCCUUCCUUGGUUAUCAUGCUGAGCUGCCAUUCUCAAUGGAGUGGGGGUUUCGUGAGAUAGUUUCUAAGACUAUGGCAUCAUCUAAACUAAUUGGACGUAAUUGGACGUACUCAGAUGAAAUGAAACCAUGUAGUUCUCGAUGUCAAUUUUACCAUGUUUCAUAGGAUCUGUUUAGCAUAGCUCCAACUUUAAGAUCCAUGUUAGGUCUGUACUCUGUAAUCUAAAAUAAAAUGAUUUAAAUAUUUGUGUUUAGUCUAAAUUAUAAACAAAAUAUUUUAACUAAAUGUUCCUAAUAGAUCUGCAGCUCUAAAUCUAAUACCUAGCUCUAAGUGAUCCAAGUUUUUUCCGGUAACUCUGCCGAAUAGGGUUGUAGUCUUAGAAACAAUGUAUACCAAGUUUUAUCAAAUGAAAUCCAUAUCUUCUCUCUUCUCAUAAAUACUUUAUCAUGUCAUUAUAUUUGAUGAGGCGACAUGCCAUUUAACAAGAAUGACCACGAUAAUGACCUAAUAAAAAAAGACAAAAAGACCGAGGCCCAACACAUCGUGUCCCUUACUUCGAGCUUUCCCAACCCUUUUAUAAUCAAAUUGCACAUCAUGUGCGCGCAUCCACCUUUGCUAAGAUAAAGAAUAGACAAAGACCCAGGCAAGAACCUAACAAUUGUUAUCACAUCUCAGAAAGCAAAAGCGAUCGAAUACGUUGCAUGCACAUGCACCGGCAUCAUAUAUUAUGUGCACCAGAAAGGGCCCUACUCAUCCUAUCGAGGCAGGUAUCCUUUGCUGUCCUUGCAUUGGAUCUUUUCCUUCGUAAUGCAUGCACCUUUAGCUCCGAAUUCCUCAAAGCGAGAGGAAAGAAUAAAGAAGGACCGACGCCGCAAUGAGAUCAAACAAUCAUAUAGAAAUGAAAAAAAAUAAAAAGACGAAAAGGACCAACAAUCGUUAUCAUGUGUGCAUGAUUAUUUACUCGAAAAAAAUGCGCGUGAUUAUUGCACAUACACUCUUAGGGAACCAUGUUGAGUUGUGCUACACAUGUGGUUCAACAUGUUAGUGACGAGAGAUACAUAUUGAUGACUUGUCGAAAUGGUUAGGGCUUUUUUGAACAUAUAGUUGCUUUAUUCAAAUUGGUUGUACAUUGUUAAUUUACUUACCAAAGGGGAUACCGCCGUAAGAUCAUCAUCAUCAUAUAUAUAUAGCAUAUUGGAUUCAUUAGGUUCCUCGUAGUAGAACCGUUCCACCGGAUUUGAAUCCUAGACUUAGCACUUCUACUCAUUAUAGGAAUAAAUGAUGCUAUUUUUUAAGUGGUAGGUAGCAUGCCGACCUGUCGGCAGCAAAGGCUACUUCUAUGGCAAUUUUGAAAAUCCCAAUAUCUACUGACUCACUAGUCUCACGGAGGCGAUUGGUUGUGUUUAUAGGGAUGAGUGUAUGUGAAUAUUUAACUCUAUACUAUGUUUCAUAAAAAAAGGUGAAGUACGCAACAAAUGAGGCAGAUAUGGUAGAUGAUAUGCCUCAAAUAAAGGAUCGCAAGAAUAGAUGCGCGACACAAUAUAUUAUCUUAGUUUUGUUCUAUUGCAUUUUGAGCGUAUAACUGAAUAAUAUGCAUGGCUUCUUGCUCUGUGUUGCUCCCUUUUGCCUAUAGAACUCAAUCUAUCAAAACUUCAUGCGCACCAAUACUAUGUUAAAAAGAAGUCUUCAUGUCACGAAGUCAUUCGUGGUACACAAUCAACAAGCUCCCACUACUGGAAAAAUCACCUCUAGCACCGGUUCUAAACCCCCCUCUAGUAUCGGUUGUGCAACCGGUAGUGGCCAUCCGGUACUAGAGGGGGUCCUUUGGUAUCGGUUCAAAUAACCGGUACUAAACGGCACCCUUUAGUAUCGGUACUAAAGGGCUUCCCACGCCACAUGGGGAGGUGCCCUCAUUACUACCGGUUGGUAUCCCCAACUGGUACUAAUUUCUUUUAUUUUCUUUUCUUAUUUUCUGUUCCUUUAUUAUAUAUUUGUAUUUCGUAUUUAUUUCCUUUACGUACACUAGUUCUAAUACGCUACUAUAUGUAAAGUUCUAUUUAUCUUUAAUAUAACAUUUGAGAUAAUAUUAUAUAUAUACACAUAUUGUGCAUACACAUACAUGAAUAACAUUACACAUAUUUAUAUAUAGACAUAUUGUGCAUACACAUAUCGUAUUUAAUUACUAAUCUGAACCUGAGUCCAUAUUGUGCACUAGUUGAGAUCCAUCAUUAUCAAACUCCCCCGCAUAUUUGUGUCCUCGUACAGAAGAAAUCCACAUAGUUGAUCUUGUAUUGCCCUGAAAACUUCGGUGUCGAUGAGUUUUUCCUUCCUGGUCAUCAUCUGUGUCAUUAGCAAAUGAAUUAGAAAUAUUUAAUCUAAAUUUGUUGAACAAUUGAAACUUUUUUAAGUAUAAGCAUAUGAAUUGAAAUACAUAAUCUAAUUUUUCUAAGUAUAUACACAUGGAUUGGAUUUUGAGGUAUAAGCAUAUGAAUUGAAAUACUUAAUCUAAUUUUUCUAAGUAUAUACUCUUGGAUUGGUUUUUGAAGUAUAAGUAAAUGAAUUCAAAUACUUAAUCUAAUUUUUCUAAGUACAAGCAAAUGAAUUGGUUUUUGAAGUACAAGCAUAUGAAUUGAAUUACUUAAUCUAAUUUUUCUAAGUAUAUACACAUGAAAUGGUUUUCGAAGUAGAAACAUAUGAAUUGAAAUACUUAAUCUAAGUUUUCUAAGUAUAUACACAUGAAUUGGUUUUUGAAGUAUAAGCAUAUGAAUUGAAAUACUUAAUCUAAUUUUUCUACGUAUAUGCAUAUGAUUUGGUUUUUGAAGCACAAGCAAAUGAAUUAAUUUUUGAAGAAUAUACACAUGAACUAAUUUAUUGUUGAGAAUUUUGUAUAUGUACGGUUAAUUCAUGUUCAGUGAUAUGGUUCGGACCCACAAAGUCAUGGAUGAAGUCACAAACGUAGUAUCCACAUAAAUGAGUACCCUCCUGCUAUCUCGAACACUAUAUAUAUGGAAAAAAGUUAUGAAAUAUUUGUUGGGUUAAAGGAAGUAUCACGAGAUGUGAAAAUUUAACACAUACUGAAAAUCUAUCUUCCAAACAAGUUGCUCCGUGAAAUUACCCUUGUGAGUUUGAUGGAAUCGAGCUCAGCAUUUGUUCAGAGCGUUCAUGAUGUCAACGUAUUUUUCUUUUGGUUUCCUCAAAGAGUCCAAGACAUACACGAAGCUCCAAGCGGGGAUAAUAAUGAGUACCCAAUGGUACAUGUACAUCCAAAUUGAAGCUAGUUAGUAUUAUGUUUAAGUGCUAGUUCAGAAAAGAAAGCGAUGGGAAAAACGCUCACUUGAAGUUCCACGGUAGUAAUAUGCGCUUCUUAUCCUAAUGCUUGUCGAGGAACUUCAAUAUAUUCUUCAAGGUCCGUUUUGGUUUAUCCUUUAGAUUAUCCUGGAAAUAAUUGACAUCAUGGUAUCCCAUCCUACGACAAGUUUGAAUCUCCAUCCUGCACAAUACAAAAUUAAAUAGGACUUAAGACAUCGCAAAUUGACUAGAAUGAGGAUUUUCAAGUUAGAGAAAUAUACUAAAGACUUACAGGACCCAGCAACUGAUCAGUGACUUGUCUAGUGCGUCUUGAUUGUAUGGUGAACAACAUCAUUAGUGGGUAACAUAACAAAAAUCAUUUAUAAUGUGCACAUUGUAAUUAACCUGAUGGUGUAAAAGAAAAUAUUAUAAUGCAUAUUGACAAUUAUCGCAGUAAUGAAGGCUCCAUCUUUCGUAUGCAGUCAUCAGUCGGGGGUGCGCCAGCCUAGAAGUUAGAACUCUUAAGUCUUCACACUGUAUAUUGAUCGCAGUAAUAUAGCGAAUAUCAUUUAUAAUGUGUAUAUUGUAAUCUGAUUUUGGAUUGCUUGGGGAAGCGACCCCUUAAACACUUAUGAGGCCCUUGCAAAGAAUCAACCAGCCUGACAAGCACAACACAGACCCAUAAAGCCCCAUUUAAUUUGUGCCACUCAGUUCUUGUUAUUUAGCCACAUACUAAAUAGUAUCAAUCAUGGAUAUGUAGACCUGCACAUCUAAUAUGGUAAAGUUAUAGUGAUAGUGUCAACUCUUAGUAUAUCUUCAUUAAUCUAGUAUAUGUAUAUAUAAAUGCAGUGAAGGACCCAGCAACUUGGAUGAGCCUGGGUGCCUUCAUUGUACAGCUCUACGUAUGGUGCCAAUCAAUAGCUAGGCAUCGAAUAAGCUAAGGAUUAGUAAUGGAUUUAGCAGAUGGUGAGCUCGGGCAGGUGCCUAUGGUUGCCGGGCCCUGAGUUCGCCACUCUAUAAAUGCACUAUCCUUAGUCUUAUAGGGCACAUCCAAUACCUCUCCAUAUAAUUUUAAAUAAAAAAUUUGUCAACUACAAAAAUUGAUAUAGAGUUUAUCUGCAUAUAUAUGAGGUCAUUUGAACUUCAAAAAUUCCAGAUUUCAAAAUUUGAGAUCUUAUAAUAAUUUUUUGGACUACUAAACAACAUCAAAUAAUUAAAAAAAUUAUUAACUAAAAUUUUUAGAUCUCGUCGAGCUAUACAAUUUUGAUAUAAAGUUUUUGAUAAUGGUCACCAUUUACAGGGCGAAUUGCCUCACGGUCCGCACCGAGAAAUCAUUUCUAGGGACGGAUUCAUUUGUAGCGGCGGCUGAUCACGUGGUACGCGCCUAGAAACUCAUUUCCAUGUGCGCAUCAGUCGCUACAGUGUGGCUCCAUCUUUGUUGGGCUGGUGGACCUAGAGACGCAUCCCUUUAAAAAAGAAGCGCGAGUACAAAACUUUUUAAUACAGGAGCAUCGUCCGUUACUCAAAUAGCAGGAUGCCAGGAUUAGGACCAGGUUCCUCUAGGACUAAACUAAACUUUAGUCUCUCUUAUUCACUAGAUUAAACUUUAAUCUUCUCUGUUUGGUUCUGGUUCUAGUGACUAAAGACUAUUAAAGUAAUUGAAAAAAAGAUAAAACUACCCCUAAUCAAUGCCUUAGGGACGUUGGCGGCAUGUCCAUGGCUGGACAGGCCUGCUCCGACGGCGGCGCAUCCAAGUCCGAGCGUGGCAAGAGCAGGGCGAGCUAUGGGGCGGUGGCGCGUCAACCAAGCAGGGUGAGCUGGGGGGUGGCACGGCGGCGGCAGUGGAGAACCGCACCAAUCGCGGCUGCUCUACGAGCUCUGCGCGCUCCAGCUAACCGUGCUCUGAGCAAAGGAUUGGAUCAGGAGGGGGGAUGGGGCAGUAACGAGGGGCAGAUCCCGCAACCUCUUGGAGACUAAGGGUUAAAGUCUAGGGACUAAAGUUUAACCUCCUUUAAUCACUAUAUUUGAUAGUUUAGGGACUAAAAGGACUAAACUUUAAUCCUAAACUUUAGCGGCCCAAACCAAACAGGACCUUACAACUCCACUGAAUUGCAAGCCUCAAGGAGAGCUACAGCCGCCACCUAUUUAUAUAAACUCAUAUAGCUUGGUUCGAAUCACAACAUAUUAUUCUACGAUCGAAUUAGAGACAAACCUCGUUCGAAAGAAAACAAAACCAUGAUUCCAGUUUGGCCGCUGCUACUUCUAUUUUCUAUUUCUUCUCCAAUUGCUGAUGCAACAAGAAGCUCGCUGAUGAAGUCCAACGCCGUCUGCUCCGGCCAGAGAGGUAACUACAAGAAAAUUUGUUUGUCAUCUCAAGUCACAAACAGAAGAACUGAUGAGUAAACCAUGUUCGUUUUGAAAGAAAGUGCUGAUGAAAUGAAACACUGUGUGUUGAGCACAAUAGAUUCUUAAAGACAUUAUACUAGUUUGUAAGCACUAACGGAAAUCUAAUGAGACACCCUGUGCUAACUUGGCAGUGAGCAUUCCAUCCUCUAGCGGCGCUUGGCUGCCGCUGAACCACCGCCAUGGCCCGUGCUCGCCGUCUCCUUCCUCGGAGAGGAUACCGUCCACGGCCGACGUGCUCCUCAGCGGCCGACUCCGUGCCGACAGCAUCCGGAGGCGCUUGAACGGCAGUGCUGCCGCCGCAGAGCGCAGCGACGUCGUCACCGUUCCGACCACUCUAGGCACCUCCCUGGGCAACUACGAGUACGUGGUCACCGUGGGCCUCGGCACGCCGGCAGUCACCCAGACGGUGAUCAUGGACACCGGCAGCGACGUCUCGUGGGUGCAGUGCCGCCCGUGCCCCGUCCCGGCGCCGUGCCACGUCCAGAAGGACCCAGUGUUCGACCCGGCCGGGUCGGCCACGUACUCUGCCUUCUCCUGCAGCUCGACGGCGUGCCUGGGCCUUGGCCGACGCCGUGCGGCCUCCAAUGGCUGCUCCGGGUCGUCGCCGUGCCAGUACAUCGUGAAGUAUGGCGCCGGCUCCAACAGCACCGGGACGUACAGCUCCGACAAGCUGACGCUGACCCCGGCGUACGCCGUCGACGGGUUCCGGUUCGGCUGCAGCCACGCCGACCCACUGUUCAGCGACCUCACCGACGGGCUCAUCGCCCUCGGCGGCGGCUCGCUGUCGCUCGUGUCGCAGAUGGCGGAGAAGGCCUUCUCUUACUGCCUCCCGCCGACGGCGAGUCACUCCGGGUUCUUGACGCUCGGUGUGCCGCGCGUCUCCUCCUCCAGGUUCGUGGUGACGCCCAUGCAUAGCAUCGGCAACAUCAAGACGUACUACGGCGUGCUCCUGCAGGGCAUCACGGUGGCCGGGAGGCGGCUCGGCAUUCCGCCGUCGGUAUUCGCCGCCGGCUCGGUUGUCGACUCGGGCACGGUGGUCACGGAGCUGCCGCUGACGGCGUACCGCGCGCUGCAGGCGGCGUUCACGAAGGAGAUGAGGAUGUACCCGCAGGUGGCUCCGAAGAACGGUUUCGACACGUGCUUCAACCUGACCACCGGCGGCGAGGUCAAGCUGCCGAGCGUUGCCCUGGUGUUCGACCGGGGCGCCACCGUGGAGCUCGACCCGUCUGGGAUCAUCUUCGACGGCUGCCUCGCGUUCGCCUCCACUGGAGACGACACCUCCUUUGGGAUCAUCGGCAAUGUGCAGCAGAGGACGUUCGAGGUGCUGUACGACAUCGCCGGCCAGGCCGUGGGAUUCCGCCGCGGCGCUUGCUGAGCUUGAGCGUGCUUGGUUGACCGAUCAAGAAUAAUGAAUUUCUGAGCAGAGCAUGUUGUUAAGUUGUAACCACACUUUGCUACUAUUUCCUAAGUAUUGUGUCAUCUAUAAUUCUAUAUAAAAAAUGGCCAACCCUCCAAUUUAUCAAAGUUUCUAAGUUUGAGCAAAAAAAUAUAGAAAAAUAUGUUAGCAUAUCUACACUACCAAACUGUUAUAAAACACGUCAUCAAUGGUUGGAUCUUCUAAAGACAAGACAUAAGUAUGAGGGACUAUUCUAGAGACCAUCAGACCAUUUAACUUUAGGCUCUCCAUGGUAACUUUAGGCUGACUUGAUUAAUGUAUGACGUCAAACUAAGCUCCUUUUAUCAAUACACUAAGUAAGGCACAACAGAGAUGUAGAUAUUCGAGUUAAGUCAAUGUAUUACCGACAGUCAACUUAAUAAAAAUCCCUAAAAGAUUUAAACAAACAACUAAUACGAAAAAUUUAAUCACACUGAAAUUAGUUAAGGACCUAAAAUGCAACUCUAUAUAGAGGUAGUUUCUUUGAUAUAGAAAUAUUAGUAAACAAAUAAAUAUUAAUUAUACAAGCAUGCUUUAAUGCAAAAGGAUUCUGCAAAAGCUUCGCCCUUCGGCCGUCUCUAAAAGAAUUGUAGAUUUUUUCAAUAAAACUAAAUAAAAAUCCAGUUAAAUAAGAAGACAAGAAACAUCCAAAAGGUUUAUGAAAGGUCGAUGUGCAAUUGCAUCAGCCAGUAGCUAGAUGUCUUGUUAUGGUUCGGUACCUAACGUAUAAUUGUACUACUACUAAUCGGAACCUUCUUCUAUAGCCUCCUUCUUUUGUAGCCUCCAUUGUCAAUCUUCACGAGACAUGUUAGGAAAAAAAAUAACUCCUACAAAUUCUCACAGAAGUCAUAAACAUUUAGCCAUUAACCCGCUAGGCUAUAUGAAUGUUGUGUCAAGGGAAUGAGAAGGGGUAAUUAAAUAUUUUUUAUUAUUAGCUAUAGGCUUAAGUUUUUUACUAUUUUUUUUUACUUUUGAUGCCGUCAAAACUUUUAGUCCCAUGUGAGAAUACGGUGGACGGACUAAAUGAAUUUAAUUAUUGACUUUAAAUUUGGGUUUGAUUACAAUUUCCCUUUAAAUCAUGCAAAAUAUUGUGCCAUCUAUUCAGCUAGUUGCUAAUAAACAAGCAAGCAAACUACUAAUUUUGUUUGAGGGGAAAUAGUCGAGCAUCAUUCAAGAUCCACGUAAAAAUACAUUGGUGACAUCAGUCGUCUUGUGCAUGGUCAUGAAGGUGUAAUGACACAACUACAUUGGUGAACUCAUGCACCAUUGCUGCGAUGGAUAUUUUUCUUUCCUUCCAUUGAUUUACAAACUAAGAAGAUACAGUGCAACGAGACAACUAGGAAGAUGAGAUUCCACCACCAUAGUCCUCAUGUGCAUCAACAGAUUUCGGAAUAGGCUGACUGGGAUAUAAAGAAGGGACAGAGAAGUGCAGCAGGCAGUAUCCAGCUACAGAAACAAAAGGACCAGAUAAGAUGCUCCCAGCAAUAACCUAACCGGAGAUCGAGCUGAUGCUGAUACCGUAACUAGAAUUUGCUCAUAAUAAAAGACUAUCGACUUCCUCUCCACAACUUUACAGUUGUCUUACACAUGACAAAAGCUCCUGCAUUACAUACAGCUGACAAAAAGUUGCAUAGCUCCAAUAAUAUAACGUGAAUCAGGUUCGUGGCCCUGUACGUCCUUGUUGCUUUGGCAAACAUCGGAAAAGAAAAGAAAACAUGGAACAAAUACCGAAGACAAAGACGGAUAAGAAGAAUAAAAACAAAGACUGCUAUCUCAUCACGUACGUGAUGAUCAGCAAGAGCACAUCUCCACAUGCCAAGAGCCCUCUAAACCUGCGACGCCGUCUCUUGAUCCACACAUGCAUCGACAAUCCAUCGAUCCAUCUCAACGUACUUGACACCAAAGCAAAACAAGUUUACAUGGCAUGCACGCGAUGCCAUUCGACGGACGAUUGACGACGACAAUGACCGAUAUGCAUGCAGGGCAUACUAGCCCACGACUCAGCAUUAGUCCCAGUUGCUAGACCUCAAAGCUCUCCAAUACUCAACUGGGAUAAAAUUUUCAAGACGAAGGGGGGUUUUUAAUCCCGGGUUACUCAACCGGGACUAAAUACCCCCUUUAGUCCCAAUUGGUGUUACCAACCGGGACAAAAAACUUUUAAAAAAAAUUUAAAACAAAAGCCCACACCCCACAUCGGCCGCCCGACGGCCGCCCAUGCCGGCUUCGCUCCGCCUCCGCUCCGCCCCAUGCCGCUGGGCCCGCCCGGCCUUGCCCAGCUCGCUACCGCUCCUCACUGCCAGUGAGGAGCGAGCAGAGGAGGAAGGGGAGGGGCAGCAGAGGGGAAAGGGGUGGGAGAGGAAGAGAAGGAGGGGAGGGGAGGGGGCGGGAGAGGAAGAGAAGGAGAGGAGGGAGAGGCUCCGGCGCGAGGAAGAUAAGAAAGACCUGUGCGCGAGAGGAAGAGGAGGAGGUAGAGAAGAAAGACCUGCGCGCGAAGAAGAUAAGAAAGACCUGUGCGCACCCUUGUGUUUGUCCCGGUUGGUGUUUCCAACCGGAACAAAAGCUCCCCUUUUGUCCCGGUUGGAAACACUAACCGGGAUAAAAGGGGAGGGCGUUGGUGCGAUAUUUUCUAUCCGUUACAAGCGGGACUAAAGGGGGAUUUUAGUCCUGGUUGGUAUUUAUAUCCGGGACUAAAGCUUCCUCCCCCCACCCCCUUACGGUGGCUUUCGGUGGCAAUUUUUUAUCCAGGACUAAAGCUAGUUUAGUCACCUGGCACAAUGUUAACCGGGACAAAAAGGGUAGAUGGAAGGUCAGUUCUCUACUAUUGUAGUAUAAUUCAGAGGGGGCUCAGUUGGAUUAGUCGCCGCCCUACACUACCGGCACUUACAAAGACGAAAGCAAGAUCAUUUUACUUUUUUAUUAAUCUAUUCUAAAAUGAUUUGUUUUUAAGGAUGGGGGAACAUAUAUAUUGCAUUGAUAUUUUUUUUCUUGCAAAAUAGCCGCCAGUCCUCCCCCAAGCCGAAGCGCCUCUUCCUCUCCCCGACCUCGAGCGGUUGUAUUUUUUUCAUGCAAAUAUAAUUAUUGUAUAAAAGAAAAUGUAAUAAUAAAUGUGGUGUUUAAAAUUUAUGGAUUGCAAUUUUCAUGAAUAAUUAAUAUCUAUUGAUAUGUAUAAAUUCAUAAAUAAUUUUUAAUUGCAAGUAUUACAAUUUUGCAUAUUAAGAACGAUGAACAACGAUGAGAACAGUGGGAGGUACACGAUGAACCCUUAAGACGUAAGUCUCUUAUAAACUGUCGUGUGCUAACUUCUUAAUGGUAAUAUAUCCUAAUUUUCAUUUACUGUAUACCUGCAGAUGCUUACCAUCAACAGUAACUAUAGCAAGAUUGAAGGCAAACAAAUCGACAACAUUUGUACGGAUAUGGUGAGGUUCAUCCUACGCGAGAUUUGUUAUGAGGAUGGAGCAUUCUUUGAUAAAGAUGGCGUGUUGAUGGCGGACAAAUGCACAAAUCUUCGUUGAAUUUUUAAUAAUGUGAAUUAUAUAUUAUAUACAAUGCAGUUUUGAAUAAUGUGAAUUAUUUAUUAUUCAAGUUUGUUGUUAUGUGGGAAAUAAAAAUUAUAAAUAACUCACAGGAAAUAAUAUAUUGAAUGGAAAAAUUACAUAUUCCUGACGGGUGGCAUAAGCACCCGCUAGCACAGAAACAAUAUGUGCUGGCGGGUGGCUAACGUCGCCCGCCAGCACAGACGGCAUCUGUGCUUGCUCAAGGUUGCUAGCGGGUGCGAUGUCCAUCAGCACAAACAUGUUCUAGCCACCGGCACAAAUGCUUCCUGGCGCGGUGAAUUUUUAAUUAGUGCAGCCUUUUCAGCAGAUUCUCCGUGUUAAAGCAUAGCUCCAAUAAUAUAAUGUGAAUCAGGUUCGUGGCCCUGUACGUCCUUGCUUUAGCAAACAUCGGAAAAGAAAAGGAAAAAUGGAACAGAUACCAAAGACAAAGACGGAGAAGAAGAAUAAAAACAAAGACUGCUAGCUCAUCACGUACGUGAUGAUAUGAUGCCAAGAGGCCUCUAAACCUGCGACGCCGUCUCUUGAUCCACACAUGCAUCGACAAUCCAUCGAUCCAUCUCAACGUACUUGACACCAAAGCAAAACAAGUUUACUUGGCAUGCACGCGAUGCCAUUCGACGGACGAUUGACGACGACGGUGACCUUGCACACUGGCCUAUAUAUGCGUGCAGGGCAUACAUGGUAGCUAGCAUCCCUGAAAACCCUCAAGCUUGUAGAACGAUGGGUCUCCCCAGCUGCCAAGUAGUAGAAAUUAACUCGUACAUCGGAAACCUAACGUCAUCCUACACGGAGAAGAGCAAUGAGCUCAGCAUGGUGGCCGCCUCCGUCAUCAUGUUCGUCCUCGUCGGCCUCUUCUUCAACCUCAACCUCUUCAGCGGCAUCUCCGACAUCAGCGCCAUCCUCGACCCCAAAGUCCGCCUCGUCCUCACCUCGGCGCUCUCCCUCUUCCUCCCCGUCAUGUCUUACCUCUUCUCCGAGGCCAAGAACACCGGGCACUUGCAGAGCUCCACCACUGCUGGGAGCACUCAGGUGGCUGACCUCCCGCUGAGGGCAGGGCUGAUCCUGGCAUGGAUGCUCCUGGUGGAGCUCCUCCGCAAGAAGGUGGAUGAGAUCCGCAUGCGCGGGUUCUCAGGCACCAUCCAGCGCGCCGGCCGAGUUGUUUGGCUGGGAAGCCUCGUCUUCUUCAACAUCGAGAGCGCUGGCCGGAAGGCGGUGUUCAGCAUACUCUGGAUCCUUUGUGCCACCAAGGUGUUGCAAAGAAUCGCCUUCACCGAGGUGGGGAAGCGUUCAUACGCACAUGGCAAGAACGCCCGGCUCAUCAGCUCCUACAUGUCCCAGAUGCUAGAAUGGGAGCCGCCUCAAGAUGCCCACCUGCAGCAGGAGGAUGACAACGACACGUUGAUCAAGACGUGCAAUUACAUUGUCAUGGGCGAAGAGAAGCUGGUGGAUAUUGAGCCCACUGCAGAUGGUUACAAGCUGGGAAAGGCCAAGUCCCCAGGUUAUGAUAGCAUCGUCAAAUUGCUGGAAGAAAAUGAUAGCAUCAUCACUGUACGUAAAGUUUGGGAGCUCGAUGACAAGGACAAGUUCUUCUCCCUUCAGCAAAUUCAAAGCUUGAAGAGAAUCUGCCUCUCAUUUGCUCUCUUCAAGCUGCUCCGUCGAAGGUUCGAGCACCUGCCGGCGGUGACCAAAGAAGAAGCUCGCAACUCCCAGAACCUUAUCUUGAAAGGCCUAUACAACAAAGGCCAAACCAGCUCGUCGGCGGAAGCAGUGUUCCAAGUUCUGAAUGAUGAGGUCAACUUCCUUAGUGAGUAUUAUCACUCUGUUGUCCCAGUGGUUCUUGCAAGCCCCUUCUUCCUCUUCAUAAACUACUUUCUUGUCAACAUAGUCGUAGCUUUCUUGUGCUUCAUGACAGUUAUUCUCUGUGGCAAUGGAGAUGUCAGGUACGCACUCCACAGCCUCGGUGCAGAUAACUACACCUUACAAUAUGGUGUUGGCAAUAUAGCCAUAUGCCUUCUGCUCAAAGCCACAAGUUCACCUUCAGCCUUCUUUUCCAUAGUAGACCUUUCCAUCACUAUCCUUCUAUUCAUAAUCUUCUUUUAUGAGGAAAUAUGGGAGUUCUUUGUUUUCCUACUCUCCAACUGGUUCAUGGUAUCAUUGGUCUAUAACUACAUCGCAAAACCAAGUUGGCUGAAGAGGUCCACCUUUCGGGGGGCCUUGUAUUGGGGGGGCUUCAGUAUUAUCAUGUGGCUGCGGACCAAGAUGAGUCAUGCUGACCUUAGGAUGAAGCAAUUUUCUGUGUUGAACCUUCGUUGGCCACCCAAGUUACCUCUCUUCGCCACAUUCACCAGCAUGGCGGUAAAAACAGUGGUGGUGCCAAGUAGUGUGAAAGAAUCCAUCAUGAAGUACCUUGCCAACCAGCAUGACGAUCCCCAAGCAAACCCUCUUACCAAUGGCAUGUCCACACUACAUAAUAGGAACAACAACCUUUAUUGCCAGGACCUCUCAUGGGCAUGCAGAAGCAAUAGUGUUGCUGAGGUGAUCCUCACGUGGCACAUUGCCACCAGCAUCAUGGAGGUCAAGUGUGACACCCCUCAGAAUGGCGAGGACAUAAGCAGGAGGAAGGUAGCCUUUAGGCUGUCCAAAUACUGUGCUUACUUGGUGGCUUUCCACCCGGAGCUUCUGCCUGACAAUCCAGAAAAGGUCGAGUGUGUCUUUGAGGACAUGAAAGCGGAGUUGAAGGCCAUGCUAGGGUGUCAGGACUACUAUCUCUCGUCGCAGCACAAACGAGUCCAGAAGAUCAUGGACGAGAAAACCACACCCCUAAGGCAAAACCAACCUUCUUCAACUGCAGGCCAGAGUGAUACUGACAAAAUAAAAGUUGCACAAGACGGUGUAAAUCUUGCAAGGUCACUAAUGACAAAAACUAACAAGUGGCAGGUGUUAGCGGACGUGUGGACGGAGAUCAUCAUAUACUUGGCCCCGUCGAGCGACGAGGAGCGUGUGAAGGGGCAUGAGGAGGCCCUGGUGCAAGGAGGUGAGUUCAUCACCGUGCUCUGGGCACUGACCACCCACAUCGGCAUAUCUAGGCCCAGCAAAUCGGAGAUAAAUGUUGGCCAUUCUGCAGCUUGAGGGAUCGAGAAGACACGGGCCUGAGUGUGCAUGGCGUUUCCAUAUGUGCUUUGCCUUUGCAUUGCAGCCACCUUGAUAUUGUUUGCUCUGUUUACGUGUGCAAUUUUUUCUUGGCGUGCUUUCAUGGAGAGUUUGUUUUGUUUGAUCUCAGCUACUUCCACAGCGAGCGGAUGUGUGUGUGUGUGCAGGAGGAUUUGUAAUUAGCAUCAAGUUUUCAUAUGAACUGUGAGAGCAUUUCACCUAAUCGCUUAUCUGCUUUGCAAGCUUCUGCCUGGACUUUUGAGUUUUGAUUCUAUUUCGUUUUGCAGAUUAAUACCUUACCGAUGAAGCGAUGACAUUUAUUUAAUAUCGUAAUCCGAACUGUAGUUGAAUGACGUGCAUCCAAAGUAGAAAUAUAUUUCUUUGUUUUGGUAAUUGUACUGAAUUUGCUUGCAUAAUAUAUGCACUAUGCCUAGAUAAAGAGGAUGGAUGGCUCAGGCCAAAGGGACUUCGGCUUCGCGCUACAGUAACGCACACUAUUUAGCACUGUGCGUUAUUGUAGCACGAAAUCGGAACAGAUACCAAAAUCUCAAAAUGAAUUGGGAAGGAGGUGAAUCCAAAAAAUUGGCUCCCCAUGGUUUCAGCUCCACUUGCUACAGUUGCGAAGUCAAAGGCCCCCUAAGCCAUACCAAAUGAGUCCUUACGACCCCUUACUCAUUUCAUUCACAUAUAUCACUUCCCAUGUUGUUGGACAACAAUGGGAUGGCACCUUGAACUAGUAAGACACAAUAAGAACCACAAGUAUACGUCAUCUACUACUAUUUUUGGAACCAAGUUGUGCAUUACCCCCUCCCAACCAUUGAUAACACAUCCUUGGCUAAAUUAAGCCAACCAAAGACAACCACAAAACUUCUUAUAAAUACGGACCACUUACCCACAUUCCCAAAUCACCUCCACAUUCAACACCUCCUCUCCUCCACCACUGACCAAUAACCCCGGCUGCCGCCGCCGCCGCAACCUUCACAGCAGCCGGGGGCAACCAUGGGUGCCUGUGCAACCAAGCCCAAGACGCUAGAGGGGAAGGCCCCCGCCGAGGCCCCCAUCUCCACACCCAAGGUUACACCCGAGACCACCGUCCCCACCGAGGUGAUGACGAUGCAUUCUGAAACUCAAUUUAUAAACAAAUUUUGCUCGAUCACUAUGCAUGCCUUCAAUUUUGUUUCCUGAAGUGAUGAACAUUCGAACUCGCUGUAUAUUAUCAAUUUGAUGAGCAGGUUGCGGCUGAACAUGUGGUUGAGAAGGUGGUGGAGGAGGCCAAGGAGGAGCCGGCGGCGGCAGCGGUAACAGAGCCGCCUGCCACCGCCGAGCCCGAGCAGAAGGCUGAGGCAACACCAGAGGCGAUCGUCGAGCCCGAGCACAAGGAGGAGCAAGUCUUGGAGAAGAUCGUUGAGGAGGAUCAGAAGCCUGCAGCCCCUGUCGAGGAGAAGACCGCCGCUGCCAUUGAGGUGGCGGAGGAGCCCACGGAGGUGAAGAAGGACGCCGGGGAGGAAGAGGAGGAGAAGCCGACGCAGAGCUGACCGACUGUCCAUGGCGUCAGUUGGCUCCUGCCUGAAAUCUCUAGAGUCGUCGGCUUAUAUAUAGCUCGGGAGAGAGAUCCACUGCGUGUAACAUUCUUUGAUGCCUCCCGUUUUUCCUCCACGGGGUUCUGAUAAACGAUAUUAUUGGGCUUAUUAUUGAACAUCUUGGUCCCUAAUAUUAUAGUUUGCCUUCAACUAUAUAUUCCUUGAUAAUAAUCCAGGAUAUCACACAUUCAUAUGCUGAAAUUUUCCGAUCCCCAAAGUUUGAACGCAAAUUCAAAUGCUCAAAACAAUGCACCUAUAGGACAAUGUGGUCGAGAAUCGAGACUGAUGCGUAGUUUCAAAUUCAUAACAUACAGCGAGUUCGAAUGUUCAAUCAAUGGAGGUCAAGGCGGCACAGAGACGAACCGUUCCGAUCCCGCCCGUGUGACGAUGCAUCAUCCAUGGACCAUAUGGCCAUGGCCUCCCCUCCGUCACCGGCGUUCGACGGCGCAUCCGCGGCCUGUGCCCAUGGCCCUGGCCUCCGAUCCGUCACCGGCGUCCUCGCGCGGGCAGCGAAGGCGUGGAGCACUGGAGCCAUCACCGCCGGCCGGCCGUAGCGUGCACCACCGAUGCACGUCGUUCGGGUUGAUGAUGAGAACCGUGGAGGCCUUGCUCGAGCCCAUGGGCCGAACUGUGGAGGGAUUCUUCGACGGGCCUAGUGCGUUUGGGCCAGCACUCUGUUGGGCUAUCGGCCCAAAAGUUCCACGGGAAGAAGAAAGGGAGGAGGGCACGCACUCCCCCCACCCCCAUCUCUCUUCUCCAUCGGAAUCGAGGGCGGCCGCCGGAAGACGAUCUGCAGCGAAGCGAAGGGAGAAAUCGAGGAAGAAGCGAAGAUGAUCUACCGCAACUGGUCGCUGCUCUCCUCGACGGUCGUCAUCUGGGGCGGCGUCGCCACCGCCGGCCUCGCCGGGAUCUUCCUCUUCGGCGGCAAGGUACUAACCCUCGAUCCCCUUCCUGUAGCUACGGAUUCCAUCCCAGAUCGCCCGUGGGACUGCGUAUUCGUCCGUUUCCGCCCCCGCAUCUGCGUGGUUUCUGUACGAUGUUUUGGUUGCUCCUGCGCCUGUGCUCGUUAGGUUGGUGGUGGUAUGAACAUUGGAUCCGGUUGAUGCGUCGGUGGGGGAUUCGCGUCUGGUGACCAUUGCGAACCCGGGAUUCGGGGCGGAUUUUGGGUGCGAUGCGAUAGAGCUGUUCUCUGCAGGGUCAGAUUCCUCUGUUUAGCUUAGGGCGGCCAGCAAGUCCUGAUUCGAGGCAGAUGUUAUGUGGUUUUAGGUUGCUACAUGCCGGUCAGGUCAAUGUGUUCUUGAUCUUCCUGCCAUGCUUUGUUGUAUGUUCUUGCCUGAGAUUUUUUUUUUCUUGUAAGCCCUGUUGUAUGUUAAUCUCAAAAAAUCCCUUGCUGUACUGAGAUUUUUCUUACUGGGUAGGGCAAUAGGAGAUUGGAGGCCUGUUGGGACAUUCUUUAGUUUUAAGGAUUUUAGCAUGCUGGAUUAGAUUCUGGUGUGACUUGCAAGAGUUGAUGCUGAUGGUUGGGGGUGUACUCUGACACUUAUUCGUUGAUUUCGUGGGAGAUUGGACAAUGCUCUACGUGCAUAAGUCAUCGAAAAAUUGAGUCAUCUUGAUGUGUUACAGUUCACCUAUGUUGGUCAAUUCAUAAGUUCAUAUACUCAGGUGAUGUUCUUUCAUUGCAUUUUUGUACUUGUUGGAUGCGUUAGUGGGCGUUCGACACAUCCAGUUUUGUUUUGGGUACUAGUAUAGCUGUAGAGUAUAAAGAAGCCUUACAUGUGUGUAUUUUUGGAAGAUUAGGUGCUCAAUGUUUUUUUGGCUUCCAAGUUUCCCUAUUGUUUUAAUUUCCAGCAGAAAAGGCUCAGUUUGCCUAUUUGUAAAAACACAGUAACCGAUUAAUACGUUCUUGAAUGGAGUAGCCAGCAGUGUGGGUAGAACUAUGGAUGCAUUUUGAAAUCAUGAACUGUCAAACUGAGUAUUAGAACAGGUAUCCUAAAGCACUGUACAGUCUUGAUGUCUCCAAUUAAGAUGAUACUUAUGUAUUCUGCUGAUUUGCUGUAGGAGACGAUGACUUUCAUAAAUAUGAUUGUGGAUGGAAUGAAAGAUUGCCAUAUUGACUAAGAUUUUUGAGUUUUGAUGUUGGUAGUUUUGUGCACGUAGGGAUUCAGUUGAUAAUUGGUCAUAGAACUGAGUUAUAUACCGAGUGGUAGGUCUGUUGAUGCGUCAUGCAUGAGAUCAUCCAAUACUUGUGUAGCAAGAAGAUUACUGAAUACUCACUCCACUUCUUCAUUACUUUAUAGGUAAAUUAAUCUUGUUUAUAUUCUAAGAUUUUCAACAUAGUAACUUGGUCGGUUUCCCAUGUCCACCAACUUGUCCAAGCUGGUUUAUUUGGAUGCCUAACCAGCAUUUAAUUAUUUUUCCGCAUUGCUUCAAGCGACUCUUAACAUUGUACACCAGUUCGAUGAGAAAGAAAAAUGCAACUGUGUCAGAUUGCUGAUAUGCAUGUCUUGUAACCUUGAUUGAGAUAGCAGCCUUUUAUUAGGCUUCAUUUGUGUUUAUAUUGGUGCUAGCAGGUAUCUUAAAACAUAUGGGUUUCUCUUCCCACGAUUGGUUAUGAUAUAACUAUAUUGGUUCACAUGUUUGCAGGAGAAAUUCCAGGACUACCUUUGCCGUGAGGGUGAGAGGCUUAGGCGGCAGGACAGAGCCGCGAUGGGCCGAAACUAGAGAGGAAGCCAAACCUGAUGGAUAUCAACGAUCGGAGCAACAUUUGAAUUUGACAAGAAAUCCGCCCCUCUACUAGAGCAAGCCCCCCUUCUAGAAUGGAAUCCUUCUGAAUUGCUUUCGCUUUCGUGAGCCGAACUCGCUCCGUAACAAUAAAUCUGACUGCACCCUGUGUAAAUCAUUGAAGAGCUAACGCUUUUGCCUUUUUGGCCCGUGGUUUGUCAAAGCUUGUGUGCUUGUUUGGCAUCGACUGGCUUGAUGCCCUGAAUAAAGGUUGAUGCAUUUGACGGGACAUCAUCACAAAUAUCUGGCCUCCUUGUGUUGUUCAAUUUGCUACCAAAGGCUUGUCUUUGACGCUUUGUGUGCUUGUCCAGGGUGGGCUAUUUGGCUAAUGUAUUCCUCCUAAUUGUGUUUAGCUACAUCUGAUCCUGUUAUAGCAGCAUAUUUCCUGCGAUUUAAGCCUUGUCGCUGUAUGAGCCCAAGGCGGUGAUCCAUGAGUGUAUCGUUGUAUCUUAUUCUUUGUGUACGUUGGGAUCGCCGAAACCUAAACACCCAUAAGCACCAUCCACAGCAUGAAAAACACUUUGACCUCGCAAGUUCUACAUCAAAUAUAAAAAGGCGCGGAGCCCUUCUAGCCUCGCGAGUUCCAAACCGAGAAGUAAAACUUAGUUACCGUCGAACAUCGUUAUCAGGUCUUAAGACUAACCUCGCAAGUUGCGCGUCAGUAGCAAGGAAAGCAGAACUCCUUCAACCUCGCACGCUGUUUGGAGGCACCUCUAAUAUCGGUUCCGAACACCGAGCUUUUAUCUUCUUACUCUUUACUCUUGAGGCUAGGUGUUCGUCUCGGAUGGUGGAUAAAGCCUCGAGGCUAGAUGACCAGCUCAAAAUGAAGAUGAAGUUUCGAGGUUAGAGGGCGGAAGGCGUGAGAAAUGUGACCACGUGGAAGAGUUCAAUUUGUACACGUUUCCUUCAAUGUAAGGCAUAUCUUAGGAUUAUAGUGGUUGAGAAAGGAUACUGUAAAAGGAAGUCCUACCACAUUGUAAAGGGGAUUAGUUUUUCCAAUUGCAAACAUUAUUCCCAUUAUAACUUGGAUCUAUUUGGUGUCAAAUUCCUUUGAGACCAACAGUGUAUCUUAAGUACUGUAAUGAUUUGCUUGCUGGUGAAGUGUUGCGUCUGCUGGAGCCUGUAGCAGGGAAGCAACUGAUAUUCCUCUGCUCAACUUGCAACUCUCUUGCGAGCCCGACAAGGUAGCGCGCGCGCGUGCACGGCGCGGCCCGUCGUUUUCUCGUGUGGCGGCCAACUCGAUCGUCUGCGCCCGCGCGGCCGUAGAAGACUACAACGGCGUGACGUCCUCCCCAGCCGGUGCACGGUCAGGCUCAGGCCUGUCUUGUCCGGCCGAAGCGGAGCUGAAUGAACCAAACCGGUGGGAGAGCGCGGCCGUCAGUUUGUAGAAUGGAAAAGCCUCGGCUGCCGACGCCCGCCGGAAGACGCAACUUGCCGAGCCACACCACCACCACCCGCCGAUUCAGGAGGAAACCGAGGUGCGCGGGCGCGCGUAUAAAACAGCCGGCACAUCGCCUUCCGCUCCGGCAUCACCCCUGCAGGCCCCAGCGCAAGCAAGCAAGUCAAAUGCUAACCGAGUGAGCUGCUAGCUAGUUCUUCACUAGUUUUUGCACGGCCGGAGAAGACGAUAGGUGGGGAUGGAAGCGAGGUACGUGAAGGUGGCGUCCCGGUACUUCAUCGUCGGCAACGGGAACGCCGGCGACGGCUGCGGUGGUGGUGGUGAUCAUCGCCGCCGCCACUUCCUCGACGCCUGCUUCCUGUGCAAGCGGGACAUCACCCCGGGCCGCCACAUCUUCAUGUACAAGUACGCACGAUGCUCCCCGACCAUCGAUCGAUCUGUGUGUAUUAUUCUUUGACGACUGACCUCAUGUCCGCUACGCGCGGGCGCAUGCAGGGGCGACGCGGCGUUCUGCAGCGACGAGUGCAGGCAGGACCAGAGGGCCAUGGACGCCGCGCUCAAGGCCGCCAGGCGCCGCCAACGCUACCUCCAGCGCAGCGCGUCCCUGCCGGUGCCUUCGUCGGCCGCGGCGGCGGCGAUGCCCCGGAGGCCGACCGUCGCGGGCCUCGCCGCCCACGCCCCCGUCCUCUCCGGCUAGAGCUAGCUCCUCGCGGUCGCCGAUCCAUGCUGGGGGGAUACGAAGAUGUGCGUGCUUGAGUUCGUCGUGCUCGUGUGCCCCGGCGCCCGCUUGAUCGGUCUGGGCAAUUUUCGUGGCCUGCUGGUCCGGCGCCGGAGAAGAUGCACGCUGGCACACGGAGAGAUAGCAGAUAUUGCGGACAAGUUUACAGUUGCAUGAUAUGCCCGAUGCAAAAAAAGCUACAGUAGCAAAUUAUUAGAUGCAUCAUCUCCUCGCCGGUUCACAAGUACCUAGAGACAGUACUGCUAGCUAGGAAAAAAAUAAAUUAAAUAAUAAUGUAAUAACCAUCUGUUCGAUCCGUAGAACAUGUAAUAGCUAUCAGUACUUGCACUUAUCACUAGCAGAGAAGAGACUUUCGUCCAACAUUUUUAGCCCGGUCAUUUUUUGACUUUAGUCCUCCCGGUCAUUUUUUGACUUGGGACUAAACAUCCUUUAGUCCCGGGUCAAAUGGCCACCACCGACGACGGGAGCUUUAGUCGCGGUCAGUAAUAUCAACCCUCCUCCUCUCCCUUUCUUCCAGGCAGGCGGCAUGGCGCUGGCGGACUCAAGCCUGGCGGGCGAGAUUGAGGAGGUGGUGUGGUGAUCGAGGUGGAGCUGCAAGGGCAGCGGCACGAGCAGGCAAGAUGGUGGGGGUAGCCUUUUUUUUUAUUUUUUUAACCUUUGGUCUUUAGUCCUGAGUGAAUGAUCCGGAACUAAAGAGAGGGAUUUUUGGUCCCGAAUAGUUAGUCCCGAUUGGUUUUUCGGAAGCUAUGAGGCUUACCAACCUGGACUAAAACUCGGUUUUCCACUAGCUCCGAUGCCUCAAAGAGAUCCUCGACACCUUCACGGCCGCCACCUAGGGUUGAAAACGGACGGGUAAAAUACCAUCCCGACCCGCCCCGUUUUCCACAUUGUACCCGCCUGCUUUUGUUUUUUCGGAAAAAUCCGGGUUCAGGACGGGUCACGGAUUGACGGGUUGCGGGAGCGGGAUGGAAACGGGUGAGGCUCUAUCCCGGUCGAAUUCUUAGGAUCCCGUAUUUGAUCGGGAUGGACCCGGAUUUAACCUGAAUUUGACCCAGAUUUUGAGCCCAUGAGAAAAAACAGCCCAACAUCCCAACAAUUAACCCUAACCGAGUUAGUGAGUCACCACCCCACCCGGCCACCCCCACCCGUGCCACCAUCCCCUCUCAGUCCGACUCCCACUGUCCGCCUGUCCCGCUCAACCACUCAGGCCGCGCCGCCACCCCUUCUCCUCCGCCACCGGCCGGCCCGCCGCGGCGUCCUCAUCUGUCGUGCCACCAAAGGCGCCCCCAUGCCGCUCCCACUCCUAACCGUCGCCGCCCGGGCCCAGUUGCCCGUGCGCUCCGCGUCACCCCCCUCGCCCAGUCGCCCACCACCCUGCCCAGCGGCCUCCUCGCACCCACGCCGGCAGCCCGGCACCGACACGCCGCCUCCCCGGUCUCCAGCUCUCCACCUUGUGCCCACGUCGGCUCCCCACCUCCCUGCUUGGCGCCCACACCGCCGGUUGCCCGGCUCCAGCACGUGUCGUCGUCUCCCGGCAUCUCCAUCCUCCGAAGAUGUCACGCGCCGCCGUCUCCCGCCAUCCUCCCUUGUUUUGUGCUGUGCUGUGUGACUGUUGUUCACUGGCCGAAUGAAGUAGCCAGUGAAGUGAUGUGUGAUGAGGGUUCUUGGGCCACUUGCUGUUGGCCGAAUGUUUUGUGCUGUGUGACUGUUGUACACAUCAGUUGCCUGUUGUUCACUUGCAUGUUGGCCGAAUGUUUUGUGUUGUGUGACUGGUGCGUCCCAACUAAAGUUUUCGGUUACUGUCCGUUUUUAUCGAGUUUCCAGUCGUAGUGGUUCAUUUCCAUACACUUGUAUAACCCGCUCCGUUUCCGCUCUCGGCUGUUCUGCUCCUGCUCCCGACGAUGAAGGAAAUGGGAGAGGGGUUUUCCCGCCCGUUUCCAUCCGUUUUCAUUGCUACCGCCACCGGCCUCCACAUCAACUUCCACAAAAGUACCUUUGUGCCGAUCCAUGUGGAGCCGGCGGCCGCACUGGAGCUCGCCGCCAUCCUGGGAUGCCCUGUGGCCGGCUUCUCCCAAACUUAUUUGGGGCUGCCGCUCUCCACAGGGAAGGUCCCCGCGUCGGUGCUGGAUGCGCUUGCUAUCAAAGUGGAGCGCACGCUGCCGGGGUGGCGCACCUCUCUCCUAACUCCGGCGGGGCGCCUCAACCUAGCCAGCGCGAUGCUGAUGGCGCAGCCUCUCUCCGCCAUGGCUCAUGCCGCUCCCCGUUUCCACCCUGGACAAGCUCGACCGGCCUCACAAAGGCCUGUUCUGGAAAGGCGCCGCCAAGUGCUCGGGUAGCGACUCCCUGGUUGCAUGGCAGUAGGCGUGCCGUGAAGCGCCUACAGCCGUUCUGGGCGCGCGGGCACGCACCGCCGGGGUCUGCCGGGAAAGCGGCGGCACCUGUUCUGCCCCUCCCACUCUCUGGUACUGAGGUCAUGGAGCCUCCUUUUGCACUGUUGUUGCUUCUUUGAGAAAUGGUAUUUCAAUUUAAGUAGCCACGAAGACGAUAGCUAUAUGGGCCAAUAUGCGGUUCAGUAAAUAGGCCAGCGUCGCGAUGAUUACCAUCAAGUGGGCCUAGGUCCACCGCUGCGUGGCCAUCAUAUUGCCGUGGCCUGGAACAGCCGAGCGAGGGAGGUGAAGGCCAAUUCAUGGGCCGUCGUCGCGUAAUUUCCGAGCUGCUUUUCGAAUUCCGAUGAGUCAAUAAGUUGGUGAGGAUCAGUGAUGAGUCUCCUUCGUCACUGUACAUUGGCUCAUAAGAAGAACUGAUGAACCAAGCAAACAUUAUUAUGUACACAACAGUCCACUCCUCACACACAUCUCCUUCACCGCCCGGAAAGGAUCCGAGUUGGGGGAAAUCAAACAAGAAAUCUCUCAACAAGAACAUGCCAACGUACAAACACACACUCGGAUGCAAGAAACAAGAGUAUCAAAAAGCUGGCUGCACAGUACACUGAAGCACAAACGAAACAGCCAAAUGCAUAUCCAGUUUUGAUUUUUUUUCCCUUUCUUCCCUCAAGGUCCUGGAGUGGAUUGCUUGGUCUGUGGCGGCGGCCGGGCUACGCCGAUGUGGGUGGUCAACGCCCAAAGCACGGUGAUGAACUCGCCUCCCUGCACCAGCACCUCCUCGUGCCCCUUCACGCGCUCCUCGUCGUUCGACGGCGCGACGUAGACGAUGAGCUCCGUCCACACGUCGGCCAGGAGCUUCCACACUGCUUCAGGAUCAACCUCGUCCAUUAGCAGCUUCCCUAGCUUUGCGCCGUUCAGUACAACUUUGCUCCCAUCACUCUUGCCUGCUGCGGCUUCCGUUUUCUUGUUGUCUUGCUCGCUGUGACCUGGUGUUUCCACUUCAAUGUCCCUUAUCUGCACUGCUGUACUGGUUUCCUGCUGCUUGUUACUCUCAUCCUCUGUACUGGUUUCCUGCUGCUUGUUACUCUCAUCCUCUACGGCUUUCAUCAUCUUCUCGACCCUCGUGCUCUUCGAUGACAGGAAGUACACUCGGCACCCGAGCAUGUCCUUCAACUCCUUCUUCAUUGCCUCAAAGACAUCCUCCGCUUUUUCCUUGUUGUCGGGGAGUAGCUCAGGGUGGAAGGCCACCAAGUAGGCACAGUAAUUGGACAGCUUAAUCGCCACCAUUCUUACAUCUUCAUUUUUAUUGCUCGGAGGGGCACACUUGGCCUCCAAGAUGCUGGUGGCAAUGUGCAAUGUGAGGAUGACCUCGGCGGCGCUAUCGCUCGUGCAAGCCUCCCUUAGAGCAUGGUGUUGAGGAAUCUUGUGCUUCUCCAAUGCAGAUGUGCCUUUGGUAAGGGGAGUGUUAUUAGGAUGGCGAUCAUGUUCCACAAGACAAUCCAUGAUGGACUGCUUCAAGCUGUUGGGUACACCCUCUGUUCUUAUCGCCAAGAAGAGUGGGGAAAACAAUGGUAGGUGGGGUGGCCAACGGAGGUUCAACAUGGAAAAUUGCUUUACCCUAAGGGGGGCAUGGCUCAUCCUGCUCCGUAGCCACAGGAGACGGCGGAAGGCUCCACCAAAGGUGGGGCUCCGAGGCCAGUCGUAUUUGGCCCUGAAGCUGCAUAGCACUGAGACCAUGAACCAAUUGGAGAGUAGGAAAACAACGAACUCCCAUAUCUCCUCGUAGAAGAAGAUGAUGAAUAGAAAGGCAGUUAUAGAAAGGUCUACUAGGGAAAAGAAGGCUGGGGCCUUAUUAUCGAGGGCUUUGGCUAGAAGGCAUCUGACUAUUUUUGAAACUCCAUGCUGCAAGGUGUAGUUGUCUCUACCGAGGCUUUUGAAUGCAUAUCCAACAUCUCCAUUGCCGCACAGAAUAAUAGACAUGAGGCACAGGACGGUUACGACUAUGGGGAGAAGAAAGUAGUUUGCUAUGAGGAAGAAGGGGCUCGCGAAGACGACAGGGAUGACAGAGUGGUAAUACUCACUGAGGAAGUUGACCUCAUCAUUCAUCACUUGGAAUAGUACAUGUGCAUCCUCCUUUCUUCUUUGGCCGUACAAGCCAUUCAAGAGGAACUUCCGGCAGUCGCGUGCCUCUUCAUCGCUCAUCGCCGGCUGAUGCUCAAACCUUCGACGCAACAAUUUGAAGAGAGCAAACGAGAGGCAGAUUCUCUUGAGGUGUUGGAUUUCCUUGUGCUGACUGCCUGUCUCGGGAAGCUCCCAAACUUUACCAACAGUGAUGACGCCAUCGUCGUUGGUCGGAAAAAAGAACUCAUACCCAUCUGCAGUAGCCUUCUUCACCAACUUGUUUUCUCCCAUGACAAUGUACUUGCACCUCUUCAACAGCUCGUCUCCGUCCUGGACAGCUUGGUGGCGCUCUGCUUGAUGCUCCUCACGUUCUAGCAUCUGAGCCAUGUAUGAGGUGAGUACAGAAGCGUUCUUGCCAUGGGCAUAUGAACGCUUCCCCACCUCGGUGAAGACGAAUCUCUGCGCCACUUUUGUGGCACAAAGGAUCCAAAGGAUGCUGAACACCGCCUUCCGACCAACGCUCUUGAUGUUGAAGAAGACAAGGUUUCCCAGCCAAACAACGCGGCCGGCGCGCUGGAUGGUGCUCGAGUGCCCGCGCAUGCGGAUCUCGUCCACCUUCUUGCGGAGGAGCUCCACCAGAAGCAUCCAUACCAGGAUCAGCCCGGCCGUCAGCGAGAGAUCAGCCACGGUGGUGGUGGUGGAGGAGGAGCUCGUCGUCGUCGUGUUCCUCGCGUUCUUGGCCUCGGAGAAGAGGUAGGACAUGACGGGGAGGAAGAGGGAGAGCGCCGAGGAGAGGAAGAGCCGGACUUUGGGGUCGAGGAUGGCGCUCACGUCGGAGAUGCCGCUGAAGAGGUUGAGGCUGAAGAAGAGGCCGGCGAGGACGAACAUGAUGGUGGUGGAGGAGACAAUGGUGGGCUCAUUGCUCUUAUCUAUGUAGGAUGAUGUGAGGUUGGAAAUGUACAUAGUCAUAUUUGGAUCGCAGAAUUCUCUCGGGUCAAGCUUGAGUGCAAAGUGAAGGACCAUUGUGUGGUAUACGGACGAUUACUUGAGAGUAAUCUUGAGUUUAUCGUAGCUGGGGUUUGGUUUGGUUCAUCUCUGGAGCAUUGCAUGGCUAUAUAAGCUAGUUUGGUGUGUGCAGUAAGCUGCGUUCGCGGUGGCCAAUGGCGAAUGGCAUCGCGUGCUUGCCAUGUUUUUUGUUUGGUGUCCGUUACAGAAGCUAGAGUACGUUGAAGCUCAGAUUAUUACUGGUUGACUGCGACUGGCAUCACUUGCUUGCCAAGUCUUGAAUUGAUACAAAGUGCUUCGCAUGAUUAUCUGCUCUAAUUAAUAACAUUCGAUCUGUGAGCUACUUUAUUCGAUCUGUAUGUGUUUGCCUUUGGUGUUUAUUAAUCCCAGAAUAUUUUCUCUUCUUUACCAAAGGACACAGAGGACGACCAUGACUCCAUGAGAUCGAAUACGUGAGCUAGUUUCUUUAACUUUUCUGUAUUUUGUCUUUGGUAUUAUUAAUGACAAUAUUUCUUUAUCAAAGGACUGCAGAUCACUAUGAGAAUGCGUUAGUUUAUAUUAGUUCUCCUGCCUUUUUAUCUUCUGUGUUUCAUAAUUCCACACUAUCUUUACUUUACCAAAUUAAAGGGCGGGCGCACUGUCUCAGUUAGGCUAUUGUAGACCCUUUUGUUUUAUCAUGCUUUUAAAGAUGCCAUGCCAUGUUUCUAGUAAACAAGUUAGGAUUUGAGAAAAUGUUUAGAGAUAUACACUUUGAUAAUAUAAUUAAUUUCUUACAAUAUAUAAUCAAUUGAUACAAGUUAAUUAAAUAAAGAUCAUAUUAACAAUAAACAUAGAGAGUAAUUAAAUAACCUUAAAUUAUUCUUAUUAUACGAUUCGCAUGAUAUGGUUUAUGUUCUUGCUAUGUUUAACCAUCUAAGUAUGAUGAAAUUCCUUAGUAGCUAGCUUAGCCCCAUUCUAGGCAUUCUUGAACCCUACGCUUACAUAAAUGGAGGAAUAGGAUGGCACAAAGAGGAUAGUAGCCGCGACAAUGGGUGGCACUUGUAACUGCAUAGGGAGCCUGAGCUUCAAGAACAUCUGAGUUGUUAACUGCACUGUGUGAUUUACUUGGUCAUUAACAAGCGAGCUCAGAUGUCGCAAUGUCCACAUGUCAGGCACAAUGUCACAUAUUAAUUACUGUAGAAAGGUAUAGCCAACGUGGUUUGAUGUAUAAGAAUACAACAUGUAUAUACGAACAUCUUGAAACUCUCAAGCAUUUUGUAAGAAGAAAAGGAUGGAGGACUGAUUCAAUCUCACGAGGUAGUUUGCGACCACGUCACAUGUUAAACCAUGUUCUUGAGUGGGCAUAGACCCUAUUUGAAAUUGUUGGACAAAAUAAUUUUCUCGUUCACAUCCUGAUCAAAUAACAGAAUCUAACAUAUAUAUAACAUGUUAUAAAGAUCACAUGAAUUUUUUUUGUCAUUUCAACCUGUUUUCAACCACGAGAACAAGAAGAGAAGGAUGAAUCUAGAAUAGUGAAUGAUUUGGGGAUAAAAAAAUCUUGAGACAGAUUAAUAGACAGACAUAUACCCUUUAUUUAUUUAUUUUUCAGGAAAACAAGUACAUAGAAAAAUUGCGUACAAUGAAGCUGAUCAAUACUGAAUGAUUACUGAGACUGACACGCAUGACAUUGUUCCAAACUUCCAAGCAACAUAGAUGGUCAAGAUUGCACUGUCGAUCGAGUAUCCUCCAUUGGCUAAGCAGUCAGCACUCAGCAGGCGCCACGGCGGAAUCCGACGGCCCCGCCGCCGAUGUCAUACAGCACCUCAAGCGUCCUCUGCUGCACGUUGCCGAUGAUCCCCACGGACUCGUCGUCGCCGGUGGACGCGAAGGCGAGGCAGCCGUCGAGAAUGGUCCCCGACCGGUCGAGCUCCACCGUGGCGCCCCUCUCGAACACGAGGGAAACGCUUGGAACCUUGACGUCGUCGCCGACGGCAUCGCUGAUGUUGAAGCACGUGUCCAAGAUCGCCGACGACGACGCCACCCGCGGGUACAUCUUCAUCUCCUUCCUGAACGCCGCCCGAAGAACACGGUACGCCUUCGGGGGCAGCCGCGUGAUGAUCGUUCCCGAGUCCAUGACCGCGCCGGCGCUGAACGCCGACGGGGGCACGCGGAGGCGCCGCCCGGCCACGGUGAUGCCCUGCAGGAGCACGAGGUAGAAGGUGUCGACGCUCAUGGUCCUGUACAUGGGCGUGACCGUGAACCUCGACGAGGAGGCGCGCGGCACGCCGAGCGUCAGGAAGCCGGAGUAGUUCGCCGCCGGCGGGAGGCAGUAGGAGAAGGCCUUGGUCGCCGUCUGCGACACGAGCGACGGCGAGCCGCCGCCGAGACCCAUGAGCCCGUCGGCCUUGUCGCUGAACAGCUGCGCGGCGUGGCUGCAACCGAACUGGAAGUGGUCGACGGCGUACGCCGGGGUCAGCGUCAGCUUGUCGGUACUGUACGUCCCGGUGGUGUUGGAGCCGUCGCCGUAGUUGACGAUGUACUGGCACUGGCGGCGCUUGGAGCAGCCAUUGCCGUAGAGAUCACGGCUGAGACCGUUGCAGGCGGCGGAGCCGCAGCCGAUGGCCGAGUACGUGGCCGACCUAGCCGGGUUGAAGAGCUUGUCCUUCUGGGGGUGGCACGCCGUGGUGGGGCACGGGCGGCACUGCACCCACGUCACGUCGCUGCCGGUGUCGAUGUGCACGGUCUGGGUGACCGCCGGCGUGCCGAGGCCCACGGUGACGACGUACUCCAAGGUGUCCAGGGAGGAGCCAAGCGUGGUCGGGACGGUCACGUCGCGGCGCUUUGCUCCAGCAGUGCCGUUGAGGCCCUUCCGGAUGCGGUCGGCGCGGAGGCGGUCCCGGUGGAGCACGUCGGCCGUCGAGGGUAUGGUCUCCGAGGAGGGGAACGGUGAGCAAGGGCCUCGCCGGUGGUUCAACGGCAGCCAAGUGCGACUGGAGAGUGGAAUGCUCACUGAAAAUCAACAUAGGUAGGGUGAUCAGCUGCGCAUUAGUAGUACUUAGUUACUUGAAAAUUAAAUGUGGCUGGAUGAAUAUAGUACCGCAACCAUGGAUUUCUUUUCAGAAAGGAUAAACAAAAGGAGUAAAAAUUAACCUCUGUGGCCGGAGCAGACGGCAUUGGAUUUGAGCGUGCUAGUUGUUGCAUGAGCAAUUGGAGAAGAAACACACAGGACAAGAACUAGCGGCAAAACAGGAAUCAUUGUAAAUUCUCUCUAAUUCUUUUUCUUCAGUGAACGUUUCUUCAAAAUUCUAGCUAGCUAGUGCAGCAGGUUGUGCUUCGAAACUCUAAGCCUCGAACAUAUAUAGGCUGUGUGGAACUGCACAGUUAGAACAGAAAGCCAUUUUUCAUGAACUUACAUUCUAACUGAUCAUUAAGGCACAAAAGAAAUCAUACGAGUGCAACUAUCUAUGGGGAAUAUUCAAUAUACUCUACAUGCACUAUGAUAUCUAGUGUAGAGCAUACUAAUGAAAUUUAGGAUUCAAAAUUUAUCCCGCGAAAACACAAUUGUACUUUUGGACAAGCUUGCAGGACUAUUGUGCUAUUUUCUGCAUGUGCAUCAAACUCGUCCAUAUAAUAAUUAGGAGGAGGAUUCCUGUUCUUUUCUUUAAACUUGUGCAUACACAAUUAACUAUAACAUGUGACCAAAAUGCCAUCUGCAUGAGCAUGAAACUCUUACAUGCAUAAUGGUUAGAAGCAUCUAAGUCAUUUUCCUUCAUCACUAUUAUUCUAUCUAAAGAUUUCUAUGAUUGCAUUCUUUGCAAGAUGGAGGGAUACUAUGUAUAUAUAGAUAGUAGUGAAGUAUUCUAGUUGACACGUACAUGUGGUGACUUCGUAAAUCUCAAAAUAUGUUGGCUCAAUCUCUGUUAGAUAUCUACAGAGAUAGGAUGUGUGCACGCGCGCACACAUUUAUUAAGUUGAAUGUGUACGCACGUAUGUGAGUGACUGUACUUCAGAAAAAAAAAUGAUCCAAACCCUUGCUACAGGUUUUCAAUCCCGCGUGUAUUACUGUAAAUGACGUGCCCAACAACCUCAAGCAACCAAACACACACAUCCUUCAUAUUCCCGGGUCGUCUCUCCAGCCUGCAGACAAUUGAGCUUAGGAAUGCAAGCAAACAAGCCCUAAACCUUUCAGCCCAAGUAAGAAUCAAUGCAAUACGUCAUAUCAGGCCCCUUAAACUGUUGAUAUAUAUGGUUCCUAGCAUUUUAUUAAACUUUAUUUUUGUGAUAACAUUUUUAAGAGCGACUGCUCCAAGCUUUUGGAACCUGGUUCUUUUUGGAAGGACCCAUAUGUCUAGAAUUAUUCGUUAUGAUGAUAAGAAACUUUAUUUAUUGGAGUAGAAACGAUAAUGCUAACUUAAAAAGUAGGCAAUAACUUAAAAAACUUUUGUAUUUCUUUCUGCAAGAUGACUUGUGCUCUCUCCGAAUUGAACCUUUUGUGGCCCUCUCCUUGAUUUUGUGAGAUGAGCCCAAGCCAAGUUUGUUCUCGGUUACAUCAUCAUGGAGGCAUGGACAUCACCGAAGAGGACUGUUCCAAAAUAGCAACUGCCACGUCUGCCCUCACAUGGCUAAGCAUAGGAGGUUAAGACCAACACCUUUUGUUUGUGUGUGUACGUAACCAAGCUGCCAAUUACAAGGAGUACACUGCUCCUUUUUAUGUUACUAGCAAAAUGCCCGUACGUUGCUACGGUGAAAUGAUAAUCAUAUUUUUAAAACUCGUGGGGUUUUUUCCUAUUUCUAUCACUAUAUAUUUAUUGCAUUUCUGUUAACAUAUAUCCUUAUACUAAAAUAAUUAUUCAUUUCUCAAACACAAUAAACCAAAAUAUUUAUUGUUUGAUGCUUUCUUGCUAUGCGUGUUUGGUUAAUUAUUUGUUUACGAGGAGAUAUAGUGUCUAGCUGUUGUUCACAAGAAAUAGUGUCCAAGUAUUUUAAAUGAAGCUUAAAGUUUGAAAGGUGGGCUAUUUAGAUUGUCAGAAGUGCAUUGGAAAUUUCUGAAACUAAAACUGGAAUGUUCAGUUCCUGGUUGCCCGUGCGUUGCUACGGGUCAUUACUUGCUCUCACGUUAUUAUACGUUUGUUUAUAAUAUGUUAGCUUCGCUUCACAAUAUGUGGUAGACAAUUCAUCAAAGAUGAGUGGCAAAAAAGACCAUUACUCCAUCACCAUUAUAAAGGAAACAACAAUUACCACCCAAAUAUGAAACGUAUAGGAAGAUAUCAGCAAAUACUACAUAUCAAACAACAGUGACAUCAUCAGGAAUACUGAAUGCCUUAACAGAUAUCGGUUGUACCUAUUUGGUGAGGACCUCUGAAUACACUAUAUUCUUUGUGUAUCUAUCGGUUGUGUCUUUUUGAUUCACCUUUUUCUUAUUUGAAACUGGAAUGUUCAGUUCCUAACCGAAAGUCAGAGCUCUCAAUCUUCCAAACCAAAGAUCUUUUGAGCAAAGUUCCAAUCUAGAACUUGCAGCCCUAUAGUACCUCUACAAGUUUGGUUAAAGGUGCUUGGAGAGUUUGUUAUUGGAUUUGGAUGAUCUGUGCUCGAGAAAAGGUAGCCUUUCGGUGCUUUGGAGAUAAUUGACAGGAGAAAAUUCUAAAGGUUCAGUGUAACCGGUGUUUUUCCCAAAGUUCAGAGACUUUUAUCUUUCGAUCCUAUGGAACCAAAGCCCUAUCUAACACAUGUAGCUCGUUGAUCCAGAUACAUCUUUGUAUAAAGACGAUUUGCAAGUUUAUGUUUGGAUUUGGACAAGAAUCGUUGGGGAAGGGACUGCUUUUCUGUAUUUCUGGAGCAGCUACAAGCAGCAAUAGCAGCUCGCAGCACUGCCACCACUACUUAAGCCUCCGCGGUGAAAAUCCUCACGUGCCACAUGCCGGCAAUGCCGCCGAGGCUGCAUGCAGGGGCAGCGGCAGAGUGCCCUGCUCCGGCUGGCACCCGCGCCAAAUCCUCCUCCUUCGCCUCUCUGUUUUGAAGAAAGGAGAAGCUUUUUGCCCUUUAGCGCCCUCCCUUCCCUCCUUUUUCCACCUGAGCCCCCCUCUCUUCAGAAUUUGGACUGCGGGUUGAUUCCAUAAAAAUUGAGGAACUUUUUUGCAAAAUGACCAUGACGUAUGAAAAAAAACUGGGUAGAAACCUUACUUGCUUUAUGGAAAAAACAUGUUAGUAUGACAUAUUUUCACUUAUAUAUAUCAAAAUGCCCGAGCGUUCCUACGAUGAAAUGAUAAUCGUAUUUUUAAAACUCAUGUUUUUUUCUAUUUGUAUCACUAUAUAUUUAUUGCAUUUCUGUUAACAUAUAUCCUUAUAUUGAAAUAAUUAUUCGGCCAUCAGCCGUGGCUUCUUCUCAGGGUCGGACCCGUUGUACUGCUUCAACUCCUCUUGAGUCUUAAUUGUUUGCCUUACCGUUUUUGGCCCAAUAUCUCCCCCGACAUGGCAGCUUAACUUCGCACCUGGCUCGUAGCCAUCCAUCUGGAUUGGGCGGUCGAGACAAUCACGAUGCAAAACACAACUCGGACACUCGUGAUGCAAAACACAACUCGGUUCCAGCAUCUCAUGUGAAAUCCUAAGGUGACGUUUGGACGGUGGAUGUGAUAUGAAAAUGGAUAUAAGAUGGGAUACGGAGAAGUAGAUUAUGGAUUGGGAAAUAAAACUCCAAUCCGAAUCCAUGGUUUGGCUGUGCUUAGGAAAUGGUUUGGAUUUAAAGCGGAACCCACGUGCAAUAGAAAAAGAAAGGAAGAGGACUUGGCCGUUUUCUCUUUUUGAUGCAACGGCACCGUCAUAAUCCAAACUGCGAGGCACCCUUAUCUCUGGUUCUCUCUUCUCUUCGUCCACGCUGGAUCUUACCCCGUAUUCGUGUUUAGGUUCUUUAAUUUGGGUCUAGAUUUUCUACGGGACCCACAAACUAAUUAAAAAAAGGACGGUCCUUAUCUUUUGGUGCCUUGUUCGUUCACAACCACAUGGUGCUACUCGAGCUCCGAGGCGAGCAGCACACUCUGCCACAGCACGACAAGACCGAGGCUUCAGCUGCGUGCGAUUCGAGUGGCGGCGGCGACCACUACGCGCGGCACCUGCGGUGGCGAGGACCAUGCGUAGCAUCUACCGUGGCUGCGCUCCCGCUCGUGUGGCUGCGGUGGCGGUGGCUUCGCUUCCCUCCGCGUAACUCCGAGCGCAAGCCAUGCGGCGAGCUCCGACGUCCACAGCAUGCUCCGGUCCCGACACUUCAAGCUGCUGCGGUUCCUCUCGCAUGUGCGCGCGUGUGGACAACGCACGGGCAUCAGUACGGCGGCUGCGGCGGGGAGAUCCGGGCGGCCGCGGAUGGGAAGCUCCAGUUGGCGAGCUCUGGGUGACGGCUUCAGCGGGGGAGAUCCGGGCGGCUGCGGAUGGGGAGCUCCAAGCGGGCGCGUGGCGCCGCCUCGGCAACGGGCGGGCGGCGCGGCCGUGGUGGGGCGCCCCGCUCCGGCCGCUGCCCGCGCCCCGUCCCCCUCCUUCGCCUCCUUGUUUUGGAUUGGAGAAAGGAGAAGUUUUUUCCCUUUAAACCCCCUCUCUUUCCUCCUUUUUCAAUCCGACACCCAGACUAUUCAUAAUAAUGGACUGCGGGUUGAUUACACAAAACAUCAGGGUUUUUUUUGCAAAAUGACCACGACGUACGAAAAUCCAGGCAGAGGCGUUACUUGCUUUAAUAAUAGGUAAAGAUAAUGCAAAUGCAUGUGCUUUCUAUAUAACCAGGAAUAAUCAGCAAUCUUACUACUACUAAUCGGAGGCUCCCUUUGAAGCCUCUAGGUGAAGCCACCUAGGAUUCCUAGCUGGACACUCUAGAAAAAGAGUGAAAUCCUAGAAAUUCUCACAAAAAAAGCAAAACAUCUAACCAUCAAUCUAUAGAUUCAAAUCAUCAUAGCCAUUGGAUCUAUUAUGUUUUCUAAAAAAUUACCCACCUAUGCCAUUAUGAAAAUAGCCUAAAGUAACCCCCUAAAACUAUAUAUAAAUUACCCACCUCUACCAUUAUAGAAAAUAAACUAAAGUAACCCGUAAUCUUAAUCAAAAUUACCCACUUAUGCCAUUGUAAAAAAUAUUUAAAAUAACCCCCUAAUUUGCGACUGAAUUGCCUACCACUAUUACUUAAAAAACUUAAAGUAACCCCUUAAAUUUGUAUCUAUAUUACCCACACAUGCUAUUAUUAAAAAUAACAUGAGGUAAUAACCCUACGUAAUGUACAACAAUAUAUGAUUCUAAAUUGUCUAUAUCUUGCACUAUUGGUAUACGAUAUAAUAAUUAAGGUUUAUACGCAUGAUGUGUGUCACCAUUUAUAAUUAAAGAUAUAAAGUGAUGGGAAUAUAAUUUCUAUGCUAAAUUAAAGAUAUAAAGUGAUUGCAUAGAGUAAUUAUUAAUUAAAAAUUAAUCACAACUGAAUAAAGAUAGGUACAUACCUAUAUAAGUAUUAUGUUGAAGUAUUGGAAAAAUAAGAGAGUAGUAGGUAAACAAUUUUGAUCAUUAGCUAAGAGUUUAAUUUGUAAAUAAUUUUCAAAUACAAUAGCUUCUAAAAAUAUUAGUCCGUGCGGGAGCACGGGUUGAUGGACUAGUGACCACAAGAUCAUAUCCGCCUUUUGCUUUGCCUUUGCUCGAUCCAAUUCCUGGCAGCGUCCUUAACACACAACGUUUUAAGCACUCUUGCGAAUAACAGCUAUACUCUUCUAGCUGUUCAGAAUCAGUACGAGAUGCGUGCAUCAUGUCCUUCUUUAUUGGUGCUGCCUUUGAUGGACAAGCAUCUUUUUGAAAAACAAAGACCUUAUUUUUCAUACAAAAAUGCCACUAACUAACUCUUGUUUUCAAACAAUCAUACAAACAUGCAUGGUCAGUACGUAUACCUGCACGUAUCUACGUACACUAGCAUGACUACUCUCUCUCUCACAUCAAGCAACGCCUGCGCGUGCGACGAUCUAUUAAAAAAACGUUCAGCGGCAGCCAGCGCGCCACUUUGAUUUUUAUGCAAACCAAUACAUUAUUAGCUGCACAAGGCACAAACCAAUACGAACUUAAGCAUGGCACCUCCAGCUCCGGCGCCUCAGGCGGCUGCGACGAGGGCGACGACGAAGAGCGU